UGCCUGAAAAUGAUGUGAAAAGGAUACGGCUAUGAGAUUUUUAGUGUAUGCAUGUAACAGUUUGACGUUUGCUGGUGGACUUUCUGCACUGAUAUCUGCUUUUCAAAUAAUAGUAUACCUCUAUUUAAGUCGCUAGGCAACGGGCUAUGCAGAUCUGCAUUUCUUUUUAUGAUUUUUGUUGGCUUUUUUAUUUUCUUUUGGGGGGAGGGGGGAGGUGGGAGGGGGGAGCGGGUGUCAUAGCAUGUGAUGAUCUUGUCUUGUCUUAGCUUCCCAUUGUUCAUUAUUCCUACAUUGUCACAAGAGAGUUGAUUUCAGUUCAAUUUACCCUAAGUUAGAGGGAGAACUACAAUUUCUACAGGUCUUCGGGUGUAAUUGCUGGUUUUAGAACAAGUAAAUUUGAAAGUGCUAUAUGUUCUUGCACGAAGACACAUGAAAUGAGGUUUUGAUCACCAAUAGUGUUUGAUCCGAGCAUAAUAGAUUGAUCAACCGAAGAGGAACUCUCUAUGAUAUCUCAAAACUUUGUUGGGAUCAAACACACCCUCAAGUAUACGCGGUCAAUAAGUAAUAAUAGUGAUAAAGUAAAGUAUUGUUCCAAUGAGAACUUAUAAUUAACAAUCAAUUAAAUUAAACUAGUAUGAAUUAUCUAUUUAAGUGAUUCCUUAAGUUGUGGUUAUUAACUAAGCUAUUGCAAAAAUUAUAAAGCAAUUAAAUAUACUAGAGAUAUAACGAAACACGUAGGCAACAUAGCAUAAAAAUUAAUAGGAGAAAACUUUUCAAGGUUAUAGGUUAGCUAACAAUCUUGUUGAGUUGUUUAAAUUGUCUAAUUGAUUUGUUUGGUUUCUUGAUUGAUAAAGUUAAUAUUACUCGCAAGAAUCUUUCGAGUCCUGACUUGCAUAUUCAAGUUAAUCUUAGCAUAUAACAAGAAUGUGUUUAUUAUUCAUGCAUAAUAACCAAGUAAGAUGAUUAAGUAUAUGUCUAUUCUAAUUGUGAAUUCGUUCCUUAAUGUCCAGGUUCAAGAACUUGUUUUUUUUAACCUUAUGUGCAAGUUAGUAUUCACUUUCGAGUUCAACUCUAGAUUCGUAGAUAGUAUUUCAAUGUUAGCUACAAAGUAAAAUAAUUAAGCAUAAGAUUAAAUAAACAAAAUCAAUACCGUAAUCAAAGUAGUCAAUUCAAACUUCAAACGUCAACAUACAUUUAGCAUCCAUAACGAACGAGCCACUCAUGCUAACGAUCGUAUGAAUGUUUGAAAGCAUAAAACUAUGGAUGAGAAGAGAAAGGAAGAAAAACUCUAUGAUUUUCGACUUCUAAAUUGCUCUAGCAGCGUUUCUCCUUCACAAGGGUCGAGAUCCCCCUAAAACGAGUUUAAGAGUUAUUUAAAGGUGGUGUAAGAAAAAUCUUAGUUGAUUUUAACCAAGUCCAACCAAAGUAUGAAAGAGUUGGCUUCAAGAAUAUACUGGUCGCGCCGCACUGGGAAUCGUAGCUGAUCCAAGUGAUGUAGUGGUUGCGCCGCGACUGGAAACACAACCUUCUCAGGUGUUGUUAUGUCCAAAAAUAGUUAAUAAGAACUUGAGGGAUCAUAUUGUAAAGAAGUAGAAGUCCAUACAGUAUCGCUUUAAUAAGUGAAUUAUUAGUGAAGAGAGAAUAGAGACUCAGUGUCGUUUUGUGCAAGUGAGUUAGUUAAUUGUUGUUAGCAAGUUGUUAGACGGUUUGGGAAAUAGUUAGUAAUUGAUUUGGGGAAAUUGGGUUUAAAAGGAAAAAUUCAUUUGUCUAUUGGAAGCAGUUGAAUUCGAAUGACUCUUUUUUUUCUCUCUAGCUUUCUACUUCUUCUCUCAAUCUUGAAUCCCAAUUGCAACCAAUUUCUGUUCAGGAACUCUUCUUCUCAAAGUUCUUUAGGAGAUCAUUGUUUCACUUUAGCUUACUUCGAAUCAAGUUGUAUCAUUUGGUAUCAGAGCCACUGCUCCUCAGAGGAACAUAACCAUGAGAGAAUCACGUUACACAGAGCUUCGUAAAGAAGUUGAUAGUAUUAAGGAAUCCUUUGAGGAAUUCAGAAAAUCUAUGGAGGUCCGACAAGCUCAGUCCAUGGAGGAACUCAAGACUUUUUUAGGUUCUUGGAUGAGUGAAUAUAGACCUACAACGAGUGAAAAUCGUCCUCAAAAUCCUAGAGGAAGUCCGAAUCUUGAAGAGCGGCAUAUGGAAGCUUCAGACACUUUGGUUACUCGCAAGUGUCAAAUUGAGUCCCCAAAAUUUGAUGGGAGCGAGUUGAGAGACUAGGUUUCCAAAAGCAAGCAAUAUUUUGAUAUGGAAAAUACAUCAGAAAAUUCGAAGGUCAAACUAGCAUCAUUGCAUCUGGAAGGAAACGAUUGCAUCAAAGGUACAUGAAAAGCAAGAUUACUCGAGAAUGACCAACAUGGGUGAGUAUGUUAAAGCUCUUUGGUAGAUUUGGUACUGCAUUAUGAUGAUCCAAUGGGUGAUUUGAAAGAUCUUAAACAAACUUCUUGUGUACAAAAUUAUGUUGUAUUUGACGAGUUGUUAGCUAGGGUAGAAUUAAGUGAGGAGUACAUCGUUAGUUGCUUUAUAAGGGGUUUAAAAUUUGAGAUUGGUCUCCAUGUGAAAAUGUUUUAGCCGAGAACUUUACAAAAAGCCAUAAGCCUAGCCAAGAUCCAAGAACAAACCUUAUCCUUACCUAAAUAAUUUUUCAGAUCCUUUUUUUUACUACCAACAACCAGAUUAGCCCCAUCUAAGCCCCCCACAAUUUUUCCUUCAAGUUCAGGAUAUAAAAUUCCAUCAAAGGGUCCUAAAAUGUUGAGCCCUGCUGCAAUAGAGGAAAAGAGGGUUAAGGGGCUAUGUUUUUAUUGUGAUGAGAAGUACUCUCCUAGUCAUCAAUGUUUUAGGAAGAGACAACUUUUCUAUAUGGAGUUGAGUGAUGAUUGGUGGGAAGGAGGGAAAAAAGAGGACAGUCCACAAGGAUGGAGUAUGAUGAAAUGGCUUCAAAAUGGGGAGCAUGAUGAGAAAAAUGGGUCUGCAAUGAUUCCUCAAGUGUCUGUGCAUGCUAUAACUAGGUCGAUGGAUUAUAGGACAAUGAAGGUGACUAGAUUGGUGGGUGGAAAGGUGUGCACUUCUUGAUUGAUAUAGGAAGUACUCAUAAUUUCUUGAAUCUGAAUACAUCAAAAAGAUUGCAGUGUUUCCUGCAGGAAAUACCUCCAUUUGCUUACAGUAUCAGACAUGAAUAUGGUGUACAGUACGUACAUGCAUGAAGGGUUUUCUUAGAGGAUGCAAGGUGUCGACUUUGCUACUAACAUGUUGAUAUUACCAUUGGGAGCGUGUAGUGUAGUUAUGGGAAUUCAAUGGUUGAUUACAUUGGGGGAUAUCAAGUGGAACUUUAGAUAGCUGAAGAUGGAAUUCAUGAUUCAGGGGAAGAAUGUUAUGACCCAACUCCCACCGGAGGCGUGAUAGCGCCUAACAUCGCUUGUUUGGCAAGCCAACAACAAAUAUGUGGAAGUAGACCUCAAUAAUAAUAAGAAAUAGUCUCAAAACCGGAAGGGUAUAAAUAAUAGAAGUUAAAAAUGUCAGUAAAAUGAAUUCACUCCAAAAUCUGAUGUUUCAAAGUAUAUGAGCUCUGUGGAAUACUAAAUACAAAGUCAGAACAAUAUACAAUACUGUAUGGAAGACUGAACAGUAAGAACAUAAGAUAAAAGGGAGGACCCCGAACGAAACAGAUGUGCUACCUCGAAAUCUCUAGUCUAAUCCGCAUACAGCUAACUAGCAACCACUGCUAUCAACAACACUUGCAUGUGCACACAAAGUACAGAGUGUAGAAAUAGUACAACCGAUCACAUGUACUCAAUAUGUAGCAAGCUUAACCUCCAGCUGAAAGUAGUGACGAGCUUGGAAAGGUCCGAUGCUCAUUAUCCACAACCAACAAUAGCAAUAACGGCAGAAUAAUAGCAUAUAAAGAAAAGCAGCUAAAAUUAAAACAAGCUUAGCUUAACACAACAUGAGGAAAACUACACAUGCUUUUUAGAUAUAAUAGUCAAGGCAUCAAUUUCCAUAGAAUUCACUUAGACAGGUAAUUAACAAGAUACAACUAUAAUAUCAAGCUCUAAACAUCAAUUGGAGACAUCAAAUACGAAUUAACAUGAGGAAUAAAAUAACUAUAUGCCAGCAUGCUAGUCAUACAUGCCAAAUCAACCAAGAAUCACAGUUUAAAUAUCAGAUAUACGGAAUCUCAUCACGUUAAAAGUGACUGGCACACAGUGCUCCUCAAUCAUAGUCUCAGCACUCUCAGGUUACCCGUCAAGAUGCCCAUGGAUCCUCACACACGAACAUAUGCACACUCUCAGCACUAUACGGGUGCCUAACAUAAGUCCCUCACCCAGCACGUAACGUGUUCCUACACUCAAGAGUCCUAGAGACUAUGGGUUAUCACCUAACUCCGAAGGGCGAAUUUUAGCCUAAGAGUUGAUCAGAUCAAAGUCAACGAUCAUCACAACGCAACCCAAAUGGCCUGGCGCAAGCGUUAACUCAAUAUCAAUACAACUCAUCCUAAUAGGGGGCUGUCACAUGCGUCACAUCAAUAUCAAUAUCAGUAUCAAUACAGCUCUAUGGCCCCAACUCAGUCAUUAAUUCGCUCAGAUCUCAAUAUGCUAAUAUCUCACAGUGUCAAAAUCAAUUUACCCCUUGGAUUAUGCCAACGUGCCACAAAUCCACUCAAAAUCAUAUCACACACGUAAGGAUGCUAACAACAUGUAAGAAGUAUACGAAAAUGAUGAUAUAACAUGCAGAUGUAAUAUCAUGACCGAAAGGUAUGAUUACGUCUAAGAUAAAUAUCUUUGCAUAGCAAAAGUAGCCCUAUCAUGCCUCAACAAAUAAGCAAAUAGCCUAGACAUGAUUCCUAACACGAAUAAUAGCCCACGUAAUUAUACAAGUGGAGAAAACAGAUAUCAAAUAAGCAUGAUAGCAAAAUAAGGCAUAUAAUGGCCUAAGAACUACUCAGAUCAUGAAUAACCACGAUGCACGCAUAUACACACGUCAUCUCACAUAUAUGUCACCCCCAACACAUAACAAAUAUCAUAGUCGAUGGGGAAAUUACCCUCAAACCAAGCUUAGGCAAGAUACUUACCUCAUCCAGGCUAGUUUUCAACCCCGAAUCGCAUCAAAACCUUGAUCUAGCUUUCCAAUCACGAAAAUCCAAGCAAAACAUCAUCUAAGAAAGUCAACAAUGCCAUAAAAAGCGAUCCCAAUCCAUAAAUCUUCGAUCAUUGAAGAAAUUCCCAAAAGUCAGCAAAAGUCAACACCAGCCCACGUGCCCGAAAUCUGAAACCAACACCAAAAUUCUAUGACACAUAACCUGUCGAGUCCAAAUAUUUAAUUAGUUUCCAAAAUUGAGUCCAAAUCGAUACUCAAAUCUCCAAAAUACACUCUCUUAAAGUGUAGACAAAAAACCCCCAAAAUAUGGGUAAUCAAGAUAUAAAGCCAAUUUCAAGUGCAAAUUGCUUACCUCCAAUGAAGUAGUGAAAUUUCUCUUCCAAAUCUCCUCUUCUCGAAGUCUAGGGCUCAAAAUAUGAAACACUUAACAAAGUCCCGAAAUUGGAAACUUAAAUGCACUAUCCAGCAGUACCCUACGCGAUCGCGAUAGCACCCUCGCGAUUACUAAUGUCAAUCUGCCUCCAUCCCAGCUAUGCUUCGCAAACGCGAUGCCUCCUACAUGAACGUGAAGGUCCACACUGCCUAGGCCUUCACGAUCGUGACGCUGCCCACGCGAAUGCGAUGUCCAAAACCCCACCUGACCACAAAGCUCCGCGAACGCGACCUCUUCAUCGCAAAUGCGAAGAACAAUUACCAGGGAUCGCAAAACACCCUUCAUAAUCGCGAUGCUCCUGGCGCGAUCGCGAAGCUCAUUAGAACAGCACUAGAAAUCAGCAAUGUAACACAACCCGAAAUGGUCUGAAACUAUCCCGAAACUCACCCAAGCCCCUCUGGACCCCGUCCAAUCAUACCUAUAAAUCCAAAUACAUUAUCCAAACUUUUCUAAAGGCUCAAAACACCACGAUUAACGUCAAAACAAAGAAUCAUCAAUCAAGAUCAAUCUCUUAAGUACAUAAACUUCCAACGUCUCUAAUUUAAGUCUAACCAAUCCAGAAUGAAUCCAAACUUUGCACACAAGUCCCAAAUGAAAAAAUGGACCUAUUCUAAUUCUUGAAACAACAAUCCAACCCAGAUAGCCUCAAAGUCAACUCCCGGUCAAAUUUGUGAACUCUCCAAUUCUUUAAAUUGCCAACUUUUGAUAAAUAGAGCCAAAACCUUAUAGGAACAUCCAAAUUCGAAUCCUAACAUACUUCCAAGUCCAAAAUCACCAUACAAACCUAUUGAAACCAUAAAAUUCUAAUUCCGAGGUCGUUUAUUCAAAAGUUAAACUUUGGUCAACUCGUCCAACAUAAAGCUUCCGAAUUGAGAAUUACCCUUCCAAAUCAGCUCUGAACCUCUCGAAAGUCAAACUCAACUAUACACGCAAGUAGUAAUGCAUAAUAUGAAGCUACUCAAAGUCUCAAACCUUCGAGCGAAGUGCCAAAGUUCAAAAUGAUCAGUCGAGUCGUUACAUUCUCCCUCACUUAAAUAUACGUUUGUCCUCGAACGUGCCAAGAGUCGUUUCAAAGCUGCCAAAUCACCGUAUGACUCAUCAUACCCAUACCCGUGGGUGUCUCACGUCACCUCAAACCACAUAAGGCCAUUUACACAAUCCAGACUAAAAGAUUUUCCAUCAGCCUUAGCUUAAGGAUCCAUAGCAAAAUCUUCUAACCACAAUAGCUUCUCAUUACCAAAUACGAUACCGGUAAUAUACCUCAUGACACAUAAAACCUUGCUCCAACGUUUGCAAUACUGCAAAUGAUGAAAGAAAUAUGUAAAAACUUAUAACCACCCAUCAAAUCAACAAGUCAUGGAGUUCUCUCACUCAACAAGAACCAUUACCAAAUUCGGAGCUGAUUAGUGACAUUCUUCCUCCAAACAAACAUUAUACAAUAUCAAUUGCACUGAUUCCAGAUCCAAUAGCCUCGUCUCACCCAGUACAAGCUGCUAUACCAACGGCCAUAUCAAAUACAAUCAAGAACCUCAUACAAUGCAAUCCAUGCGUCAGCAAUCAACCGUUCGAAUAUGACCAGUAAUGGAAAAAGAACCAAGACGGAACUAUCCAACAAGUUCAAUAAAUACAAUAUCAAGAGCGUAAUGCUAUGAAUCCAUCCCACAAGGGAGAAAAACACACACAAAAUGAACACGAGGAAUCAUAUCCAACAUAAUCUUGUUGCAACGUGCAACCCGGUCCACACAUAAUACCGUGCGGCAUGCAACCCGACCCACAUAUAUCACUCUAUAUGAGAGUACCCACCGAGCCAACAUGCUCAUACCCACUAAACACAUGUGUAGCUGCAACAAGCACGUAUAGUGCAUAAACACAACCGUGGGGAGACAGAUAGCAUAAUGCGCUACAGAAAAGGCCAAGUACGACUAAGGUGUAAUAAGCAGAUCAACAUCUCAUGAGCCAUCUCUCUCAAAUAUUGUCACAAGACCUAAAUAGAACCACAACAUGUGUGUGAAUAACCAAGUAGUCUCGCAACCCAUCAUGACACAAAGAAGUAACACAUGAAACAUAUCUAAGGCGUGAAUAGCAUUCAUUCUGCCCGAUAACACACCCAUAGAAAAUGGUACACUGAAUACGCGAAUUCAAUCCAAUGUAGAAUACACACCCUUACUAGGCCUACCAAUGAGCCUCCAAACCAAUUUGGGUCAUUCCAAAAAUAGGUCAAUAGCCUUCUAAAAGUCCAUAGUGACCCCAUCCAUGACACAUACGAUCAACUGUCAAAUCCUGAAUACACUUCCAUAGUCCGCAACCAGAGGAAUAACCUACCUCUCUGAAAUAAAAUCUCCAAACCGAGAGAGUACCAAAAUCUCCAUACCCGAUCCCUAACUCUUCCAUUCAAGUGACUAACACACCAUGUAGACACAACCAUCCCAUAGGAGAUACUCCCAUAACCCUUCCGCACAAGCAGCAAAACCUAAACUUCACCGGCUACCAACCAUGCGAUCUCUACAAUACUAGUCAAGCAUCCGCAAUCAAUACACAAUGCACCGUCCACAAAACACACCCUUCCCAAGCGAUACUGAAGACAAUACUAGCAUUCUCUCAACAUUAGAUGUUUCCCAUGUUGUCUAGAACUCAUAAUACUCCUUUCAAAACCAAACUACAACCUUGUUCAUGCAAUCCCAAUUCCACACCGCUCACUGCAUCAAUCAUGCUAAUAUGCAAAAAUACGAUAAUCCCAUUAUCAACUCUGAUUCACAGACAGGAUAUACACUCCAUCAACUAGAAACCUUUCACUAAGCUCAGUUUAGGAGAAAAUCACCAUGCAACCAAAUUCCCAUGCUUGUAGAGGACAACAAUUGCAAGUCGUGGUUGAAAUCAUCACAAACUCUUCGAAAUCCGUAUGCACAUAACGAGGCCAGCCGAACCGAAUACCUCUAAAUCACCCAAGUCACACAGACUAUUAAACCCGACAGUAUUACCACAAAGACACUUAUAAAGCCCUUUAAUACCAAAGAAACCGAUCAUUUCCAUUACCAUGCUGAACCAAACCACCGCUAAACAAACCCAACUCCUUCAAAUUACUCAUGACCCACCUUUACGGCAAUGCUACUCUUCCCAAUUUUAUUAUGGACCUCAAUCAAUACUCAUCCCAGGUGAUCCCGAUGUGAAAUCUCGUUGUCCCAAGACUCGUAAGCCACUGUGUUUCCCCCAUUGUACGUCCAAUAGUACCUCAAAUUGAAAUACCUGCUCUGAAGAGGCCCUCUAUAAAUUUGAAGUUGUCUCUUUCAUCUCUCAAACACUGCCUCACAGAAUUGAUAAUGAUAUAGAAAUGUUCCAAGUCCUUUCCGCAAUCCAAUGUAAAUCUCAAAUCUCCAGUCAUACACAAACCCAAAAAUCCUUAGAUACCACGUAUUGUAUCUUGCAUCCAUUAAAACUUUCACGGGAGUCACCCACUCUGUAUUAGUGCUAUGUUAGCACGUGAAUACACCAAAAUGAAAUAACUGAGUGAAUCCUUCCCUUGCUCACUACCUCUACAGAAGAAUAUCAAACCUGAGUCCCUCCACAAUCUUCAUAUAUUACUAAGAUGAAAUACAACACACUCCUAGAAAUUCAUUGCUCAAAUCAUCCUCAAAGUCAUCCUCCUAAGAUCAUAUCUAAUCUCUAAGCGUCCCAUAGUCCAAAAUCUAUAACAACACAUAAUUAGGUAACUCAAUCACCGAUGGUAGACUCUCCCACUUGGCUUCAAGCCAAAAACACAUAAUCCAAGAACCCAUAAUGACCGCUCCUCUCGAAUUCAAUACCAAUACCAAAAUCCGAUUACUCAUAACAUACCGAGUCCAAAUAUGUAAUUAGUAUCCAAAAUCGAGUCCAUAUUAGUACUCAAAUCUCCAAAAUACACUCUCUUAAAGUAUAGGCAAAAACCCUGAAUUUCCUUUCAAAAUUCCACGUUUUAGGUGUAGAAAUUCAUAGGUAUUCAAGAUAUAAAGCCAAAUCUAAGUGAAUAUUGCUUACCUCCAAUGUAGUGGUGAAAUUGUUCUUCAAAAUCUCCUAUUCUCGAAGUAUAUGGCUUAAAAUAUAAAAUAAUGGGCAAAGUCUCGAAAUUGGAAACUUAAAUGCACUCUCUAGCAGUACCCUAUGUGAUCGCGACAGUACCCUCGCGAUCGCGAAGCCUAAUCUACCUCCAGCCCAGCUAUGCUUCUAGAACGCUAUGCCUCCUACGCGAACGUGAAGGUCCACACUGCCCAGGCCUUCGUGAACGGGACGUUGCCUACGCAAACACGAUGGCCAAAACCCCGCCUGACCACAAAGCUCCGUGAACACGACCUCUUCAUCGUGAAUGUGAAGAAAAAAUCACCAUGGACCCCAAAACACCCUUCGCGAUCUUGAAGCUCAUCAGAAUAACACCAAAAAUCAACAAUGCAGCACAACCCAAAAUGGUCUGAAACUAUCCCGAAACUCACCCGAGCCACUUGGGUCCUCGUCUGAUCAUACCAACAAGUACAAAUACAUUAUCCAAACUUAUCUAAAGGCUCAAAACACUACGAUUAUCAUCAAAACUAAGAAUCUUCAAUCAAGAUAAAUCUCUUAAGUGCAUAAACUUCCAACUUCGAACCAAGCGUCCGAUUCAAGUCUAACCAAUCUGGAAUGAACCCAAAAUUUACACACAAGUCCCAAAUGAUAAAACAAACCUAUUUUAGUUUUCUGAACAAUAAUCCAACCGAAUAGCCUCAAAGUUAACUCCCUGUCAAACUUGUAAACUCUCAAAUUCUUCAGAUUGCUAACUUUCAAUAAAUAGAGUCAAAACCUUCUAGGAACAUCCAAAUUUAAAUCUGAACAUACGUACAAGUCCAAAAUCACCAUAUAAACCUAUUGAAACUAUCAAAUCCCGAUUCCGAGGUCAUUUAUGCAAAUGCCAAACCUUGGUUAACUCCUCCAACUUAAAGCUUCCGAAUUGAGAAUUACCCUUCCAAAUCAGCUCCAAACCUCUUAAAAGUCAAAACCAACUAUACAUUCAAGUCAUAAUGCAUAAAAUGAAGCUACUCAAUAUUUCAAACCAUCGAAUAAAAUGAUAAAACUUUAAACGACCGGUCGGGUCAUUACAAAGAAAGUGUCACUCCGGGGCAUGCAACCUCCUGCAAUGAGAAUUGUGGAUCAAGAUUAAUUGAACAAAUUAUUGUCCCAGCCACCUUCUUUUUCCAUGAUGUCUGUGACCUUACUGAGAAUAAUCCUUGAGGCUGAUGUUUUAGAAGGAACCCUACAACAAAUGUCCAAGGAAGUGGCAGUCAAUUAGGAGAUGGUACGACUGGAGGAAGUCCUUCAUCAGUUUGCAGAUCUUUUUGAGGAGCCUAAGCGCUUACCUCCUCACAGAACUCAUGAUCACAGAGUAGUGGUGAAAGAAUGAAGCUCACCUGUUACUGUGAGGCCUUAUAGAUAUCCUGCAACACAGAAAGAGGAAAUGGUAAGAUUUGCUUAAAUCUGGAGUUAUAAGGCAUAAUACCAGUCCCUAUUCUUCACCAAUUGUAAUGGUGAAGAAUAAAUAUGGCACCUGGAUAAUGUGUAUUGAUUACAUGGAACUUAAUAGAACCACUAUGAAGGAUAAGUUCCCUAUACCAGUGAUUGAGGAACUUUUGGAUGAAUUUUAUGGGGCUAAAUUUGUCUUUGAAUUGGACCUAAGAUCAGGUUACCACCAAAUUAGUAUGGCUGAUGGAGAUAUGGCCAAGAUAGCAUUUAGAACUCAUCAAGGACAUUAUGAGUUCCAUGUGAUGCCAUUUGGGCACACAAAUGCACCCUCGACCUUCCAGAGCCUUAUGAAUCAGAUUUUUGCUGAGCAGUUAAGAAGGUAUAUUUUAGUUUUCUUUAAUGACAUCCUGAUUUACAACACUGAUUUGGAAAGCCACUAGCAACAUCUUACUUCAAUGUUGUCUAUUUUGAGGGCCCAUCAGUUAUUUGUUAAAAGGAGUAAAUGCAGCUUUGGGGUCCACCAGGUGGACUACUUAGGUCAUUUGAUAUCUCACAAAGGGGUAUCAAUAGAUCCUCAAACGGUAUCAAUUAUUGUAAAAUGGCAUUUACCUAAAUAUUUAAAAGCUUUAAGGGGAUUUUUAGGGCUUACUGGUUAUUAUAGAAGGUUUGUGAAGGUCUAUGGAAUCAUUGCAAGACCCUUAAUAGACAUGCUGAAGAAGGAAUCAUUCCACUAGACCGAUACAGCUAAGGCAGCCUUUGAACUAUUGAAGAAGGCAAUGACCUCAAAUCCUGUCCUUGCACUACCAGAUUUUACUCAGGAUUUUGUUAUUGAGUCUGAUGCAUCUGAUAGGGGUAUAGGAGCUGUUAUGAUGCAACAAGGUUGACCAAUUGCAUUUUUCAGCAAAGGAGUAUCUCUUAGAUAUCAUGCCUUAUCUGUAUAUGAGAGGGAUUUGUUGGCUAUCAUUUCAGCAGUUCAGAAAUGGAGGCACUAUCUAAUUGGAAGACAUUUUACUAUUAGAACUGAUCAUCACAACCCAAAGUACUUGUUGGAGCAACAAAUCACCACCCCUAGCCAGCAAAAAUGGUUAGUUAAAUUGUUGGGAUAUGAUUACAAUUUCAGUAUACAAAGAGGAAAGACAACUUGGUAGUUGAUGCUUUUUCUUGAAGAAGUCAAGCUAAGAAGGAACCAAUUCAAUGUUGUAGUUUGUCUAGUAUUACCUCUCAAGUGUGACCUAGGAUUAGGGCUUCAUGGAAAGGAGAUGCACACUUACCGGAAAUCCUUACAUGUUUAAGACAAGACUUAGAGGUAAGGCCACCAUAUCAAUUGAAGGGUGAAGUACUGACUAAAAGGCAAGGUGGUAGUGGGUAAUGACCCUGCACUGAGGAAGGAGCUACUAGAAUUGCAUCACAACAGUUAACUAGGGGGUCACUCUGAAGCAAUUUUCUACUGGAAGGGGAUGAAACAAGAUGUCUACUCUCAUGUUCAAUCCUGUGACACUUGUCAGAUAUGCAAAGUUGAGAAUGUAGCCUCUCCAGGAUACUCCAGCCAUUGCCUAUUCCUGACAAUGUAUGGCAACACAUUUCUAUGGACGUCAUUGAAGGUCUUCCUCCUUCACAUGGGAAGACUGUGAUCUUUGUAGUAGUUGGCAGGUUGAGCAAAUAUGCUCUCUUCCUUAUCUUAAAACAUCUUUACACUGCUCUAGACGCGGCUCAAGUUUUUCUUGAUGGUAUUUUCAAAACUUUAUGGUAUGCCUCAGUCUGUAGUUUCUGAUAGAGAUGCCAUCUUCUUGAGUAAAUUCUGGCAAGAAUUCUUCAAGCUAUAGCCUGUGCAUCUCUACAUGUCCCCAUCUUAUCAUCCACAAAGUGAUGACCAAACUAAGGUUUUCAACAGGUGUUUGGAAUGUUAUCUUAGGUACAUAGUGGCUGAAAUACCUAGGGAAUCGUGUAAGUGGUUAUCCCUUGCAGUGUAGUGGUAUAAUACCACCUAUCACUCCUCAGCAAAGGCUUCACCUUAUGAGAUUCUGUAUGGGCAGCAGCCCCCUCCAUUGGUUCCUUAUAUGCCUUUUGAUUCUCAAUUAGAUGUUGUAGAUAGAAGUUUGCAGUCCAGAGAAGCCUUUAUAAGGGCAUUGAAAUUCCAUUUGAAUCAAGUUCAGUAGAGGAUGCGGGUGCAAGCUAACAAGAAAAGGUCUGAGAGAAUUCUCGCAGUUGGUGAUUGGGUGUACGUGCGACUUCACCCAUACAAGAACUUUCUCUGAAGUCUUAUACUUAUCAAAAGUUGUUUGCAAAGUACUUUGGACCUUUCCAGGUUCUCCAGAGGAUUUGUUCUGUUGCAUACAAGCUGGAUUUAUCAGCUGGUACUAAGAUUCAUUCUACAUUUCAUGUACCAUAACUGAAGAAACGAAUAAACUCAAUUAUAGUCUUUCCUACUAUUCCUUCUCAAGUAAUUGACCAUGGAGUAGUUCUUCUGGUUCCUGAAGCUAUUCGAGAGAGAAGGUUAAUUCUUCGACAUGGGAAACCAGUGGUCCAGGUGCUGGUUAAAUGGGCCAAUACAAUAGAAGAGGAAAAUUCGUAGGUUGAUUUUUAUCAACUAAAGCAGCAGUAUCCCAACUUUGAUCCUUGAGGACAAGGAUGUUCUUUGAGGAAAGGGUAUUUGCUAUGUCCAAAAAUAGUUAAUAAGAACUUGAGGGAUCAAAUUGUAAAGAAGUAGAAGUCCACAUGAUGUCGUUUUAAUAAGUGAAUUGUUAGUGAAGAGAGAAUAGAUACUCGGUGUCGUUUUGUGCAAGUUAGUUAAUCGCUAUUAGCAAUUUGUUAGACGGUUUGGGAAAUAGUUAGUAACUGAUUUGGGGAAAUUGAGUUUAAAAGGAAAAAAAUUAUUUGUCUAUUGGAAGCGGUUGAAUUCGAAUGAAAAUAACUCUCUUUUUUUCUCUCUAUCUUUCUACUUCUUCUCUGAUUCUUGAAUCCCGAUUACAACUGAUUUCUGUUCAGAAACUCUUCUUCUCAAAGUUCCUUAGGAGAUCAUCCUUUCACUUUAGCCCUCUUUGUAUCAGGUGCGCCACCGGGAACGAGGUGCUCAGUAUGGCACUGCCUCCAAGUGUGUUGCCCACUACGUCGCUCUCAAAGUGCAUCUGCUGCCUAACUUUGUUUUCCUUCAAAUCUUCAAUUAUUGCUACCUAAAUCAACUUUUCAUGUGCAUUCUUCUCUUCAUUAAACUCCAACUGUCACCACGUUAACUUGCUAAUUUUGGAGUCUUCCUCCAACCAAACUUUUUACUUUAGUCCAUCUUUUAAUCGCCCAACUCCUAGUCAUAGUUGACUUGCACAUCAGUUUGUCCCAUGUUCAUCAUUUUGCUCCAGAGUUGUGCACUUUCACUUCACUCGACUUUCAAUUGCUUCCACACAUAUAAACAACGCAAUAAGCUCAAAACUUCAAAAUGCACUUCAAAUAUUUACUAACACAACACUAAAAUGUGAGGCAAAUAACGUUAUUUUAUCAAACAUCAAUACCCCACGCUUAAGUUUUUGCUCGUCCUCGGGCUAAACUAACUCAAAACAUAUCACAAAAUUACACAACUUGGAAGAUCACAUAUCAAUUAAACACACUACACCCAUGACUAUGAUUGAUAACAACAAUUAAGCCAUAUAUUUUCUACACACUUCUCCAAAUUUAUCAUGCCAACACAGUUAAACAAUUCAAAAUAUUUAAAUACUUUGAUCUUAAUCUCCUAACCUUAAGAAAUGACUUAAUGCCACAAAGUAUUCUCAGGAACAAUAUAUAGAGUAUAGUAGAUAGCGCACACAUUAGAAAUAAGGGUUCAUAUUUUAUUCAAGGACUCACACAUAUGAAGAAAAUUCACUUGCUCUCACAAAGAAAUUCAUGUGUCAUCCAAAAGUCGUACUAUAGGCUUGCUCGUAGUGUAGGACUCGAUUGAUCUAAGCCUGUUAAAUGUAGGAUAAAAUAGGACUUCAAGGGCUGUAACGUAGGUUAAGGGACAAACAUGAUAUAUCUGAGAUAAUAAUGACUAACCCUCCUAAGCACUAGUUUAUACAAUACCAUUCACUUUCGAGCGCACAUUCAUCAUAACCAACUCUAUUGCCUUGCCAAGAGACCAUCACAUAUAAUUAGGCUCUUUCUCUUUAAGCACUUCAUAUCUUGGCAACUUACUAGCACGGAUCAAGUUGUAAGAGAGAUGUAUUUAUUUUUAAAAAAUUAAUAGAGCUCCCUAUCUUUGCAUUCCCGCUAGUAGUUCUUUUCUUACACAAAUGUAUCUUUCUUCCUUUCAGUGGUUUCACCAAAAGCUACCAAUUUUAAUCUUACUCUUUCUAGCGCUCAUUUUCGCGAUUUAAGUGCUUUCGGAGGUAAAGGUUCAUUAAAGAGUUUAUUAAGAACAAAAGGAUAUUGGCUUGUAAUAUGGGUGCCAAGGAAAAGGCUUACAGGCUCAAAAUGGUUGACUAUGAAUAACAUCAACAAUGGAGGGCAAAAGGCUAAAUAGGCUAAUCAAAGAAAUGCCAAAAUUAUCUCAUAGACUCAACAAGACUCGCUCAUUUCUCUUAGACCCACAUAUGAGACAAGUUCUAGACUAAUACGAGAUGCCACAAAAAUCAAUACUAAACCUCACUUCAUACAAUGCACAUGAUCCACUCUGGACGUUCCAUUCAAAUUCUCAAGUCAAAGCAAGUAUCCACAAAGCCAAUAAAAUAUCAAACAUAAAGCACUAAGACGAUACAACGAUUCAAGAAACUUAGAGUAGGUGUCACAAAACAGGCUAUUUAAUUUUCAAAGCACACAUAACCUCAAAGUUCAUGGUAAAGGUUAUCUAUAUGCCUAGACCUAACUAUACUGGUACCAAACAAGUCAAAAGAUCCCUAGAAAUCAUAUCAGUCUCUUUUUUAUUUAUUAACUACGUCCUAAACUAGUCUUAAAAACUAUUCGGUUUAAGUUAUAUUUCUUGAAAAAGAACCGAUGCACAAAAAAAUCAAGGAGAAUUAUUACAUACUAAAGUAAUCUAAAACUACCUAAGAAAGCAUAAAAUAUUUUUGUAGUUUUCUUUAAUUUUUAACCUUUUUUUGUUGGUAUUUUUCGAUAUCAGGAAAGUGAAAACUACUAAUGUAAUGAAGAGCUCACUAACCUUUAUGGGCCAUUAAUAGUGCGAGUAUUACAACCAAAACUAAGGAAAGCAAGAGACAAAUUAAAAAUAAAGUCAAGUGACUAAACAAAAAAAUACAACUAAUACGAAUACUACACUAAAGAUAAAAAAUAGUAAAGUGUCACGACCCCAAUUUUUCGACCUUAGGAUGUCGUGAUGGAACCUAGUCUCUAAUAAGACUAGAUAAGCCUAACAAAUGAGAGAUUAUGACAGAAAUAGAAGCUAAAACAUGAUAUAAACUAACAAUUCUCAUAAAUAUCUCGAUAACUGAAACACAACUACAAAAUCCGGUGACACUGAGCCAUAAGCUUCUACUGAAUGUUCCAAAACACCUACUAUAAUACCGUCUAAUAAAGGAAAACAACAAUACUAUAAAGAUAACGGAAGGUGACUCCGAGGCCUGCGGACGCCGAGCAGGUAUACGUUGAAGUCUCUGGCAAACAGCUACAAUCAAACACUAACGUCCAGCAUGAGCAGACGUACCUAGAUCUGCGCAAAAAGAUGUGCAGAAGCGUAGUAUGAGUAUACCACAAUGGUAUUUAGUAAGUAUCAAGCUUAACCUCGGUAGAGUAGUGACGAGGCCAGGUCAAGAUACCUACUAAGACAUAAUAACAGAAUGAAAACGUAAUAACGAGAAGUAAUGGAAGGUGGAGAAAUAAAUAAUACGAAACUAGUUAAUAACAUAGACUAAUGACAUAACUGUAAGCAUAUAGAUCACCUAAAGGAAUCAAUUAAAGAGAACCACAAUAGUCAAAUACGGACCAAAACUGAUAAGACAAGGAUGAAUCAAAGAAACAAGAAGUGUUCCACCAAUGACUCUUUACAACAUGAAAUAAACAACAAGAAUCACAAUCGAGGUACCACCUCGUAUACAACCAGAAUCACAACCGUAGUACCGCCUCGUAUACAACAAGAAUCACAUCCGAGGUACCGCCUCGUAUUCACAUUUUGUAAUUUCAAUCACAAUCUUUCCUUAUACCGUCGCGUGAGCCUUACAUUUAAAUAGUUUUGAAAAUAUUUUUUCCGUAAUAGCUACACUAACUUUAGCUCACCUUAUGACGCCGCGUGCACAUUAACCUCUAUCCUUAUACUGCCGUAUGCGCAUCAAUAUCACAUUACAAUAACAACUCGCACCACAAGUGCCCAUUUGUCAGAAUUUGCCAAUAAUCAACAAUAUCAAUAUUUCUACAACAAUAGCCCAUGGCUCAACCACAAUUUGUACAAGAAUAUCAACAAUAACAAUGAAUGUAAAUUUCUCAAAAAGAAAGAUAUCUCAACAAUUAACACUUCGCCUCAAUGUGAUAACAUCUUUCACAACUUUAAUACCAAUACUCAAGAGUGAGAGAGAUAAUGUGUAACCCCGAUAUCAAAUAAGAAUAAAUCACAAUGAGAGAUGUAACAUAUAACAAUGAUUUCAAGUAAGGAUAAAUCAACAAUGGAAGAGAUAACAUGUAGCAAUGGCUUCAAUUAAGAAUAAAUCAACAAUGAAAGAGAUAACAUGUAACAAUGAAAGAGGCAACAACUUCAACUAAAGCAUAAGAACAAAGUAUCAAGUAAAAUGUAGAACAAGUGUUAACAAAGUCAAAUAAGGCAUGUAAGGAAAGACUAACACAAGUAAGAAUAGAUUGAUUAUGAGAGUUCAAAACAUGAUAUGACAAUUCAAUUAAGGGAUGGAAAUAGUCUAAGUAGCCUAAACCGAUCAGAUAUCAAAUAUAACCCGUGUACCCACUCGUCACCUUCCGUACACGGCUUUCAAAUAGCACAAAUAAAACAUUCAAUCCCAAAUCCUAAGGGGUAGUCUCCUCCCUCCCCCCCUCCCCCCCAACCCACAAAGUUAGGCAAGAUACUUACCUCAACUAUGCCAACUCAACCCUCAAAAAUAGCUUUUUCCCUAAAAUUCGCCUCCACACAGCUCAUAUCUAACCAAAAUCGACUUAAUAUCAUCAAACAAUGCAAUGAAAAUCAAUUACAAUAGAUAAAGAUAUGAUCUUUACACUUUUCUCAAAAAGUCAACAAAAGUUAACCCGGAGCCCGCCCGGUCAAAAUCCGGGUCCAAGGGUAGAUUCCGACUACCCAUAACCCCACGAGUUCAUAUAUAUAAUUUAUUUCAAAAUCUGAGUCCAAAUUGACUCUCCAAACUCAAAUUUUUAUUUUUCAAAAACUUGACAAAGUUUCACAAAUUUUCACUUUGAUUCACAUGAUUUUGAUGCUAAAUCUAAGAUAUAUUGAUCAAAUAUAAUUGAAAAAUGAUUAGAAUUACUUACCCAAUGUUUGUAUAUAAAAAUCCCCUUUCCAAAUCGCCUCCUACCGAGUCUAGGGUUCUAAAAUGAGAUAAUAUGUUGAAAAAUCCUGUCUCCCAGCCCUUAUGACCAGUUGCAAAUGUUGCAUUUGCGACACAGGGUUCGCAUUUUCGAACCCUCGCAAUUGCGAAUAAGGGAUCGCAUUUGCGAACCCUGAUAGCCUCCACAGAAGUCGCAAUUGCGAAGCUGGCCACUAUCGCAAAGCGACCAAUUACUCGCAAUUGCGAACCAGCUCUCAGGCCUGCUAACUUCACAAAUGCAAAGGGAAAGUCACAUUUGCGAAAUCUGAGACCCCCUGGUCACUUUUGCAAUUGCGAGGCCGGUGCUCGCAAUUGUAAUAACAGAGCACCAUUAACACCAGCAAUUCCAUUUUCAGUCCAAAACAUUCCGAAACAUGUCCGAAACUCAUCUGAGCCCUGGUGAUCCAAACCACAUAUCUACACAAGUCUAAAAAUACCAUACGAACUCGCUCGCACGAUCAAAACACAAAAAUAAUAUAUAGAAUUACGAAUCGAACACCAAAACGCAUGAAUUUCAAAGUAAAUUUCAAGAACUUCUAGAAUUGCAACUAGGCACCCGAAUCCUAUCAAUUAAACUCCAAAUAAUACCAAAUUUUGCAGACAAGUUCUAAAUAGCACAACAGACCUAUUCCAAGUUACAAAAUCAAAUUCCUAACUCAAUAGCUAAAAGUCAACUUACUGUCAAAUUUUUCAACUUCAAAUUGCCAAAUUUCGGCAAAACAACACAAAUCAACCUUCAGACUUCCGAAUUUGAUGCCGGGCAUACGCCCAAGUCCAAAAUCACGAUACGAAGCUAUCGGAGCCAUCAAAACACCAUUCCGGGGUUGUUUUUACAAAAGUCAAAGUUUGGUCAACAUUUCUAACUUAAGCUUCUAAGUCAAGAAUCAAAGUGUCCAUAUCAACCUGAAAUCUUCCCGAAAUAAAACUAAUCAACCCCGUAAGUCAUAAAAUCAUAAACACACAUGUGUGAAGCAUAAAAAGGGAUAACGGAGCGCAAUUAUAUAAAACGACUGGUCUAUUCGUCAAAAAAAGUUUCCCCCACACCACACUUAAUAGUGCAUUGUCCUCGAUGCAUAACAAAAUCAAAAUCAAACACAUAAGGGUGGUAAAGGGAUCAAUCUCGUAGAUCGCAACAUCCUUCUCUUUAUCCUCAGGACAGACACCAUAGGGGUUAGGCUCAUCUCCAUCAGUCCCCACAUCAUCAACAAUAGCCUUCUUAUCCUCAGCUUUGUCCUCGUGGACAGAUGGCUCUGGAGUGUUCUCAUCUUCCUCUGGCAGGACCAUAGUACCUGACAGAAGACCAACCAGCUAUAUAGCAUGGACAUUGAACGGGUGUCACUCAAGUAGAUGACUCCUUUCAUCCUCAACAACUGCUCUACCACUAAGUUAGAGCUCAAGAUCUAACAUCCGAGAGAAGUGGGCAAACAGACAACCAUCUCGAUAUAGCGCUCAGCUGCAGUCUAAGUGCUCACGCCCAUCCUCUUAUGGCCCUUUGACCCUAGUAAUAUAGUAGGCCUAACCACAAGAAGAAAAAUAAUAUCACAAUUCGGAUCCUCCUCUACUCUGUCUGAGCGCAAAUGCUCGGUAAGCACAUUGCCAAAGAAUAUUUUGGAAAGCUUUCCAGUCCUAGUAACUCCAUCUCCUAUCACAUUAAGAAUCCUACAUUGACCGCUUCCCAAUCAUCAAGAAGUAGACUAAACACACUCGCUCUCUCAAUAUAUUAGUGUAGUGGUCACCAGGCAAAAUCCUCCUGCCUACCAACUUCAACCAAAUCUUAGCGGGCCUCAGAACUUUCCCAUAUGGAAACAACUAUGUGCCCUCUUCUUGUCAUGAAUUCACAAAGAAUCAGAAUUGACACCACAUAAAGUGUGUCUAAUAGCUGGAUAGUCAGGAUGCUUUAUAAACUCAAGUAGCGAGGGGCGGCCCGACGAAUUUUGUGGCCUAAAGCCAAAUUUUACGAGGGGCCUUAAUUUUUUAUUAAAUUGUUUUUAUUUGAAGUCCAUUUUUUUAGUUUUUUUUAAAUGCAAAGUUAUUAAUAAUUUUUUUAUAAUCAAUUUUUUUUUUCUAAUAAUUCUUUCUCAAUUGAUAAUAUAGUUCAUUUAUUUAACUUCUCUUCAGACAUUAUUGAGCUUAGCUAAGAUUUUAUCAAUUUUAAUUUCGAAAAACUUCUUUUUGCUGAAGCAACGGUAACAAGAGUUAUUAACAUUAUUCUAUAAGCAAUAUAGGCAUUUGGAAAAGAAUCAAAUCUUUUUAUUUGAUUGAGUAUGUCAAUUAAACUAUUAUCUUCUAAAAGGGCAGCCCUGUGCACUAAGCUCCCGCUAUGCUCGGGGUCCGGGGAAGGGCCGGACCACAAGAAUUUAUUGUACGCAACCAUACCCUGCAUUUUAGCAAGAGGCUGUUUCCACGGCUCGAACCCGUGACCUCCUGGUCACAUGGCAGCAACUUUACCAGUUACGCCAAGGCUCCCAUUCAAAACUAUUAUCUUCUAAUUGUACUAUUUUUCUUAACACUUUUAAUUCAGAAAAUAAAUCUAAACCAUCAAUAUCAGAUUGAUUAUUAUGCUUUAAGGAACACUCAAGAUUAAGGCAGUAUUUUUCCAAAUUUCCAUUAUCUGGUGAUCUCAGUUUUUUGCGCUAAAUAGAAAACAAAAAAUAUUUUCAUAUGCUUCGAAUUGUUCAAAUCUAUUUUGAAGUGAAAAAAUAGUCUUGAUUACUAUGUAUAAAUAGUAAUUAACUCUGAAGGACUCUUCAAGAGAUUUCAACAUCAAUAUUCACGUCAAAUUAUUGUUUUUCUAUAUAUCACACGUUACUUACAAGUUCGGGUUUGAUUUUCAUUUCAGAUGCAAUUUUCUUGAUAGAAAUCAUACCAGUUGUAAAUUCUUUUACCCCUUAAGCUUUUAAGACACAGGUUUUAAAAGUCUUUUUUUUCUUCUUAAAUUCCGUGACGAAUCAAACAACCUCAUCUAAAUUGAAAUAUAGAGAGUAUAUAAUAUAAUAGGUGUAAUAAAAAAUGAGCCCCCCACAAAUGUGGGGCCUAAAGCAGUUGCUUUACCUGCUUUAGGGUAGGGCCGCCCCUGCAAGUAGCGAUGUAGUAGGAACAUUAGGGGCAUCCAAGAAUUUUCACAAAGCAAUCGGUGAUAUGUAAAUAAGUCUCCCUCAUAUGGGCACCAGUUCUCCUCGUCAUAAACAUCCCAAUUUGCGUAGAACUCGCGUAUCAAGCUAACAUUUCCCUCGCAUGGAUUCUUGAACACUAAUCCCAGUCCUAUUUUAUACAGCUUCCCCAUAUGCGAACAUAAACUCACUUUCAAGGUGUGCUCAUCGAUAGUUGCCACAUUUGUAUAUAGGAGGCUUAAACUUCUUGUACCAAGCCUUCCCAUAAGCUUUCACAGAUUUGAGACUAAGGGUGUGUUUGGUAUAACGGAAAAUAUUUUCCAAGAAAAUAUUUUCUUGGAAAACAAGCAGUAAUAUUACUCAUUUUCCGGUCUUUAGUACGCAAAUUAAGGAAAAUAACUUCUCAAGAGUAUUCAUAAAUAAUUUUAGAUACAAUAAACAUGAAGCCAUAAACUUUCGAACCAACAACCUUUCGAACUCACAAAUUUCAUAAACUUCUGAACCGCUAAAUUUUCGAACACGCAUACUUUCAACCCGCAAACUUUCGAACACGCAAACUUUCAACCCGCAAACUUUCGAACCCGUAAACUCUAUAAUUUCUAAAUCCGCAAACUUCCAAACACAUAAACCCCCGAACUCAUAACUUUGGAACUCGUAAAAUUUCAAACCUGUAAACUGAAAAAUGAAAAACUAGAACUGAAAAUAUAUAAAAAAUAAUAAUAAUAAUUUUGCGCGGGGUGGGGGGUGGGGUGUGUGGGUGGUGCAGAAAAACGAAAAAACAGAAAAUAGAAAAUUUAAAAAUUCAAAAAAAUAAUUGGGGGGGAGGAGGGGAAGGGGUUGGGUUGACGGGGUUGGGGUGGGUGGGUGGCGUAGAAAAACGAAAAAAAAACAGCAAAUUGAAGUUGGAGGGGGUUGGGGUUAGAUGUGAGGGUAGGUGGAGUUUUUGGAAAAUAUUUUCCUAACUUUUUCUAGGAAAGUCAUUUUCCUCCAAUUUCAGGAAAAUGUGAUAUCUAGAAAAACAUUUUCCAAACUAUUUUGUGCAACCAAACAGUGAAAAAUGGGAAAAUAUUUCCGGAAAAUAUUUUCCGUCAUACCAAACACACCCUAAAGAUCAUCUUCUUCUUAUCAUGUGGCUCAACUGGGGUUGAAGUUGAGGCCUUUUGCUUGCCCUUAGCUUGGAUGCUAGACACAACCUCAGUGUGAGAUUAUCGUUUUUGCUGACAGUCCUGAAGUAGAGGUCUUGGCUGGAGCCUUAGCUAGCCUUAGCGCAAACUUGGUUAGGGCAAACCAUUUUUCUAAGAACCCACAAACAAACACAAGCCAUUAGUCAUAGGAUAUAAUAUGUAAAGCAUAAGUGGGUUGAAACGACCCCAUACUAAAAAUUCAAGCAUCGGAGCACUUUGACAAUUUUAAGGUACUUAGUCAUCCCCUACUAAACUCAAAUUAACCUUGCUAAUGUGAAACGUGCCAUAUUUUUAAACAUAUCAGUGUAUAACCAUCCACAUAACAUCAAAGAAUAAGUGGCGGACGCACGUAGUGGCAAGCGGGUUCAGUUGAACCCGCUUCAUCAAAAAAUAAUAUUGUGUAUAUGUAUAAAUUAGGAUUAAAGCUGCGUAAAUUUUGUAUAAAUAUUUUAUUAGAACCCACUUGACAACUACUAUUUUACGACUAAAGUUAUGUACUUCUAAGAUUGAACCCGCUUGCACAAAAUCCUGGGUCCGCCACCGCAAAGAAUGGCUGCACGUUCAACGUGAGUGACAAAAGUACUCGACCUAACUAAUUAGCAUAGAAAAGAUUAAGUUUCAAGUAUGCACAACAUGGGCAAAACAAUAACAGAUGAUCCACAUGAAUGAUAUUAGCAUACAUCAUGAAUGACACCAGUAACUUACUACAACAUUUCAAUCUGGGUAGCAAACAACACCUUACAAUUCAUAAUAUAUCAAAACUGAUUCACAAGUAUAGCCAUAAACUAAGCAGCUCGGCAGCUUACUAGUUUAGCACAUGCCACGUGCGACAUUGACCUUAACGCUUUCAAAACUACCCCAGCCUUGUUGAUCCACCCCACACUUAAUUCUCAUGAUUAUAGUCGUCACCACACUAAAUUAGUUUAACCCCAGAGACUCGGGAUCAAAUUGAGACUUGAAUCGCCGUUGAGAUAAUUCAUCGAACACUUAGCUCGCACAAAUUGUGUUUGAGUAUGGUUGAAUGUGAGGGACUACAUCACCCUCCCAAAUCGGCUUGGGACUUGUGUUCCUAGUACUUAUAUUAGCAAGUAAUAGAACAAGUAUGUGGAGAAAGAGUUGGGAUUCAUUUUUCACUAUUUUCCUCCAUUGCUAAGCACAACUAUGGGAAGAAAAAAAAUGAACUAAGCUACUACCUAAUUAGGGAUGAAAUAAGGAAAGAAGAUACUACCCCAAAUAGAGAAGAGAUAGAAAAGUUACCUUAUCUCAUGGUAAAGUGCAGCAGUGGCAAAGGGGGAAGAGGGAAUGUAUUUUAAAAUGGUGUUAAUUGUGUUAAAAAAAGGGAUUGGGUCGAGUUGAUCCGUGGGUGUGGGCGAAAUAAGGCAAAGAAAAAUAAAAAAAAACUUACAUGGGAGCGGUGAGAGUGCGACACGGACAGUGCCAGGCUCGGCUCUAUUGUGUCCUUAGGUGCGACGCGGUCAAUACAGAGGACAUACAUUGGGCGCGUUACCGGGUGCAAGACGCCGAGUAUAGCACCUAAAUAAAUUUGCCACUUGCUAUUGUGAGUGCUACUGGAAACGAGGCGCUGAAGACUGCUUCAGCAAAGCUAGGAAGAACAUAUAAAACAUGAUAGAAGGAAGAAUAUAUCCAAAACAAAGCAUGAUACAGCCUAAAGACUACCCUGAACAAAGAUAACCAUUUCACGUGCAUAUACGCUCGUCACCUCGCAUAUACAUCGCCCUCGCAUGUAGCAACCAAUAUUAUAUAUUAGAAAAAAGUCCCUCAAACCAAAGUUAGGCAACACACUUACCUCAUCCGGGCUAGUCUUCAACCUCAAAUCGCGUCAAAACCUAAUUCUAACCCUCCAAUCAUGCAAAUACAAUCCAAACAUUAUCCAAGGAAGUCAAACAAUACUAUAGGAAGCAAUCCCAAUCAAUAAAGUUUUGAUCUUUGAUGAAUUUUCAAAAUAUAAACAAAAGUCAACUUGGGCCCGCGUCCCCAAAAUUCAACCCAGAUACCAAAUAUCGAUGAUCCAUAACCUUCCGAGUCCAAAUAUAUAAUUAGUUUUUAAAUUCGAUUCCAAAUCUGUGGUCAAAUUCUCAAAAUACACUCUCUUAAAUUAUAGUCAAAAACCCCAAAAUUCACUUUGAAAAUUCAUAUUUUAAAUGUAGAAAUCCAUGGAAAUUCAUGAUAUAUGACCAAAAUUAAGUCAAAAUAUGGGUGAAAUCCAUCUCUAAAAUUGCCUUGAUCAGCUUUCCAAGCCUCAAAAUUUAUGAAAUGAGCUCAAAAUCCUGAAACUAGGUAUUAAAUACCCCUGUUAGGCCUCCUCUUUCGUGAUCGGGUCACAAACCCCGCUAUCACAAUUCACAAAAUGUCCGGCAUGAUUUUAUCCUUCGCGAUUGUGGCCAAGAAGCAAUGUGAUCGCGAUGAACAAACUUGAACAAAAUUUUUCAUCUCAUUCCAAACAACCUCUUGUUAACGGACAUAACAUUUAGUAAAAAAUUCUUAAUGACAAACGAUUUUGGUGUCCUGAUAACUUGACACAAAGGGCUACAACUUUUAUUUUUGAAUCAUCUCUAAAUUCCUUAUAGAUUGCAAGAUAUAAUCUCCCCAAAACAGCCUAGUGACAAUAGAAUUUUCUUUUACGCGAUUGUGAAUAGUCCCUCCGUGAAUGCGAUUUACAAGACAAAAACUACAUUUUACUCUUCGCGAAUACAGCCCAGAGCUCCGCGAUCGCGAUGUAUGCUCCUGUAGCCAAAAAUCAGGACAUGAAAAGAGCCUAGAAAUGGUCCAAAACCACCCCGAAACUCACCCGAAUCCCUGGGGAUCCCGUCCAAUCAUACCAACAAGUACAAUUAUCUAAUUCAAACUUUUGCAAAGGCUCGAAAAAUCACAAAUAACAUCAAAAUCAAGAAUUGAAGAUAAUAUCAUUCUCUUAACUUUCAAAUAUUCCAACUUUGCCGAAUGCGUCCGAGUCACACUCAGACAUUUUGGAUCAUAAGAAAAAUUUGCAUAUAAGUUCCAAUCAACUAAAUGAACUUAUCAAAUAUUCCAAAACACCAAACGGAAUUCGGUUAUAUCAAAGUCAACCUCCGAUCAAACUUAUAAAGUAUUCAAUUCUUUGAAUUGCCAACUUUCGACAAAUAGAGUCAAAAUCCACUAGGAACAUCAGAAAUCACAUUCGAACAUACGUACAAGUCCAAAAUAAACAUACAAACUCAUAGAAAUCAUCAAAUCUCGAUUCCGAUGUCAUUUACUCAAAAGUUAAACCUUGGUAAACUUUUCCAACUUUAAGCUUCCAAAAUGAGAAUUACUCUUCCAAAUCAAUCCCGAACCUCUUGAACAUCAAAGCCAACCAUACACGUAAGUCAUAGUGUAUCAUAUGAAGCUACUCAAAGUCUCAAACCGCCAAACAGAAUGCUAAAGCUCAAAGUGACUGGUCGCGUCGUUACAUUCUCCCUCACUGAAACAUAUGUUCGUCCUCGAACGUGAUAAAAGUCAUUUCAAAGCUGUCAAAUCACUGUAUAAACUUAUCAUACACAUACCCAUGGGUGAUUUCAGCUCUGUUGAUCCACCCCACACUUAAUUCUCAUGAUUAUAGUCAUCACCACACUAAAUUAAUUUAAUCCCAGAGACUCGGGAUCUAAUUGAGACUUGAAUCGCCUUUGAGAUAAUUCAUCGAACACUUAGCUCGCACAAAUUAUGUUUGAGUAUGGUUGAAUGUGAGGGACUACAUCACCCUCCCAAAUCGGCUUGGGAUUUGUAUUCCUAGUACUUAUAUUAGCAAGUAAUAGAACAAGUAUGUGGAGAAAGGGUUGGGAUUCAUUUUUCACUAUUUUCCUCCAUUGCUAAGCACAACUAUGGGGAGAAAAAAAAUGAACUAAGCUACUUCCUAAUUAGGGAUGAAAUAAGGAAAGAAGAUACUACCCCAAAUAGAGAAGAGAUAGAAAAGUUACCUUAUCUCAUGGUAAAGUGCAGCAGUGGCAAAGGGGAAGAGGGAAUGUAUUUUAAAAUGGUGUUAAUUGUGUUAAAAAAAAGGGAUUGGGUCGAGUUGAUCCGUGGGUGUGGGCGAAAUAAGGCAAAGAAAAAUAAAAAAAACUUACAUGGGAGCGGUGAGAGUGCGACACGGACAGUGCCAGGCUCGGCUCUAUUGUGCCCUUAGGCGCGACGCGGUCAAUACAGAGGACAUACAUUGGGCGCGUUACCGGGUGCAAGACGCCGAGUAUAGAACCUAAAAAAAUUUGCCACUUGCUAUUGUGAGUGCUACUCGAAACGAGGUGCUGAAGACUGUAGUUGAAGCUCAUGCAUCAACAUGUGCGACACUUUCACGACCCUAAACCCCACCUAGUCGUGAUGACACCUAACCCCAACAUGCUAGGUAAGCCAAAUAACAAAUAACUCAACUCGAAUGAGAGAUCAUCAAGAAAUAAUAAAUAAGAUGGAGGAAAUUCAUACAACUAUCUCAAAGACUGGUAGUACAAGUCAUGAACGACUAAGAAUAAGAAUACAAUUACAACUCUACUAUGAAGAAAGAUUACAUCAUGUGUUUGAAAUUUUCAGAAACAGAAAUAUAAGUCCUAGAUUAUCAUGAACAGGUGGUAGCUUGUAUCUAGAAUGUUGGUACCUCUUCAAUGCUAGCAUUCGUCAUCCACAAUAGCUCAGCUCCAAAAUUUGCACGCAAAAUGCAGAAGUGUAGUAUGAGUACAACCGACACCAUAUACUUAGUAAGUAUCUUGACUAACUUUAGUGAAGUAGUGAAGAGGAUUUAACUCAAAAGAUACUCACUUUACGAAACUUGAACAGUUCAUGAAUAUAUAUGUACACAACAACAGUAUCGAAAUCUAAGCAUGAAGUACAAGUAAGACCAUUAGUACAUAUAGAGAAGAUUCAUACAAGCAUUGUAAAUAAACUAAAAGUUCAGCAUAUAGAGAAAAUAUGCAUUUGGUAUCAAAUAACCCAUCAACAGUUGCAUAUAGAGAAGAUAUGCAUAAAAUAUCAAAUAACCCGUCAAUAAUUGCAUAUAGAGAAGAUAUGCAUGAAAUAUCAAAUAACCCGUCAAAAGUUGCAUAUAAAGAAGACAUGCAUGAAUAAACAAGUAAAGUAAAUGGAUUAACAAAUAAAGAAGAUAUGUACCUUGAAUCAUUUCUUCAAGUAAAGUAGUAUAUAGAGAAGAUAUGCAUAAAAGAUAUUCAUAUAAUCCGGAGCUAGCAUAUAGAGAAGAUAUGCGGUAAAAAUCAUGUAUACAUCCAUGGAGUUUGUAUAUAGAGAAGAUGUGCAAAGUCCAACCACUAAUCAGUUUUUCCAUAAUCUACGUGUACAUCAUUAAGAGAGAAACAUGGGAGGACGACCCUAGGGUGAUAGAUCCUAAUCCACACGCUACAUGGACAAUUCACGUGCAAUAAUUAUAACAACCGCAUAGGAAACUCACAUGCUAUAAUCAUAACAAUUACACAGACAUCUCACGUGCUAUAAUAACUCAACCCGCAUGGGCCACUCACGUUCUGUCAAUCAAGUCCAUCUCACAGAAAGCAUAUACAAUAACACAUAUAUACGAACAACGGAUAUCAAACCACAUACUCGUGGAUUGAGAAAAAUAGCAUGCUAAGGUGUAUGCUAGUGCGAUGUGUACGACUGCAGUUCAGAUUAGGCGGGUACGCCAUACAAUAAUGAGUAUCAUGUUCAAACAGGAAUUCAAAACCUACACAUUAUCUCUAGCAUGAUUCAAGGAGUACAUGUAGUCAUACAAACAUAUAAAACAUGAUAGAAGGAAGAACAUAUACAAAACAAAGCAUGAUAUAGCCUAAAGACUACCCUGAACAUAGGUAACCAUUUCGCAUGCAUAUACGCUCGUCACCUCGCAUAUAUAUCUCCCCCGCAUGUAGCAACUAAUAUUAUUUAUUAGAAAAAAGUCCCUCAAACCAAAGCUAAGCAAGACACUUACCUCAUCCGGGCUAGUCUUCAACCUCAAAUCGCGUCAAAACCUCGUUCUAACCCUCCAAUCAUGCAAAUACAAUCCAAACAUUAUCCAAGGAAGUCAAAAAAUACUAUAGGAAGCAAUCCCAAUCAAUAAAGCUUUGAUCUUUGAUGAAUUUUCAAAAUACAAACAAAAGUCAACUUAGGCCCGUAUUCCCAAAAUUCGAUCUCGAUACCAAAUAUCGAUGACCCAUAACCUUCCGAGUCCAAAUAUAUAAUUAGUUUUCAAAUUCGAUUCCAAAUCUGUGGUCAAAUUCUCAAAAUACAUUCUCUUAAAUUAUAGCCAAAACCCCCAAAUUUCACUUUGAAAAUUCAUAUUUUAAGUGUAGAAAUCCAUGGAGAUUCAUGAUAUAUGACCAAAAUUAAGUCAAAACAUGGGUGAAAUCCAUCUCUAAAAUUGCCUUGAUCAGCUUUCCAAGCCUUAAAAUUUGUGAAAUGAGCUCAAAAUUCUGAAACUAGGUAUUAAAUAUCCCUGUUAGGCCUCCUUUUUCGUGAUCGGGUCACAAACCCCGCUAUCACGAUUCACAAAAUGUCCGGCAUGAUUUUAUCCUUCGCGAUUGCGGCCAAGAAGCUACGUGAUCGCGAUGAACAAACUUGAACAAAAUUUUUCAUCUCAUUCCAAACAACCUCUUGUUAACGGACAUAACAUUUUGUAAAGAAUUAUGAAUGACAAACGGUUUGGUGUCCUGAUAACUUGACACAAAGGGCUACAACUUUUAUUUUUGAAUCAUCUCUAAAUUCCUUAUAGAUUGUAAGAUAUAAACUCCCCAAAACAGCCUAGUGACAAUAGAGUUUUCUUCUACGCGAUUGUGAAUAGUCCCUCCGUGAAUGCGAUUUACAAGAGAAAAACUGCACUUUACUCUUCGUGAACAUGGCACAGAGCUCCGCGAUCGCGAUGUAUGCUCCUGUAGCCAAAAAUCAGGACCUAGAAAAGGCCUAGAAAUGGUCCAAAACCACCCCGAAACUCACCCGAACCCCUGGGGACCCCGUCCAAUCAUACCAACAACUACAAUUAACUAAUUCAAACUUAGGCAAAGGCUCGAAAAACCAUAAAUAACAUCAAUAAUUGAAGAUAAUAUCAUUCUCUUAACUUUCAAAUAUUCCAACUUCGCCGAAUGCGUCUGAGUCAUACUCAGACAUUUUGGAUCAUAACAAUACUUUGCACAUAAGUUCCAAUCAACUAAAUGAACUUAUCCAAAAUUCUGGAACACCAAACGGAAUCCAGUUAUAUCAAAGUCAACCUCCGGUCAAACUUAAAAAGUAUCCAAUUCUUUGAAUUGCCAACUUUCGACAAAUAGAGUCAAAAUCCACUAGGAACAUCCAAAAUCACAUCCGACCAUACGUACAAGUCCAAAAUCAACAUACGAACUCAUAGAAACCAUCAAAUCUCGAUUCCUAGGUUGUUUACUCAAAAGUUAAACUUUGGUCAACUCUUCCAACUUUAAGCUUCCAAAAUGAGAAUUAUUCUUCCAAAUCAAUCCCUAACCUCUUGAACAUCAAAACCAACCAUACACGUAAGUCAUAGUAUAUCAUAUGAAACUACUCAAAGUCUCAAACCGCCAAACAGAAUGCUAAAGCUCAAAGUAACUGGUCGCGUCGUUACAUUCUCCCUCACUAAAACAUACGUUCGUCCUCGAACGUGACAAGAGUCAUUUCAAAGCUGUCAAAUCACUGUAUAAACUUAUCAUACACAUACCCAUGGGUGAUCUCAUGUCACUUCAAUCCAUAUAAGCCCAUUAACAUAAUCUUGAUUGAAAAUUCUUCCUUCAACCUUAGAUUACAAUCCUUAGAACCAAAUUCUAACUUCUGGAACUCCCUCUACGAUCUGAUUCUUGUAUAAAUACACUGUAUCAAUCCCAACAAGCUGCAUCAAGACAUAAAUAUAUGUCACGCCAUAAAUUUGGGGAGGCGAGAUCCGCACCCGGUGCCUUACUUGACCGAGCGUAACAACUGAAACUUGCAUUCUUUGAACCUAUAUGACUGCUAAGGCCAACUGAAUAUCGUUCUGUAAUAUCUUAGUCCAGAAAGGCCUUAACUUAUCAAAUUUGAGGAAUGAACAUCCAGGAGGAAUGGCCUCUCAUCAUAUUGCAGACGGAAUUCCAUUUUAGUGUAUGUCUGCCACAGCGUCUAUACAAAGGAUUGCGUAUGGGAAAUAUUGAAACCGUCCUUUCCAGUAGCAUCACUGCUGUUUUUUUGAAGCUUUUGUUAUUGUCGGGAACUAUGUGGUAUGGUUCGGCAAGUUCCCCGAUUGAAUUAUUUGGUCCCACUCGUUACCAAUGGGAUCAGGGGUACUUCCAACAAGAAAUAUAUCGAAGAGUUAAUGCUGGGCACUAAUCUCAACUGAACGGGAAGCAACCCGGUAUAUAUAUGUCAACCUACACAAUCAAAAGAGAAUACAUACAAGGGCCGACAAGGACACCAUACUAACAACUGUACAUAUAGGACAAGUGACAAGCCUCUAUAGAAUACAACUGUACUAUGGUCGAGACAGUGCCCCCACCCACCCAUACUGUCUGAAUAUACAACAAAACUCUAGACCUGGUAACUCCGAAUGAUGUGCAGCUUACCAAUCAAACUGUAUACUGGCGCGCUUACAGCUGAGGCCUAUCUAUGUGACUGCCAAAACCUGCAUGCAUGAAAUACAACUCCCCCCGUCAAAAGGGGUGCUAGUACAAAAUAAUUUACCAAGCAUGUAAGGCAACUGAAUAACUGAAGCUGAAACUGAAAUUGAAUUGAUAUACAUGAUAUACUAAAUGUAAUUGGAGGAGACAAUGAUAAUAUAGAAACAUACUUACUGGUCUCUAACUUAUAUCAUACAAGUAAUACCGAACAUAUAAGGCUCGGUGUGUAUAUGUAUAGACCUGUAGUCAACUGUAUAGCCCCAUAGGCAAAUGUAUAGGCCUGAAGGCAUAUGUCUAGCACAUAAGGAAUGGCGCGCAUCUGUCUAGCCCCGUAGGUAUAAAGUAAUACAGUAAAUGACAUAUGUAUACUCUCUAUUUCUCAAGUAGACAUGGAAAAAUGCUAAACUGAAAGGAAUUCCCAACAAGGGAGUCACGACCCCAAAAUCCCACCUUUAGGAUCGUUAUGGCACCUAGUCUCUAAGACUAGGUAAUCCUAACACAAGAUGAGAUUUAACAGAAAUAAACAACUAGCUAUUAAAUUAAACUGAUAAAUGGCAUAAUAAGUUGAAACUGAUCAACAGUUAUACAUCCCCAAAACCGGUAGUAUGGAGUCAUGUGCUCUACUAAAAUACACUACAAAUCUCAAAAUACAAUACUGUUCUAAAAUUCAAAUGACAGUAUUAAUGAAGGAUAACAGAAGGUGACUGCGAGAACCUGCGAGCGGAAUGACAUGUAUACCUUGAAGUCUCCUCAACAACUCAAACAACUGUCUAACAUCUGGCAUGCUCUGAGGUAUAUGGAUUUGCACAAAAAUGUGCAGAAGUAUAGUAAGAGUACACCACAAUGGUACCUAGUAUGUAUCAAGACUAACCUCGGUGGAGUAGUAACGAUGUAUAAGUCGAGAUACUCACUAGACACAAAACAUGUGCAAAGUAUUAAUAUAAAGCUAACAAAAAAAAUAUAUCAAUAUACAACUAAAAAUGGAAAGUAUAUUAGUAUGAAGAUAACAAUGGAAAGAAUAUUAAUAUAAAGCUAACAAUGGAAAGUAAAAGCAACAAAUGGCAACAAGGAGAAAAUAGGUGAUAAAGCAGCAAAUUGAUUAGAACACAGUUAAAAUAGAAGUGAAAUCAAUUAAGGAAAGCAAAAUGACAGUCCAAAUAAUCAAUCCGUUCUAACACAAAGUUUACAACAAGAAUUACCCCGAGGUACCACACCUCAUAAUCACAAAUCACAAAUCACAAAUCUUCCUUAUAACACCGCGUGAGCCUUACAUUUAUUUAAAAAUAUUUUUUCCGAAAUAGCUUCACGCGCUUUAGCCUCCUUAUCUCGCCGCAUGUGAUUCAAAUAUAGUAAUUUCCCUUACUAGCAACACGCGCAUAAAUCCCCCAUAUCUAGCCGCAUGUGCAUUAAUAACACCACCCUUAUGCCGCCGCAUGCGCAUCUCAUCACAACACAAUAAUUAUCUCGCACCACACGUGCCCAUAUACCACAACAUUGCCAAAAUAACAAUACCAAUAUCACAACGAUAUAUAGCCCACAGAUCAACAACAAUGUGUACACAAAUUUCAGCAAUAGAACAGUGAAACGGAAGAAUAACUCAACAAUGAAAUAUAUCCAAUGUAACAAUAACUUUCAUUCAAUGCAUAUAAUUAACCUAAGAGUCUAAACCGGUCAAUUAACAUAAAUAAGCAUGUGCACACACUCGUCACCUCAUGUACACGUGUUUCACACAAUUCAAAUAAUACAAUUAGACCAAAUUCUAGGGGUAGUCCCCCCCCCCCAACAAAGUUAGGUAAGAUACUCACCUCAAAUACGCCAAAUCAACACUCAAAAAUAGCUUUUCUUGUAAAAUUCGCCUCCGUACGGCUCAAAUAUAAUAAAAAGGACUUAAUAUCAUCAAACAAUGCAAGAGAAACCAAUUCCAAUAAUUAAAGUUAAAUCUUUGCACAAUUCUCCAAAAGUCAACAAAAGUAAACCCCGGGCUUGCCUGGUCAAAACCCGAGUCAAAGGGUAUAUCUCGACUACCCAUAAUCCCACGAGUCCAUAUAUGUGUUUUGUUUCCAAAUCUAAGUUCAAUUCGACUCUCAAAUCUCAAAUUUUUAUUUUUCAAAACAUAGUCAAAAUUUCCCAAAAACUCUCUUCAAAUUCCAUAGAUUAGAGGUUAAAUCUCAUAGAUAAUCGUGUAAGAUAAAUCAAAAUCAUUUACCCAAUAGUUGUAUAUGAAAGUCCAUCCUCAAGCACCUCCUACCGAGUGUAGGGUUCUAAAAUGUGAUAAAUGAAGCUAAGUCCUGAAAUACCAUUAUUUUGUUCAGCUGUAGGUUUCGCAAAUGCAACCUUGCAAACCCGUAAAUGCAACAGACACAUUGCAAAUGCAAUUCGUGACAAACCCAGGUAAUGUCGCAAAUGCGACCCUGACUUCGUAUUUGCGAAGUUAGUCCCUUCGCAGAAGCGGUCGUUUGGUCAAAAAAGUGAUCAGCUCCCACCCAUUGAUUCCUUUGCAAAUGCGAUGCAUAUUUCGCAAAUAUGAACGGGUGCUCGCAUUUGUGAUAGCUGCAGCACCAACACACUAGUUGUUGAUUAACCAGCCCAAAUCCAUCCGAAACAUGUCCGAAACUCAGCCGAGCCCUCGGGGCCCCAUGUCGAACAUCCACACAAGUAUAAAAUAUCAUACAAACUCGCUCGUACGAUCAAAUCACCAAAAUAAUAUCCAGAACCACGAAUCAGAUAUUAAAACAUAUGAAAUUCCAUAAUGAACUCAAGAAUCGCUAGAAUCACAACCAAGCAUCCCAUUCCUAUCAAACCAGCUCAGAAUGACACCAAAUUUUGCAGACAAGUUCCAAAUAACAAAACUGACCUAUUCCAUAUCCCGAAACUAAAAUCCGAAAACCCGAUAGCAAUAAAGUCAACCUACAGUCAAACUUAGAAAUUUCUAAAACUUUAAAUUGCCAACUUUUGGCAAAACAAGACAAAUCAACCUACGAACCUCCAAAUUCAAUUCCGGGCAUACUCCUCAGUCCAAAAAUCACUAUACGAACUUAUUGGAGCCAUCAAAACACCGUUCCGGGGUCGUUUUCAUAAAAGUCAAACCUCGGUCAACAUUUCCAACUUAAGCUUCUAAACCAAGAACCAAUAGAUCCAAAUCAUUCCAAGACCUCCUCGAAAUGGAACCAACCAUCCCCACAAGUCAUAAAAUCAUAAAUACACAUACGAUAAUUCUCAAAAGAGUAAACGGGGUUCAAAUACACAAAAUGACCGAUCACGUCGUUACAUUCUCCCCCUCUAAAAAUAAAUGUUCGUCCUCGAACUAGUGUAGAGACAUACCUGAACUGCCAAACAUGUGUGUAUAACGACUCCACAUGUUGUGUUCGGUCUCCUAGGUCGCCUCUUUGACUGGUUGACCCGUCCAUUGAACCUUCACUGAAGUAAUGUUCUUUGACCUCAACUUCCGGACCUGUUUGUCCAAGAUAGCCACUGGCUCCUCAACAUAAGUCAAAUCCUUGUCUAAUAAGACUGAGCUGAAAUCUAAUACAUGUGACGGAUCACCAUAAUACUUCCGGAGCAUGGAAACAUGGACACACCAGGUGAACUCUCGAUAAGCUAGGUGGCAAUGCAAGUCUGUAGGCCACGUCACCAACUCUCUCAAGGAUCUCAAAAGGACCAAUAUACCGAGGGCUCAACUUGCCCUUUUUACCGAACCACAUCACACCCUUCAUGGGUGAAAGUCUAAGAAGAAACCUCUCUCCUACCAUGAAUGCCACAUCACGAGCCCUCCGAUCAGCAUAACUCUUGUGCUUGGACUGUGAUGUACGAAGCCAAUCCUGAAUCAAAUUCACCUUCUCCAAGGCAUCCCGAACCAAGUUAGUACCCAACAACCUAGCCUCCCUAGGCUCAAACCAACCAACCAGAGAAUGAUACCACCUCCCAUAUAAGGUCUCAUAAGGAGCCAUCUAGAUACUCGACUUGUAGUUGUUGUUGUAGGACAAUUCUGCGAGAAGUAGGAAUUGAUCCCAUAAACCCCUGAAAUCAAUAACAUAUGCACAUAGCAUGUCCUUUAAUAUCUGAAUAGUGCGCUCAGACUGCCCGUCUGUCUGCGAAUGAAAUAUUGUACUCAGCUCGACCUGUGUGCCCAACUCACGCUGCAUGGCUCUCCAAAAAUGCGAUGUGAACUGCGUGCCACAAUCCGAGAUAAUUGACAGCGGCACACCAUGAAGGCAAACAAUCUCACGUAGAUAAAUCCGAGCCAGCUGCUCUGAAGAGUAGGUAGUCAUGACUGGAAUGAAGUAUGCAGACUUGGUCAGUUUGUCCACAAUAACACACACUGCAUCAAAUCUCCUCAAGGUCCAUGGAAGUCCAACUACAAAAUCUAUAGCGAUACACUCCCACUUCUACUCCGUAAUAUCAAGCCUCUGAAGAAAACUACCCUGUCUCUAAUGCUCGAACUUCACCUACUGAUAGUUCAAACACCGAGACUCAUACUCUACUAUAUAUUUCUUCAUUCUUCUCUACUAGUAGUGCUGCCUCAAGUCCUGGUACAUCUUCGUGGCACUUGGAUGAAUGGAAUUCUGCGAACUAUGGGCCUCCUAAAGAAUCAACUCACGUAACCCAUCCACAUUCGGAACACAGAUUCAACCCUGCAUCCUCAACACCUCAUCAUCGCCAAUAGCACCUCCUUGGCAUUACCGUGCUACACUGUGUCCUUCAGAACAAGCAAGUGGGGAUCAUCAAACUGACGUGCCUUGAUAUUCUCAAAUAAGAAACACUGUGAAAUCACGCAAGCAAGAAUUUGACUAGGCUCCGAAAAAUCCAAUCUCACAAACCUAUUAGCCAAAGCCUGAACAUCCAAAGCUUACGGCCUCUCCCUAACUGGAAUAUAAGCAAUACUACCCAUGCUCUCAGCCUUUCUACUCAAGGCUUUGGCCACCACAUUGGCCUUCUCGGGAUGAUAAAGAACGGUGAUAUCAUAGUCCUUUAGUAGCUCUAACCACCUCCACUGCCUCAAGUUCAGAUCCUUUUGCUUGAACAAGUGCUGUAAACUCCUGUGAUCCGUGAAUACCUCACAAGACACACCAUAGAGAUAGUGCCUUCCAAUCUUCAACGCGUGAACAAUGGUUGCCAACUCUAAAUCAUGUAUUGGGUAGUUCUUCUCAUGGGGCUUCAACUGACAUGAAGCAUAAGCAAUCACUCUAUCCUCCUGCAUCAAUACGCACCUAAUGCCAUUCCGCGAAGCAUCACAAUAAACCAUAUAAGAACCUGAUGCUGAAGGUAAAAAUAGAACUGGAGCUGUGGUCAAGGCAGACUUGAGCUUCUGAAAGCUCUCCUCACACUCGUCAGACCACCUGAAUGGGGCACCCUUCUAAGACAAUCUAGUCAAAGGAGCUGCGAUGGAUGAAAACCCCUCCACGAAACGACGACAAUACCCGGCCAAGCCUAGAAAACUCUGGAUCUCGGUAGCAGAAGAUAGCGUAGGCCAACUCUGAAUUGCCUCAACCUUCUUUGGAUCCACCUUAAUCCCCUCACUAGACACCACCUGGAACAAAAAUUCCAUAGAAUCAAGCCAAAACUCACACUUGGAGAAUUUCGAAUAUAACUUCUUCCCCUCAAGGUUCAGAGCACGAUCCUUAAGUGCUGCUCAUGAUCCUCCCGACUACGAGAAUACACCAAUAUGUCUUCAAUGAACACGAUGACGAAUCAAGAUAUGGCUGGAAUACACUAUUCAUCAAGUGCAUAAAGGCUACUGGGGCAUUGGUCAGCCUAAAUGACAUCACCAAAAACUCGUAGUGACCAUAGCGAGUCCUAAAGACCGUUUUCGAAAUGUCUGAAUCCCGAUUAUUCAACUGAUGGUACCUUGAUCUCAAAUUAAUCUUCGAGAAUACCCGAGCACCCUGAAGCUAAUCAACCAAAUCAUCAAUGCAUGGUAGUGGGUACUUGUUCUUGACUGUAACUUUGUUCAGCUACCUGUAGUCAAUACACAUCCUCAUAGAGCCAUCAUUCUUCUUCACAAAUAGAACUGGAGAACCCCAAGGCGAGACACUCGGUCGGAUGAAACCCAUAUCAAGCAACUCCUGAAGUUAUUCCUUUAAUUCCUUCAACUCCACUGGUGCCAUGCGAUAUGGAGGAAUAGAGAUGGGUUGAGUGCCCCACACCAAGUCAAUACAAAAAUCGAUAUCCCUAUCGGAUGGCAAGCCCGGUAGGUCUGCUAGAAACACAUCUAGGAAAUCUCUCACUACCGGAACUGACUCAACGGUAGGAGUAUCAGCAUUGACAUCCCUCACAAAGGCUAAAUAUUCCAAGCACCUCUUCUAAACCAUCUGUUGUGCCUUCAGGAAGGACAUCACUCUAUUAGGAACAUAAUCCAAUGUACCUCUCCACUCCAACCGCAGCAAACCCAGAAUACCCAAUGUCACAACUUUAGCAUGACAAUCCAGGAUGGCGUAAUAUGGUGACAAUCAGUCCAUGCCCAAAAUGACAUCAAAGUCCACCAUAUUGAGUAACAAAAAGUCCACCCCAGUCUUAUAACCCCUAAUAGUGACCAAACAUGACCGAUAAACACAGUCUACCAUAAUAAAAUCCUCAACAUGUAUAGACACAUAAACAAGGGCACUCAAAGAAUCACCAAACAUAUCCAAAUAUGAAGUAAAGUAAGAUGACACAUACGAAUAUGUGGAACCUGAAUCAAAUAAAACUGAUGCUUCCAUAUGAAAGACCGGGACAAUACCUAUGACGACAACAUCUGAUGCAACAACCUCGGUCUUACCUGGAAAAGCAUAACAACGAGCGUGGCCUCCCCUUUUAGGAUGACCUCUACCCGCCUAUCCUCCACCCCUAGCUGGCUAUGCAGGUGGAGUAGCAGUUGGAGCAGCAACCAUAGUCUGUGAACCCUGUGGAGGCGGACCCCUCCAAAGCCUAGGACAGUCCCUCACCAUAUGCCUAGUAUCACCACACUCAAAACAACCUCUCUGCAGGCGUGGCUGUUAGAAUUGAGUCUAACCUAGUUGGCUAGAAUGACCGUUGAAGGCACCCCAUGUAGGAGGUACGCUAGUAAGUGGCUAUGCAAAAUGGGCACUCUGAGGCCUCUGAAUGGCUGGAGAAGUACGAGUAGCCAGAAGCGCCAAAUGAACUGGUCGACUGACAUAACCUCUUCCAUGACGAGCUGAAACUAUAGCGCUGGAACCACUAAAUCCUCCAAAAUCUCAAGGCCUCUUGGCCUCCCUAUCCUUCCCCUCCUGGCCACACAUACGCUCAAACUUCCGAGCGAUAUCCAUAUUAUGCUAAAAUGGAGUAUCAGUCUACUCUCAUUCCAUACUGAAUCUAAGACCAUAACUUAGCCCCUCAAUAAAUAUGCGGAUUCGCUCUCUGACUGUAGAAACCAAAGCAGGUGCAUGACGGGAUAGCUUGAACUCUGUGCGCCACUCAUCCGGGAGGGUAUGUGGGGUGGACUCCCUUAAAAAUAUAUCAUAAAGCUUAGCCCAAUUAAGUGGCGCUACAUCAGCUGGCCUACCCCCCUCAUAAGCCUUCCACCAUCUAUAUGCUGACCCCGUGAGCUGAAAUGUUGUAAAGAUGACCCUACUCACCUCCAUGAUGCCCAUGGUGCAGAGAAUACGGUGACACUGGUCCAGAAAACCCUAUGCAUCCUCAAAAACUGUGCCACUAAAAGUAGGAGGAUCAUACUUCUUGAAACUCUCCUCUACUCCUCCUCUGAUGUCACUGGCCUGACCUCAGGCUAAACCGCGACAACAAGUUGUACUGGUAUAACACUCAGAACCUGAUCAACAUGGACACGUUGCUCUAGAGUAGGGGUGAUAGGAUUCUGAUAUCCUCCCCCAGCUUGAGAAGUAGCUGGUGCAACUGGGGUCAAUCCCGCCUAAGCCAAAGAACCGAACAUGCUCAGGAAAUGUGCCAAAGUCUCCUGUAGUGCAGGGGUAGCAACAGGCGCCUCGGGUGCCUGCCCCACAAUCAAAGCUACUGGUAGCUCCUCGGUCGCUGCUCUGGCAGGUGCUCUAGCUAUGGCACGUGCCCCUCCUCGGUCUCUACCUAAGUCUCGGCCUCUCGCGACUCUAUCAAUGGCUGCGGGUGUCUGCUAUGCUGAUUCGGUAAGGAUUACUAUCUUUGAGAUAAUAGAAAGAUAAAGGCUCAGAUUUCGAAAUCAAAAAAUUCGCACAAUAAGGAAUGAAAGAAGUGGAAUUUCCUAAUGGUUCCGUAGCCUCUCAAAAAUAAGUAUAGAUAUCUCCGUACCAUCCGCAAGACUCUACUAAACUUGCUUAUGUCUCCUAGUACCUAUGAACCUAGAACUCUGAUACCAACUUAUCACGACCCCAAAAUACCACAUUUAGGAUCAUGAUGGCACCUAGUCUCUAAGACUAGAUAAGCUUAAGACAAGAUGAUAUUUAACAGAAAUAAAUAACUAUCUAUUAAAUUAAACAGAUAAAUGGCAUAAUAAGACUAAAAUGGAUCAAUAGUUAUAUAUCCCCAAAACCGGUAGUACAAAGUCAUAAGCGCUACUGAAAUACACCACAAAUCUCUAAAUACAACACUACUCUGAAAUUCAAAUGACAUUACUAAUGAAGGAUAACAGAAGGUGACUCCGAGGCCUGCGAGCGGAAUGACAAGUAUACCUUGAAGUCUCCUCAGAAACACAAAUAACUAUCUAACGUCUGACACGCUCCGAGGUACCUGGAUUUGUACAAAAAUAUGCAGAAGCGUAGUAUGAGUACACCAAAAUGGUACUCACUAAGUAUCAAGACUAACCUCGAUGGAGUAGUGACAAGAUACAAGUUGGGACACUCACUAGACACAAAACCUGGGCAAAGUAUUAAUAUAAAGCUAACAGUGGAAAUAAUAUCAAUAUACCGCUAACAAUGGAAAGAAAAUUAGUAUAAAGCUAACAAUGGAAAUGAUUUUAAUAUAAAGCUAACAAUGGAAAGUAAAAGCAACAAAUGGAAACAAGGAGUAAACAGGUGACAAAGCAGCAAAUUGAUCAUAACACAGUUAAAAUACAAGUGAAAUCAAUUAAGGAAAGCAAAUGAAAGUGCAAAUACUCAAGUCGUUCUAACACAAGGUUUACAACAAGAAUUACACUGAGGUACCACACCUUAUAAUCACAAAUCACAAAUCUUCCUUAUAACGCUGCAUGAGCCUUACAUUUAUUUUAAAAACAUUUCUUCAGAAAUAACUUCAUGCGCUUUAGCUCCCUUAUCUAGCCACAUGUGCUUCAAAUGUAGUAAUUUCCCUCACUAGCAACACGCGCAUAAAUCCCCCUUAUAUCACCUCAUGCGCAUCAAUAACACCACCCUUAUGCCGCCGCAUGCGCAUCACAUCACAUCACAACACAAUAAUCAUCUCGCACCACACGUGCCCAUAUGCCAUAAUAUUGCUAAAAUAAUAAUACCAAUAUCACAAUGAUAUAUAGCCCACGGCUCAACAACUAUGUGUAUAAGAAUUUCAACAAUAAAACAAUGAAAAGGAAGAAUAACUCAAUAAUGAAGGAUAUUCAAUGUAACAAUAACUUCAAAUCAAUGCAUAUAAAUAACCUAAGAGUCUAAACAAGUCAAUUACCACAAAUAAGCCCAUGCACACACUCGUCACCUCAUGUACACGUCUUUCAUAUAACUCAAAUAAUGUAAUUAGGCCAAAUCCUAUGGGAUAGUUUCCCCCACACAAAAUUAGGCAAGAAACUUACCUCAAUUAGGACAAAUCAACACUCAUAAAUAGUUUUUCCUUUAAAAUUCGCCAACGUACGGCUCAAAUAUAACCAAAAAGACUUAAUAUCAUCAAAUAAUGCAAGAGAAACAAAUUCCGAUAAUUAAAGUUAAGAUCUUUACACAAUCCCCCAAAAGUCAACCUCGGGCCCGCCCGAUCAAAACUCGAGUCCAUGGGUAGGUCUUGACUACUCAUAACCACUUGAGUCCAUAUAUGUGUUUUCUUUCCAAAUCCGAGUCCAAUUCGACUCUCCAAUCUCAAAUUUUCAUUUUUCAAAGCAUAGUUAAAAUUUCCCAAAAAUUCUCUUCAAAUUCCAUGGAUUAGAAGAUAAAUCUCAUAAAUAAUUAUGUAAUAUAAUUUAAUUUGGAUCAAAAUUAUUUACACAAUAGUUGUAUGUAAAAAUUUCCUCCCACCGAGUCUACGACUCUAAUAUGUGAUAAAUAAAGCCAAGUCCCGAAAUCCCAUUAUUAUGUUCAGCUGCAGGUGUCGCAAAUGCGAACCCCGCAAAUGAGACAGACACAUGGCAAAUGUGAUGCUUGACAGACCCAGGGAAUGUCGCAAAUGCAACCCUGCCUUUGCAUUUGCGAAGUCAGUUCCCUCACAAAAGUGGCCGUUUGGUCACAAAAGCGAUCAGCUCCCAGCCAGUUCCCUUCGCAUUUGCAAGGCUAGCUUCGCAAAUGUGACACCUUCUACCCACUGCCCCUUUCACAAAUGCGAUGAUGGCAUACGUGAACCGGUUCUCGCAUUUGCAUUAACAGCAGCGCCAACACACUAGUUGCUGUGAAACUAGUCCGAAUCCAUCGAAAACACGUCUGAAACUCACCCGAGCCCUUGAGGCCCCAUGCCAAAAAUCCACACAAGUCUAAAAAUAGCAUAUGAACUUGCUCACGUGAUCAAAUCACCAAAAUAAUAUCCGGAACCACGAAUCGAACAUCAAAACACAUGAAAUUCCACAAUAAACUCAAGAAUCGCAAGAAUCACAACUAAGAAUCCAAUUCCUAUCAAACCAACUCAGAAUGACACCAAAUUUUGCAGACAAAUUCAAGAUACCAAAACGGACCUAUUCCAAGUCCCAAAACAAAAAUCCGACAAGCCUAUUCUAUAACAAAAUGGCCAGCAUAUCCCUGUUUCUUUUACAAUCCUUAGGUUCCCAAUAACAAGAACAAUCACAACAACCAGCGACUACAUAUUUGGUUCUUCAACCAACACAAAGGAUACGUCGAGCGACAAGCUCAGGUGACAACUAGUACAACUAUAUUUUAAACCCUUAUUUAUUUCAAGGUACAUAGCAACAACAAAUACAACAUACUCCUAGCUUGGAAGCAUAAGUUGGAAGUUUUGACCAAGUUUAACUUUUGUAUAUUUGACCUCAGAUCGGAGUUUUGAUGGUUAUGGUAGGUCUAGAUGGUGAUUUUGGACUUGGGCGUAUGCCUAGAUUUAAGUUCCGGUGUUCCUAGAGGAUUUUGAGGCUAAUUGCCGAAAGUUGGAAGUUUGAAGGUUUGGAGAGUUGAUAGGUUUGACCCAUAGUUGACUUUGUGGAGAUGGGGACUGCACUUGCGAAAAUUGGUGGCCCGCAUUUUCAAGCUUAGUGUUGCACUUGUGACAGUGGUCUGCGGAGGAAGGCUUCGACAUUUGCGAAGAAUUUGAUCGAUUUUGCGAGUAGGUAGCUGAGUUGGGACCUUCGCAACUGCGAAGGAUAGUGUCGCAAUUGCGACUUUAGCUGGGCAGGCUAGGUUCACAAAUGCGAGCCGUUGGUCACAUUUGCGAGGGUCGAAAUUACGAGCCUUCAAUCGCAAAUGUGAGACCUGCGUCGGAUACUUAGAGUCCAUUUCGAUGUUUGAGUUCAUCCUAUCACAUUUUGAGAUUGGGAUCUCAGAUUGAGGCGAUUCUUGAGGCAAUUUUCACCCACUUGGAUUACGUAAGUGUUUUUUACUCGAAUUUGACCAUUAUUAAUUAUUGUGUCUUUGAUUUUGGCAUUUUGGUUGGUGAAUCUAAGAGAGAAAAUUUGGGGCUUUUUGGCAAAACUUUUCUAUUGUGAAAAAAUUGAAAUUUGAACAUUGAUUAAGAGUCGGAUUUGGAUGAAACUUAUAUGGUUGGACUCGUAUUCGAAUGGGUUAUCAGAAUUUAUGAGUUUUUCGGAUUCCAGGGUGCAAUCCUGGGGUUGAAUGUUUGGUUGACUUCACAUAUUUGUUUAAAGAUUCGACAUUUAUCAUUUGGGUUUGAUUCAUAUGGCAUAAUUUGAUGUUAUUGAGUUGGUUUUUGCUAUAUUCGAGCCGUUCAGAGGUCGUUUCGCGCGGGAAGGCAUUCUAAAGUAUUGAUUUGGCUUGUUUGAGGUAAGUAUCUUACCUAAUCUUAUUUAAGGAAUAACCCUUAGGAUAUGACCUUGUUUGUUUAAUUCAAAUGUGUGAGAAGUGAUAUGUAUAAAAGGUGACGAGCGUAUAUACGGGUGUUGUGUAUGAUUCAUGACCGGGGUAGUGUUUGGCGGUACUAUGACUUUAUUUGGAUAUUGUGCUUCGUGCUAUCAUGCAUUAAGUAUUUGUAUGACUAUGUGAGCUCCAUGAAUCAUACUAAAGAUCAUGUGUAGGUGUUGAUUUCCUGUUGAGCAUGAUAUUUUCUAUUGUAUGACGUAUCCGCCACAUUUGAGCUGUAGUUGUACACUCGCACAUUCAUACACCUUAGCAUGCUAUCUUCUUCAGUCCAUGAGUAUGUGAUUUGAUAUUCGUUAAUCAUAUACAUGUAUAAUUGUAUAUGCCUUAUGUGUGAUAGACUGGAUUGGCAUCAUGUGAUUGUUGUCUUGUUCUUGCUAGUGGGGUAUAAAGUAAAGUAGUGCUUAAAGAAAGAGGGAAUAGUUUUGGGGAGUGAUCUUGUUUGUGAAAUUAAAGUGGAUUGAAGAAUUUGUGCUUAAAGUUUAUUAUGUGAUGUGUUAAAGUGUUUAGGAGGGUGAACCACUAUUUCCUAUAUAUAUCAUAUCCGUUCCUUAGCCCACAUUACAACCACAAUAAAGUCCUAAUUAAUUUUAGACCGAGUGAGCCUACAUUAGUAGAGAUUUACAUUAUGGGUAAGCCUAUGGCACCUUUUGCAUGCAUGUGUCACAACCUCAAUUUCCCUCCGUAGGAUGUCGUGAUGGCACCUAGUCUCUAAGACUAGGUAUGCUUAACAAAACAUGCAGAAUAUAACUAAAAUGACAAAUAACUCUCAAAUACUCAAUAAUUUAACAUAAAGAAACUCUGCAGCUCAGUAUAAACAAUUUCCCAAAACCCGGCGAAUACAGGUCAUAAGCUCUAAUAGUAGUACUGAGUAAUCCUUUACAUCAAUGUCUAUAAAAGGAUAAGGAAAAUAGAAUUGUCUUGGUAGAGGGGGACUCCAAAUCCUGCGGACGCUGGCAGGUAUACCUUGAAGUCUCUGAAGCUGAGCUCUCGCUAGUACCUGGGUUGGUAGGAGGUACCUAAAUCUGCACAAAAAGAUGUGUAGAAGCGUAGCAUGAGUACACCACAACAAUACCCAGUAAGUGCCAAUCCUAACCUCGGUAGAGUAGUGACGAGAUCAGGUCAAGGCCCUACUGGAAUAAAUAAGAAAAAAUGUACAAGUGUAUGGCAGUGUAGUAAUGAUAGUAAUGAAAGUGAAACAACAAAUAACAUAUCAAGGUUAGCUACACGAAACUAAAGCAAAUAAUCCAACACGGAGAAAACAAGGAAUGAUAUGCUAAGGAAACCAAAACAACCAAAGACAAGCGUAGCAAUAGAAAAAUACCAACAAGAGUCACUACUGUGGUACCACCUCGUAGUCUCAAAUCACAAGAAUAAUUCAUAAUCUUCUCUCAUAUCACCGCGGGAGCCUUGCAUUUAGUUUUGAAAAUCAUAUUUCCCGAAAUAGCAUCCUAUGUUUUAGCUCACCUUAUCACACCGCGUGGCUUCUAGUAGUUCCCCUACUAGCAACGCGUAUCAAGUCCACUUUAUCUCACCGCAUGCAUUUCAACCCCAAAACCUUAUACCACCGCAUGUGUAUCAAUAUCACAACGUAUCACGAAUCGCACCUCAAGUGCUCAAUAUCACAACUUGACAAAGAAAGCAAUAGUAAUAGUGUUUUCACAAUAAAGAGCCCAUGUCUCAACGACAAUGUACACAAGAGUGUGAACAAUAACAACCAAAAGUGAAUAACUCAACAGAAUAGUAUUUCACAACUUAACACUUUGCCUCAAUGUGAAUCACGACCUUUAUAACUCAAUUACCAGUUUCAUCAACAAGAUAUCCCAAGAAUAACAACUUCAAGUAUAAAAUUCACAGCUAAAUAAUGAAUAAGGAAUAGAGGAAACAACAACAACUUCAACUAAACAUGUAGGGCAAUUAACAAGUAAGAGAUAAGACAAGUAGAGCAUGUGAAGAUAGACUAGAAAUGAUUACUAUAACAUGUUAAGGUAACUCAAUUAAGGCUUGAAAGGAAUCUACAUAGCUACAAUCGGUAAAUUUUCAUAUUUAUCCCAUGCACCCACUCAUCACCUUGCGGACACGGCUUUCACACAUCAUAGUUAUCACAAACAACACCAAUCCUAAGGGGUAAUUUCCCCCCACACAAAGUUAGGAAGACACUUACCUCGAAACACGAUAACUCAAUCCACUAGUAGGCCUUUUCCUCGAUUAUCCAACUCCGAACGGCUCGAAUCUAGCCAAAACAACUUCAUAUUAUAAAUAUAAACUAUAGGAAACUAUUUCGAACAAUAAAAUUACUAUCUUUGCAAAGAAAAUAAAAAGUCAACUCAAAAAUUCAACCCGGGUCCACAUCUUGAAAUCCAACCAAAAUUACAAAAUCCGAAUAUUCAAUUGAUAACGAGUCNNNNNNNNNNNNNNUUAAGAAGUUUUCACAAUUUUUCCUCAAAUUUCCAACUCAAAUCACUAAUUAAAUGAUGAAAUUAACAAUAGAUUCAUGUAAUUUAACCAACUGCGAGUUAGGAUUUCUUACCCCAAUGAUUUUCUUGAAAAACUCUUGAAAUAUCGCCACAAACUGAGCUCUCUAGGUCCAAAAUGGAUUAUGAAACUCAAACCCUCGAAGAUCCCUUUUCUGCCCUGGGAUUCCGCAUCUGCGGCCUUUUAGUCUCACCUGCGACGCCGCACUUGCGUAAAAACUAUCGCAGGUGCGAUUCACAAUUAACUCCAGGGGUUCCACUUAUGCGGAUAAUGGCUCGUACCUGCGAGCCCACUUCUGCGGAGAAACGACCGCAUUUGCGGCCUUGCCCAAAGGCCCUUUCCAAAUUCCGCUUCUGCGGAAGAAAUGUCCACGCCUGCGGAGACGAACCUGCGCCCAGGUGUUCGCACCUACGACCCCAGCCCUGGGCUCUCCUUUUCUCUUCUGCACUUCACCUUCCGCACCCGCGAGUCUACACCUACGGUCAAUCCUUCCGCAGGUGUGAUGACACCAGCAGGCCUGGGACUUCAGCAACAUGAACAAGCCAAAAUUCAUUUCAGAUUCAAUCCGAAUCACACUCGAGGCCCACGAGACCCCGUCCAAAUGUACCAACAAGUCCCAAAACACAUAGCAGACCUACUUGAGGCCAAAAACCACAUCAAACAACAUCAAUUCUAUGAAGCGCAACCCAAUUUAAGCCUAUGAAACUAUGAACUUUCGAAUUUCAAAACUAAUGCCGAUUCAUACCAAAACAAUUCUGAUUGACCUCAAAUUUUGCACACAAGUCAUAAAUGAUAUGACAGACCUAUUCCAACUCUUGGAAUUGGAAUCCAAAUCCUAUAUCAAUAAAGUCAACCCCCAGUCAAACCUUCCAACCUUCCAAACCUUUAACUUUCUAACAUUCGCCAAUUCACGCCAAAAUGACCUACGGACCUCCAAAUCAAUAUCCGGACACGCUCCUAAGUAUAAAAUAACCAUACGGAGCUAUUGGAACUAUCAAAACUCCAUUCUAGAUUUGUCUACACUAAAGUCAAAAUACGGUCAACUCUUUCAACUUAAAGCUCUAACUUAGGGACUAUAUGUCCCAUUUCACUCCGAAACUCAUCCGAAACCAAAACCAAAUACCUCCGGAAAGUCACAUAACCGUAAUACAACAUAGAGGAGGAAAUAAAUAGGGGAUCGGGCUAAAAUACUCAAAAUGACCAGCCGGGUCGUUAUAACAUGUGACUUCUUUAUGAGAGUGAGAGAUUUUUUUUUAUAGAUGUGAGUCCUUAAUUUAUAUUUAAUCAUGAGAUUUGAAUGUGUGGAUUCAACUUACUCUCUUAUUCUUGUUGUGAGGGCACGUAGUUUCACUAGGGAUAAAUAACAUUAUUAGACUUCUCUGUGAUGUUGGAUAUUCAAGCCAUGAGUGUAUUGUGAUAUUGAGUCGGCUUUUGAGGCUAGGAUUGUUAUGAGCAUGUUGUCUUUGUUGUGAAUAUUUUUAAAGAAUGGCAUAAGUAAAGGGAAGUGAAAGUGAUUGCAUAUGCUAUAGUUUAAUUGUUGCUAUCAACGGUCAUUGAUAGAGUGUAUGUUGAAAAAAAAAAAUUGCUCCCCCUUGUUGACAUGUACGUUGUUGGGGUGUAGUUAUAGUUCCAUUGCUCGAGAGCGAGCAAGAGUUUAAGUGUGGGGUGUUGAUAUUUAGCUUAAAGUAUAUAUAUUUAUAUGUAUAUCGCCUCGCAUUUUACUCGUGUUUUGUAGAUUUCGGAUGUGAAAUGUAAUGAUUUAUGCUAAUUCGUGGUAUUUUAAUGUCUAGGAAUCAUCCGAAGGCAAUAUGGGGCUAAGGUGCGAGAUUGGAGCCAAAAAGGAGCAAAAUUGGAAAAUAGCCACUUUGUAGCACCACAAGAAGCGUGGGGCGCUAUUUGUGGCGCAGAAGUCAGAAGCCAAAAAAUCCCAGUACCAGGGAUAGCGCCCCACGCUACCCUGGGUACUGGUGAAGAGAAGUUUUUCCUAGUUCGCCCGAGACAAGGUUAUUUCGGCACCCACCCACCCCCCCACCCCCCCAACGCGUAUAAAAGCAAGAUUAAGCCUAUUUGUUUUUUCAAUUUUUGGUUUAGUUAGAGUAGACUAGAGUUUUUUUAUUUUCUUUAUAGACAUAGAAAUUAUAGGUAGAAUGGUGAGGGGGAUGUAAAUUGGAUAUAUAAAGUGCUCGGGGUGGAUCAGGGAUUUCAUUCAUUCAAAAAAAAAAUCGGCAGAACAGCGCCCAGUGCUACCUAGGGCGCAAAAAACAGAAUCAUCCAUUCCCCCAGCGCCAGGCCUAGAGGGACGCGCUGGGCUGGGGGUAGGUGAGUUUCAAAUUCUUUUUUUGUUUUUAUGUUUUAUUGUUUUCUUAUUAACCCAUACCCAUAAAACCCGACCCACUUACCCCUUUCUAGUCAUCCCUGUCCCCCUUAGCCCUUCUCUCUCUCUCUCCCUGCUACUUUCUUCCUCUCUCAGCCCGCAUCGAUGUCCCUCUCCCUCUCUCAAGUUUUUCAAGUUUUUUCUUCUUUUGCUUUCAUCCUCAAUCCUCAAGGUAUGUUCCCUCUUCUCCAUUAUUUUUUAUUUUGUAAGUUAAGUUUCCCCUUCCCCUUCCCAAAUGCCUGAAACCCCAAUUCCCAAUUAGUGAUUCUUUAGAACUCUUUUCUAUGGUGGGUGGCCUAUUAUGCAAUGAAAUUGGCUGUCAAAACUUGGUUGUUGUGUUGUAUACGGAGUAGUAAACUAAAACUCCCUCUACUUUCUUAAAAUUUGGGAGGCCCACCAUGUUCCACCAUUGUUAAAUUGAGUUGCACACACUUAAUGCCCACCAUGUGUAUGAUAAAAUGUUUGAAUGAGUACUUUGUACACCGGUGAAGUCUGAGUAGCCGAGUGUAGUUGUAUGUGAUAUCGAGCUAAGUGUGGGGUGUUUGGGGGUGGUUUUAUAUAAUUCGAAGCUUGGCUUUAAUGUUCCCAUGUCGCCCACACCAUGUAUCUUGUAUUGUGUAUGAUGUAGCACUUUGUUAGAGUUAGCUAGUGUAGUGUAUUAGUGGUAGAGAUUGAGGACCAUGUGCUACUUGCUUGUAUUAAGGCUAAGUCACUUCGCCUUGUUCGACAAUUUGAUGUGUGUGGCAUAGUUAGUGGAUUAUAACUGUGCGGCACGGGGAAGUCUUGAGUACCCAUUACUUGUGGUGCAACACUUGUGCAUUUUAAACUAAUAUUGUGAGUAUAUUACAGUGAGCCUUCGGUUUUAAGUGUGGGGGUCAUAUUUGACCUUCACGAUAACCUUAGGUGGAAGUCUUGAUGCAUUCUCGCAUUCAUAAUUAAUUGUGUUGUAGGAUGAUAUGGCUCAUGACAGUGCGAACAAGGGAAAGGGAGUAGGGAAGUCCUCAACCACUGCCCCCUCUCCUAAAAAGUUCAAGCAAGGGGAAGGAUCAUCUCGGCAAGCGAAAGGGAAACAAGUUGUCGACGGAUCGAAAAAGGCACCAUUGGGACCGAGGCCUCAUCUGGAUCUAGUUCGUGAUGAUGCCAUCCAACGACAUAAUAACUUUGUGCCAUAUGGGCGGUAUGUCUCCGAGAUGGGUAUUAAUCUGAAAAUUUUGGAAAAGAACUUCCCGGACGUGCUUGCCCGAUUGCGAGAAAUAAAGAUGGAUAAGUUCCUAGAGUGCCCCAGCCAUGAAAAUUUGAGUAUGGUGCGAUAACUUUAUGCCAAUUGGAAUGGGGACUUGUUCAAGUCAUGGGUCCAUGGAAAGGAGGUCCCAAUGGAUAGGUGGUCUUUAUGCAAAUCUUUGGGAGUUGAUAACUCUAACCCGCAAAGGCUGCAAAAAUUUGUCAAAUGCCCAAGCUACCAGGUGAUACGUCACACUCUUUGUGGCAUCGAUUCGAAUGCCAAGUGGGCCCGAACUAAGGGUGAUGCCCAUCCUGAGAUGAUCCGCUUUGAUUUUAGCAAGACCACUAAGGUGUGGCAAAAUUUCUUGCAGGCCAGACUAUUAGCCAGUUGAGCACAACAGUAAAUGCACUUGAGCUCGAGUGUGUGUGAUAUGUUUUCUGAUGACUGGGUGACCCAUCAAUGUGGGUGAUAUCAUGCUAGGGGAGAUGGCCCGCACACGAUUUGGGCUGAAAAUCAAGAGAUUCUUCUUUGGCAACUUGCUCAAGCACUACAUGCUCUCCCGAGGGUGCCUGAAUAUCCCAAUUAUGACGAGGUUGUGGAGGCUCCUAAGGGGUUGAUGGACAUCACAUCUUUAUUGGAGUCUACAUCUAAGCUUAUCCAGGUGGCACUGAAUGAGAGGAACAAGAACUUCAACAGGUAUCUCUAUAACUCCUUUAAUGUGAUCAUGAGCAGGUUGGGUGUAUCGGACGGGGAGAGUAUGAAUCUACAUAAUGAUCUAUCCAGUUCUUUCAAAGAGAUGUUAGGAAUUGCAGUCGGCAGUCCUGUUCACCCAUCAGAGGAUGAGAACACUCACAAAGGCUCCAACACUGAGGAUGAGAUUGGUGAUAAAGUCAGGGGGCCAUGGCUUUGGUGCCUCUGGGAGCUGAUGAUGAUUAUGAGCCCGGAGCUGCAGCUGGUGGGCAUUCUAAGGAGGAGGAAUCUGACUAGCACGGACUUUUUCUUUCCACCUUACUUUGCUUUAAAUUCUUACAUGCAUCGGGGACUAUGCAUAUGUUAAGUGUUGGGUGGGGGAACUACUUCGUGUGAUGUAAAUUGUAUAAAUAUAUUUCUUUUUAUUAGUUUUUUUUAGGAACCCGUAGUAGACUUAGUCUAGUUUUGGAAAAAAAAUAAAAAAAAGAUUAUACAGAAAUAGAAAAAAGAAAAAAAAUUAGAAGAAGCUCAGACUUUUCCUGACGAUGGAUCUUUUGGACAAUUUUAUUGAGGGAUUAAAGUCCGAUUAAAAACACCAAAAAGUUUUUUUUUAAGGAUAGUUAGGUAGUAUCCCUUGGUUUUUCUUUGGGCGCCAGUUCUUUUCCAAGGGUGUAGCUCGACCUGGGUACUUUGUUUUUUUAGGAGUAGCUUAGGAAGAAACUGAGUUGCUCUGAGGUGCCUAUUGACGUGUUUGGUGCUGGCACAUUAGGCUAUGGCAUGCUCUCUGUCUUCCCGUACAUUUGAUUUGAAUUUUGAUGCCUGAGUAAAAUAAAUAGCCUACUAUGUGAUGCCUUUUCUCAGUUGUUCGACUUGUAUGCCACAUAGUUCAAUAUUGCUUAAAAUUUCUCAACUAUAUGUGCUUGCUUGACUCGAGAGUUGAACAGAACCAUCUUGAUUGAGUCAUGUGCCAUGUGUGUGUGAGGAUUUGUGAUCUUCUGUGCUAUCAUGUGUAGUCUAGAACUUGCCCUGUGUGUUAAUUGAAUCGAAAUCAUUAAGUUGUGCUAGCCUAGGAGAUGAUGUAGGCGUUUCUUGCUUGAUCAUAUAUGUGCUUGUCACUUAAAAAUAAAAUUUUCCAUUGCUAGCCCCUUUGAGCCUAUAGACCUUUUCUUUGGCACCCACAUUACAAGUCGUAUCCCUAUUUUGUUCUUAAUUUGAGAUUGUUGAACCUUUACCUCCUAAGGCACUUAGUCGCUAAAAGAAGUAAGGUGAGAGAUUGGGGAGUAGCUUUCGAGUGGAACCAUGGAAGGGCCCUUAAGGUGCACUAAAGUUGUGGAAAAAUAAGGUCACUAGCCGAUUUGAACCUUAAUGUACGGAGUGUGUGUAGAAAAAAAAAGAGAAAAAGAAAAAAAUUGCAAGAAAGAAAAAAAGAAUAGUUCAAAUAAUGUAGAAAAACACACACCUCCUAAUCUUACUAAUUCGUGCUAGUGGGAAUAUAGAUGUGCUUAAUUGGAAAAAAAAAAAGGGGCUAUGUUUAUAUGGUUUGUGGCGAGUGAAUUGGUUGAGAAGAAGAUGUGCUCGAUUUUUUAGUGUAGUAUAUUACAGUGCUUAGGAGGGUUAGUCACUAUUCCUAAAUGUAUCUUACCCGUACCUUAGCCUACGUUACAACCUUAAAGUCCUAAUUGAUCCUAGAUUUGGCUUGCUUAGAUUAGUAGAGAUGAACACUAUGGGCAAGCUUAUGGUACGACAACGGGAUACACAUGAAAUUCUUUGUGAGAGUGAGCGAAUUGGGUUCAAUUGUGUGAUGUCCUUAAAUUAUGUUCCAAGGCAUACUUGAAUAUGUGGACUAUUCUAUAUUCACUCUUUUGUUUGUUGGUGACGACACAUGAUCUCAUGAAGGAUUGGUAAUGUUGUAAACUUCUCUUGUUGGGUGAGUGCGCGAGUUGAGGGUGCUUAGUGGUAACGAGUUGGCUCUUGAGGUAGGGUGGUUACGGAUAGGUUGUUUGAAUUAAUUGAAUUGAAAUGUUUAUACUUGGGCAUGUUUGAAACGGGAAGAAUGUGAAAUUAGUAUGUUCAUGCUUGAUUGUCGGUAUCGAUCAUAGUCAAGGAUAGAGUGUAUGGUUAAAAAUUGAAUUGCUCCCCCCUUGUUGACAUGUACGUUGUUGGGGUAUAGUUAUAGUUCCAUUGCUUGAGGGCGAGCAAGAGUUUAAGUGUGGGGUGUUGAUAUUUAGCUUAAAGUAUAUAUAUUUAUAUGUAUAUCGUCUCGCAUUUUACUCGUUUUUCGUAGAUUUCGGAUGUGAAAUGUAAUGAUUUAUGCUAAUUCGUGGUGUUUUUAUGUGUAGGAAUCAUCCGGAGGAAAUAUGGGAUGAAGGUGCGAGAUUUGAGCCAAAAGGGAGCAAAACUGGAAAAUAGCCACUUUGUAGUGCCACGGGCAGUGUGGGGAGCUACCUCUGGUGCAGAAGUCAGAAGCCAAAAAUUCCCAGCGCCAGGGAUAGCGCCCCACGGUACCUAGGCGCUGGUGACGGGAAGGUUUUUUCUUAGUUCGCCUGGGAUAAGGUUAUUUUGGCCCAAGACCCCCCCCCCCCCAAAUGCAUAUAAAGGAAAGACUAAGCCUAUUUUGAGAGGGGAGACGCCACUUUGAAGGAAAAAUAUACAUGAGGAACAUCCAGGAGCGGGGAUAUCUCAGUUUUCUUCAUCUUUUCUUAGUAUUCUCAAUUAUUCAACACUUGUGAUUUUUUUCGAUAGUAUCAUGUGUGGCUAAAACCCAUAGUUCUGAUGUUGUGAUUUAGCCAUAAUUUUUGUUGUUUAAAAUUGACUUAACCUUGAUUACAAUUCACUAAUAUAUGGUUGUUUCUUCAACUCUGUCAGUAUUACUUAAUUGACUGGCCAACAGUUAGGUUCUAUUUACUAUAUAUGCUAUGCUUGGGAAAGCUACGUCUAGAAUAGAAAAGAAUUGAAGAGAGCAUGAUCUUAAUUCUGAGUGGAGGCAGAUUUGUUGUUAGGAUAGGAAUAUACCUAGUCACCAUGCUUAAUUAAAUAUAAUAAUCUUAAUGCAUUCUUAAUAGAUUGAUUCCAUAGGAAUAUAGGCAUUAAUCUAUUUUGAAUAGGCGAAUAGUAAUUCGGGAGAAUACUACGAGAGCAAUUGUUCGAUUAAUUAGCAACCAUGAGUGAAUUGUAUGAAAGGGAGAGUUAGUUAGAACACAAUAGGAUUGGUGAAUCGAUCACAACUCUAGAAUAUUCGUCUCUACUGAAUACACAACAACUAUUUUGCUGCUUGAUAAAUUAGUUACUUGUUAGAAUUAUUGCUUAGUAUAAUCAAACUUUUGAACUCUGAUUAACUCGACUAAAUAAUAAUCUUGGUGAAACUAGUGGGUAGUUAACACAAGUCUCUGUGGGUUCGACACUCGAUUUAUCACUUUAUUACCUGUACGACCACGUAUACUUGCAUGUGUAAUUUGGGAGCAACAUAUAUGCAUUCCACUGAAUAGAAACAUAAUACGAAACACGCGACCUCGAAUCUUCACGCAGGAGAUAACCCACCGGCUAGACUCAAAUCAACAACUCCCCAUGACCCCACCAAGGUCACAACAACUAGGCAACCGACUAAUACUCCCAAGUCUCCGCUUGUCGACAAGAUACAAGAAUCUACUUCAUCCCACAAAUGAACAACUGGAAGAUCUACCAAUACAUAAACAUCAAAACCUUGACAACACAUCGCGAUGGUAAUCAAGCAUUCACAGGCCUUCGCAGCCCAUCCACAACAUCACAAGUCGUUGGUGCAUAAUGAGACUUGGUGCUCAACAUCGCAUUUGGACAAAUAGGAAGAAUCAAAGUCGCAGGUUUCAAGCUGAAACAAGGUCGCACGAUAAGGAAAGAAAUAAGUAAAGUUUCCUAAAUGCCAUGUAGCCUCUCGAAGAUAGGAAUGGAAAUCAUUAUACCGAUCCACAAGACUCUACUAGACAUUUGCUCAUGAAUCGUAGAACCCGCACACCUAAUGCUCAGAUACUAACUUGCCACGACCCAAAAACCACUUAGAUGUGAUGGCACCUAACCAUAAUGCUAGGUAAGCCAGACAUAGAACAAGGUAACUCAAAUGAUAGAUUAAAUGACUGAAUUCUAUACAACCUCCCAAGGACUAGUAGUACAAGUCAUGAGCCACUAUGAUAUAGAUUUACAAAAACCAAAAUGAAGUAUAAGUACAAUAUCUGUUUGAAAUUUACAUAAACAGAAUUUAAGUCCUAAACUACCAUGAACAAGAGGUAGCUUGAAUAUUGAACGCUGGAACGUCUUCAGUGCAAGCCUCGAUUUUCCAUAGCUACAUAGCUCCAAGAUCGGAACGCAAGGUGCAGAAGUGUAUUAUAAGUACAACCGACCCCAUGUACUCAGUAAGUAUCUUGACUAACCUCGGUGAAGGAGUGGCGAGGUUUUAAGUUAAAGAUACUUACUUAAUAUGUACCUGUGCAGAUAAUAAGCAGGAAAAAUAAGGCAAGAGAUAUGUCGAAUAAUGGUAGGAGUAUCAACUCAAAAGCUAUGAAGCACGUUAACAAACAUGGAAACAACACAUAACCUCAUAACCAUUUCUACAAAGAGAACAAUAAUCAUGAAAUAUGCACAAGUGUCGCGCUCCAUUUUCUCUCGAAAGCGGGUUUCAUUGUCUAACAACUUUUUUGAAUGGGUAUUAAGAGGAAAGAAUAGCCACCUAAUGAUUUUAGUGUGCAUUAGGGCACCUAUUUCACAAAUAAGUCUGUUUUAACUAGUCCGUGUCACCAAAGAUCAGGUAAGGGCUCAAAUUACCUCAAAGAGAAGGUGUUAGGCACUCUUCGAGGUCCACAACUGUGGGUCCCGGCCGAAAUUAAUGUUGUCUGGGUUUGGUUGUCUCUUGAUUCUCUCAGGUAAUUUCUUGUUUAUGCAGUUAGCCUUCAACUUGAAAGAGUGAUUUUCAGUUUCGCACUCAUAACAGGAAACUUUAUAGCUCUUUGCAAUAAUAUCGAAAUCGCGAAUUGUUUAUGGUGCUAGAAAGUUAACUCAUGGAGCUUAGACAUAUGUGAAAAAAUAUCAGUCAGAUAACUCCCAAAUCUGUUCAGGUAAUUUUCUGAUCAGUUUUUGAAUUCGAAUUCACUGAUCACUUCAGUGUCUCACGUCAUCACGAGAAACCUUAUAACUUUUUGUAGGACUGUCAUGACCCAAAAACGACCUAGUCGUAAUGGAACCUAACCCUAAUGUUAGAUAAUUCAAACAUAGAACAAGGUAACUCAAAUGAUAGAUUACUAUUAACAAGGAAUAAAAAUGACUGAAUUCUAUACAACUCCCAAGGACUAGUAGUACAAGUCAUGAGUCACUAUGAUAUAGAUUUACAAAAGCCGAAAUGAGGUAUAAGUACAAUAUCUGUUUGAAAUUUAAAUAAAAAGAGUUUAAGUUCAAAACUACCAGGAACAAGAGGUAGCUUGAAUUUGGAAUGCUAGAACAUCUUCAGUGCAAGGCUCCAUUUUCUACAGCUACGCAACCCCAAGAUCUGCACGCAAGGUGUAUAAGUAUAGAAUGAGUACAACCGAACCCAUAUACUCAGUAAGUAUCUUGACUAACCUCAGUGAAGUAGUGGAGAGGUUUUAAUUUAAAGAUACUUACUUAAUAUAAACAUGUGCAGAUAAUAAGUGUCACGACCCAAACCGAUGGGCCGCGAUGGGCACCUAGUACCUUACUCAACCGAGUACCAACAUAACAUAUCUUUUCGUAUCAUGGCUAUCAUAGGUAAAUGAUAUGGAAAGGCUGUCGUGGGAUAACUAGAAUAAAACAUGUAAUACCAACUUAUACAUAAGACAUACGGGCCUAUAAGACCAAAAUGACCACUCAUACACUGAACAUAGGCCGACAAGGCCAUACAAUCUUUUACGUACAUGACAUAUNNNNNNNNNNNNNNNNNNNNNNNNNNNNNNNNNNNNNNNNNNNNNNNNNNNNNNNNNNNNNNNNNNNNNNNNNNNNNNNNNNNNNNNNNNNNNNNNNNNNNNNNNNNNNNNNNNNNNNNNNNNNNNNNNNNNNNNNNNNNNNNNNNNNNNNNNNNNNNNNNNNNNNNNNNNNNNNNNNNNNNNNNNNNNNNNNNNNNNNNNNNNNNNNNNNNNNNNNNNNNNNNNNNNNNNNNNNNNNNNNNNNNNNNNNNNNNNNNNNNNNNNNNNNNNNNNNNNNNNNNNNNNNNNNNNNNNNNNNNNNNNNNNNNNNNNNNNNNNNNNNNNNNNNNNNNNNNNNNNNNNNNNNNNNNNNNNNNNNNNNNNNNNNNNNNNNNNNNNNNNNNNNNNNNNNNNNNNNNNNNNNNNNNNNNNNNNNNNNNNNNNNNNNNNNNNNNNNNNNNNNNNNNNNNNNNNNNNNNNNNNNNNNNNNNNNNNNNNNNNNNNNNNNNNNNNNNNNNNNNNNNNNNNNNNNNNNNAAGUUGAUAGCCUACUUGGAGGACUCUCGACCUGUCUAUCGGGACCUACAGGCAUGAAACUCUACGUCCCCAGGAAAAAAGGACGUCAGUACAAAUAAUGUACCGAGUAUGUAAGGGAUAAAAAUUAGUAAACAAUAGACAUGAGAGAAACAUGGAGUAAAAGACUCAACAUGUAAGUAUGAAUAGAUCUGCAAAUCAUUUCAUAUUUAUAAUGUCAUGCAUAUGCAUAUAAAUGUCAUGCCAUGCAUAGGUAUAUGCGUUCAUAACAUCAUCAAGCCUCUGAGGGCAUCCCAUCAUAUCAUCUCGGCCACUGUGUGCAAAUCAUCAACGUAUACCAGCUGAUCAGGUGGUGGUACGUAUAUAACACCUAAACCUUUUCCCAUAUCCCAUAUACAUAUAUUUACAUAUAUAUAUAUAUAUAUAUACGCGUAUAUAACUCCAUCUGGUCAUGGGUCAAUGUACAUGCAUAAAUGAAUGCAAUGCAUGAGAAGUACAUCAUUAAAGUCUCUCGAAAUGUCAUAAGACCAUUAUGCCUCUGAUAGAACAAUAGGACACAUGGGGAAUCAAGAACAUAUUCAUCUCUAGUAUUUCUAUGAAUAGAGUCAUUUAUGAAAGUUGUGCAUUUGCUAUUUUGGUUUGUAUCGUAUGGAUCAUGCCAAAAGGAAAGAAGGGAUAACCUUAACAUGCCUGAGCCGGUUUACUUGACAAUCCCUCUAACACACGACCAUCGCGAUAAAACACGUAACGGCGGAUUGAAGUAGGGGAAAAUCCGUAUUAUAUUCUUAAGAAAGAUUGUAUCGGGCUCCCUUGGAAUUUGUAAAUUCAUGCUGCCAUUACAUAAUAACAUCUUCAUAUAAUUUGAUGAUGUUUCCCUUCAUUAUCUUGUAGUGAUACAAGUAUCUCUCUUAAGUGAUUUUGAAAGGUUGAAACAACUCACAUUGCUAAUGCAUAAUGCAAUCCCGUAUGGAUUCUUGUUGUAGCUUCAUCCGUACCUUGUUGUUCUCAAAGUGUAACACCAUUUGAUACACUAUUUACCUAACCUUGUGGAUUAGAGAUGGCAUUCUUCAACAAGAAUGAUAUAAAGGUGCACAUAACUUUAAAUGUUGCCACCACCUACUUAAGGUUAUGAAUUGGUGGCAAUUUGCUGCCAAGUUUCCAUAAAUACUACGUGGAUGUUGUCCCCCCUAACAAUUAUCCAAAUCUCAUUUAAAUAAUUAUCCACAAAAUUCAAUUUACAAGUUAAUCUCCCACUUAAAAAUUCAUAAUUACCCAAUUAUCCACAUAAUUAAGAAUUAUCUCAAAUUACUUAAAAUACUACUCACUUUUAACAUACUUUAUAUACCUCACUAUCAUGGUUAUAUGGUAUCUUGUAUGGAAUUAGUCCAUAAAUACCGAGUAUUAUAGCUUGGACCGUAUUUUAUCCUAAAUUGUCAAAUUUUGACGAAACUCAUUUCUUCGAUUCGCUUACCCUCUCACCUUCACGAAUUUAUUUAUCACUUGUUUUGAAAUAGCGUAAUACUUAUAAUCUCAAAAUAAUCUCAUUCCCGAGAUUUCAUCAAUUUACUUAUGAUGUACUUUCACGUAUGAAAACAUGGGGUGUAACAUCAUUCCUCCCCUUUGGAACAUUCAUCCUCGAAUGUUGACUGAUGCACUUAUCAUUUUCAUAACUUAUGCCUUCCGAAUACUUUAGCACUCUCAUUGCCAUCUAGACAACUAUUCUGUGAAUAAAAUUAAAGGCCAAGUCAUCCCCCCCCCCAGGCCUCUUUCUCACACCAUGACUUGUGGUCGGAAUCUUUCCAAUCUCAUAACUGUUGCUACUUUCUAUCAUGCAGCCUGUAUGACUCUGACCUUGUGAGUGUGCCUAUGCAAUUCUUCUCUCCUUUUUCCUCUAGUUUUUAGCCAAUCUCUAGGCCUCACUUUGUAAAUAUAUACAGAGCUUGACAAGAUGUCCCUCUGGGCAUCUAUAGGUAUAUUGAAGCUCUUCGCUCGGUACUUUGUUGAACUUACGAAUAUUGUUAUACCUUAUUUCGUAGAUCCGUUUAUCCAUCCGUAUGACUUUAUUGCAUCUAGGUAGGUCAUACUAUACAUAACUCNNNNNNNNNNNNNNNNNNNNNNNNNNNNNNNNNNNNNNNNNNNNNNNNNNNNNNNNNNNNNNNNNNNNNNNNNNNNNNNNNNNNNNNNNNNNNNNNNNNNNNNNNNNNNNNNNNNNNNNNNNNNNNNNNNNNNNNNNNNNNNNNNNNNNNNNNNNNNNNNNNNNNNNNNNNNNNNNNNNNNNNNNNNNNNNNNNNNNNNNNNNNNNNNNNNNNNNNNNNNNNNNNNNNNNNNNNNNNNNNNNNNNNNNNNNNNNNNNNNNNNNNNNNNNNNNNNNNNNNNNNNNNNNNNNNNNNNNNNNNNNNNNNNNNNNNNNNNNNNNNNNNNNNNNNNNNNNNNNNNNNNNNNNNNNNNNNNNNNNNNNNNNNNNNNNNNNNNNNNNNNNNNNNNNNNNNNNNNNNNNNNNNNNNNNNNNNNNNNNNNNNNNNNNNNNNNNNNNNNNNNNNNNNNNNNNNNNNNNNNNNNNNNNNNNNNNNNNNNNNNNNNNNNNNNNNNNNNNNNNNNNNNNNNNNNNNNNNNNNNNNNNNNNNNNNNNNNNNNNNNNNNNNNNNNNNNNNNNNNNNNNNNNNNNNNNNNNNNNNNNNNNNNNNNNNNNNNNNNNNNNNNNNNNNNNNNNNNNNNNNNNNNNNNNNNNNNNNNNNNNNNNNNNNNNNNNNNNNNNNNNNNNNNNNNNNNNNNNNNNNNNNNNNNNNNNNNNNNNNNNNNNNNNNNNNNNNNNNNNNNNNNNNNNNNNNNNNNNNNNNNNNNNNNNNNNNNNNNNNNNNNNNNNNNNNNNNNNNNNNNNNNNNNNNNNNNNNNNNNNNNNNNNNNNNNNNNNNNNNNNNNNNNNNNNNNNNNNNNNNNNNNNNNNNNNNNNNNNNNNNNNNNNNNNNNNNNNNNNNNNNNNNNNNNNNNNNNNNNNNNNNNNNNNNNNNNNNNNNNNNNNNNNNNNNNNNNNNNNNNNNNNNNNNNNNNNNNNNNNNNNNNNNNNNNNNNNNNNNNNNNNNNNNNNNNNNNNNNNNNNNNNNNNNNNNNNNNNNNNNNNNNNNNNNNNNNNNNNNNNNNNNNNNNNNNNNNNNNNNNNNNNNNNNNNNNNNNNNNNNNNNNNNNNNNNNNNNNNNNNNNNNNNNNNNNNNNNNNNNNNNNNNNNNNNNNNNNNNNNNNNNNNNNNNNNNNNNNNNNNNNNNNNNNNNNNNNNNNNNNNNNNNNNNNNNNNNNNNNNNNNNNNNNNNNNNNNNNNNNNNNNNNNNNNNNNNNNNNNNNNNNNNNNNNNNNNNNNNNNNNNNNNNNNNNNNNNNNNNNNNNNNNNNNNNNNNNNNNNNNNNNNNNNNNNNNNNNNNNNNNNNNNNNNNNNNNNNNNNNNNNNNNNNNNNNNNNNNNNNNNNNNNNNNNNNNNNNNNNNNNNNNNNNNNNNNNNNNNNNNNNNNNNNNNNNNNNAAUGAAAAUCAGUAAACAAUAGACGUGAGAGAAACAUGGAGUAAAAGACUCAACAUGUAAGUCUGAAUAGCUCUGUAAAUCAUUUCAUAUUUAUAAUGUCAUGCAUAUGCGUAUAAAUGUCAUACCAUGCAUAGGUAUAUGCGUUCAUAACAUCAUCAAGCCUCUGAGGGCAUCCCAUCAUAUCAUCUCGGCCACUGUGGACAAAUCAUCAACGUAUACCAGCUAAUCAGGUGGUGGUGCGUAUAUAACGACGUAACCUUUUCCCAUAUCCCAUAUACAUAUAUUUACAUAUAUUACGCGUAUAUAACUCCAUCUGGUCAUGGAUCAAUGUACAUGUAUAAAUGAAUGUAAUGCAUGAGAAGUACGUCAUUAAAAUAUCUUGAAACGUCAUAAGACCAUUAUGCCUCUGAUUAAUAUCAUGAAAUAAACUUUAUCAACUUACGUAUUUUUUGAGACCCAUGAACAGAUGAUAGAACAAUAGGACACAUGGGGAAUCAAGAACAUAGGCAUCUCUAGUAUUUCUAUGAAUAGAGUCAUUUAUGAAAGUUGUGCAUUAGCUCGUUUCGUUUGUAUCGUAUGGAUCAUGCCAAAAGGAAAGAAGAGAUAGCCUUAACAUACCUGAGCCGGUUCUCUUGACAAUCCCUCUAACUCACGACCAUCGCGACAAAACACGUAACGGCGUAUUGAAGUAGGAAAAAAUCCGUAUGAUAUUCUUAAGAAAGAUUGUACCGGGCUCCCUUGGAAUUUGUAAAUUCAUGCUGCCAUUACAUAAUAACAUCUUCAUAUGAAUUUUAUGGUGUUUCCCUUCAUUAUCUUGUAGAGAUACAAGUAUCUCUCUUAAGUGAUUUUGAAAGGUUGAAGCAACUCACGUUGCUAAUGCAUAAUGCAAUUCCAUAUGGAUUCUUGUUGUAGCUUCAUCCGUACCUUGUUGUUAUCAAAGUGUAACAUCAUUUGAUACACUAUUUACCUAACCUUAUGGAUUAGAUAUGGCAUUCUUCAACAAGAAUGAUAUAAAGGUGCACAUAACUUUAAAUGUUGCCACCACCUACUUAAGGUUAUGAAUUGGUGGCAAUUUGCUGCCAAGUUUCCAUAAAUCCCACGUGGAUGUUGUCCCCCCUAACAAUUAUUCAAAUUUCAUUUAAAUAAUUAUACACAAAAUUCAAUUUACAAGUUAAUCUCCCACUUAAAAAUCCAUAAGUACCCAAUUAUUCGCAUAAUUAAGAAUUAUCUCAAAUUACUUAAAAUACUAUUCACUUUUAAUACACUUUAUACACCUCACUAUCAUGGUCAUGUGGUACCUUGUAUGGCACUAGUCCAUAAAUACCGGAUAUUAUAGCUUGGACCGUAUUUUAUCCCAAAUUGUCAAAUUUCGACGAAACUUAUUUUUUUGAUUCGCUUACCCUGUCACCUUCACGAAUUUAGUUAUCACUUGUUGAAAUAGUGUAAUACUUAUAAUAUUAAAAUAAUCUCAUUCCCGAGCUUUCAUCAAUUUACUUAUGGCGUAUUUUUACGUAUGAAAACAUGGGGUGUAACAAUUAGCAGGAAAAACAAGGCAAGAGAUAUGUCGAAUAUUGAUAGGAGUAUCAACUGUAAAGCUAUGGAGCACGUUAACAGACAUGGAAACAACACAUAACCUCAUAACCAUUUCUACGAAAGGAACAAUAAUCAUGAAAUACGCACAAGGAUCCUAACCAAACAUCACCAACAAAUACCGUUGCGGCAUGCAACCCGAUCCCAAUCUCAAAUAAUAUUAUUGCAGCGUGCAACCCGAUCCCAACAUCAAUAAAUAUUGUUACGGCGUACAACCCGAUCCCAAAUAUCAAUAAAUACUGUUGCGGCGUGCAACCCGAUCCCAAUAUCAAUAAACACUGUUGCGUCAUGCAACCCGAUCCUAAUAUGAAUAAACACUAUUGCGGUGUGCAACCCGAUCCCAAUAUCAAUAAUACCACAUAAAACUGCAACAACAACCAAACACGGGAAAAGUUCAUAACGUAACACUAAGAAAACAACCACGCGGUAUUCAACUAGGUAAUACAACUCAAACAGAGUAGAAUAAGCAAUCCAAUAUCAAAAAAUAGUCUAUCAUAUAUAAUGACAAGGCUUCCACAAAGCAUAACACACAACCAAUCUAAAAGUCUCCCAAUUUGGUUAAGAAAAGGAGAGUAGAAGAUGAAACGAGUAAAGAUGUUCAACAAGAAAGAACAUGGAUCAAAUGAAGGCAUUCAAUAUAUGAAAUCAUUUAGCAAGUAUAAGCAUGUAGAAAGUAAGGCAUUUAAUCAGUGAAGGCAUAUGGUAAGUAAAAACAUAUAGUAAGUGAAGACAUAUAGUAAGUGAAACCAUGUAGUGAGUGAAGACAUGUAGCAGGUUAAGGCAUUUAACAAGUAAAUCACGUGGCAAUUAGAGGCAUGUAACAGGUAUGGGCUAAUAACAAGUAAAGACAUGAAUUCGAAGAGGAGAUGUAAUAUAAGUAAAUCAAGUAAAAGCACAGGUGUAAUAGGAACCGACAAGGUAAAGACAUAGCUAUAACAGUAACAUGCCAAAGGGAAAACGCAGAGGUAACUACAAAAGGAACUCAAACGGAAGGUAUCAUUCAAAACAACAAACACUAAUCAAAACCAAAGUAAAGGGCAUAUACGUACUUAACGAAUGGGUAAUCGUAAAAAAAAUCCAACUUCCUUCCUUUUCGAACGGUAAUAACCAACGAACCAAUCUCAUUUCAAACAGCACGGAAAUACUCAUCGUGCUAAUAUCAUAUCAACCGCACGGAAGUAUCCAUCAUGCCAAACCUAGCCCGAAGGCCCAAUCACCAUCUCUUAUUACGAAUAAAGAAGCUCAAGUAACAUUACAAUAACAUGUAUAGAUAUAGGUUCGUGUUACCAUGAUCAAGUUAGGUAUGCAAGAUCUCAAAACCACACAUUAAAUCCUUUUUUAAGAUGUCAAGUUUUUUCUUGCAUGAUUCCUAACACAGUUAAUUGAGUUUAUUAGUCAUCGAAUUAAAUGAGGCAUAGAUUAAGUAAUAAUCAAGUUCAACAAAGGCACAAAGAACCAUAUAAUUCCCCUUCUCGAGCAUGAAAACCCUGGAACAUGUAUAUACGCUCGUCACCUCGUAUAUGCAUCACCCCCGCAUGUAGCAAACAAUAUCAAUUAGUAGGAAACAUUUUCCCAACAAAGCUAGGCAAGAUACUUACCUCAUUCUACAACAAAUCAAUAUUGUACCAUGGAUUUUCCUUUAGAACAAGCCUCCAAAUCUAGCCAAAUAUCGAUUAAAGAAUUCAAAAUAAGCUUUAGAAACUAUCCACGAACGAAAAAGGUUCAAUCCUUAGCUAAAUUGAAAAUAAGUCAACAAAAGUCAACCCUGAGCCCGGUUAUGUGAUUUGUUUUGAAAUUCGACCUCAAUUUGAGGUCUAAAUCUCAAUUUUAUAAUAUUCCAAAAUUCUACCCAAAAACCCUAUUUUCUACCAUGACAUUCCUAGAUUUGAUUUUAAAAACUCAUGAAAAGUAAUGGGGGAAUUGAUAGAAAAUGAAUUAGAGUUGCUUAUCAAUGAAUUUGGGAAGAAACAGUUCUUCAAAAAUCUCCUCUAGAGUGUUUGGGGUUGAGAAAUGGUGUAAAAUGAGCUAAGUCCCGACUUUCCCCUCUUUUACCCAGUUGCAGGUGUUGCAUUUGCGAACACUUGUUCACAAAUCUGAUGCUCGCAAAUGCAAUCAGUGCCUCAGGUCCCCAGAAGUGGCAAAAGUGACAAAAGUCUAACAAAUGCGGGGAGUCCCCUCAUCGCAUUUGCGAAGCUGCCAGCCCCCAGUACCUAAUCGCAAAAGAGACCAACGGUCGCAAAUGUGACCACCCACUAUCCGCAAAUGCGAUAAUUUUCUUCGCAAAUGCGAAGACCCAGUCCCCAGCCCAUGCUCGCAAAUGCGAUCUCUUGACCGCAAAUACGAGACUCACAAAUGUGAGUCGGACCUCGUAAAUGAGAGAUCUACAUCUGAACACCAACAACUGGAAUGCACUAGCAAUUCCAAACUCUUUCGAAACACUUCCAAAACUCAUUUGAGCCCCUCAGGCUCCAAGCUGAACAUGCACACAAGUAUAAUAACAUCCUACAAACUUUCUCGCUACCUAGAAUCAUCAAAAUAACAUCAAAUAACACGAAUCGAUUAUCAAAAAUCAAGAAUUUUCAACUUAAACUCAAUUUCAAAUUUCUCACAUAAUACACCGAAACGCGUUCGGGUCACCCCGGACCCCAACCACCCGUGCUUACAAGUCCAAAAAUAUCAUGUGAAACUACCAGAAUUGUCAAAAUACUGAUCCGAGGUCAUUUACCAAGAAUGUUGACCGUAAUCAACUCUAGCCUUAAUUUAAGUCAAAAAUCAUAUUUUCUUCAACAUUUUCGGUAAAAACUUUCCGAAAAAUGACAUGAACCACGCACUCAAAUUAAGAAACAACAAAUAGAGCUAGAAAAAUUUUUGGAACACAGAAAGGAAUGCUAGUACCCAAAACGAUCGGUCGGUCGUUACAUCCUCCCCCACUUAAACAUACGUUCGUCCUCGAACGUGCUACUAGUCGCACCCAAGCCAUCAAUUAGCUGAAUGAACUCAUCAUACCCAUACCCAUGAGUGAUCUCGUGCUACCUCGGUCCACAUAAGUCCAUGAACAUGAGCCCGACUGAAGAUUCUUCCUUUGACCUUAGCCCCAUCGGGUGUGGAACCAAAUUCCAACAUCCGGAACCUCCUUUGAGACCCGAUUUUUGUAUGUACACACUAUAUCAAUCUCAACAAGCUGCAUCAAGCCAUCAAUAUAUUUCCACGGUCAACCACACAAUGUGCCACAUAACUCAUGUACUCAAAGCAUUAAUCUUCCAACCACAAUAGCUACUCAUUACCAAACUCGGUACCAGUAAUAUACCUUAUAUCAAAUGAAAACUCAUUAUGGGCCUUCACAACGCUGCUAAUGAUAAGAGUAACAUGCAGAAACUCGUAACCACCCAUGAAAUCAACAAGUCGAGGAGCUCCCUUAUCCGACAAGGACCAUUGCCAAAUUCUGAGCGGAAAUAUGGUAUUAUUCUUUCAAAUAUUCCUUAUCCCCAACACGAUAGUGAGAUUCAUAGGUCCAAAAACCUCAUCUCACCCAAUACAAAUAGCCCAACUGACAAGCCACACCAAGGGCCAGGUGUGGUCCGUACACCAAAAGGGCAAUAACUCAGAUAUAUCUAAAAAUGGAAAUGAAAUAAGGGACGAGGACUAUCCAACAAGUAAAACUGAUAUAACAAAAAAGCAUAAUUUUUAUGAACUCAUCCCAUAAAGGGAAAACAAAACACAUGAAAUAAACACAAUGAAGGGUAUCUCACAUAACUCUGUUGUGGCGUGCAACCCGAUUCAAAAUAUAUCAAUCCACAUAGGGAUACCCAUCGAGCCAUAGUGCUCAUGCCCACUAAGCACAUUUGCAUCAACAUCAAACACAAUAUAGUGCACAAAUAUAACUGUGGGGAGGUGGAUAGAAAUAACACAAUACAUAAAAGAGGCAAGCACAACUAGGGUGAAAUAAGCAAAUCAACAUCAAAAGGGACAUUUUGCUCCUAUAUCUCCAUAAGGCCUAAACAGGAUCACAUCAUGCGUGCGAAUAAUCAGGUAGUCUCACAACCCGUCAUAGCAUAAGAGAGAAACACAUAACAUAAACCAUGAUAUGUUCAAAAUCUAGUCCGCCCGAUGAUAUACCUACGGUAGCAAUUACUUAAGGGUAAGCAAACCCGAUCUGAUACAGCAUGCACACUCUCAUUAGGGCUACAAAUAGCUCCCAAACCAAUUUCGAUCGUUCUUAAACAGGUAUAUAACCUUACAAAAGUCCACACCAUCCUAUCCAUAACACAUACCCUCUACUAUCCAAUUCUUAACAUAUCUUCACAGCCCGUAACCAAGGAAUAGUCUGCCUACGAGAACAUCUAGUCUCUAAACCUCAAGACUAAUGGAAUCUCCAUAUCCGAUCCCAACUCCACUACUCAAAGAGCUAAUACAUCACUCGUGCACAAUAAUCUCAUGGAAGAUACCCACAUAAAUCUUCUGUGCCACGUAGCAAAAACCGAAACUCAACAGCCCAAAACCCGGCGAUCGUCGUAACACUAGUCAAGCAUCCGCAAGUCAAAAUACAAUGCGCCUCCUAAAACUCACUCCUCUCAGGCGACAUCAAAUGGCACCAACAUUCUCUUAAAUGUCUGAAUUCAUCUGUGCCAUCAAGAACUCAUGACCUUCCCUUCAAAACUAUGCCGCAAACCUUGAGCUCGUAACUUUAAAUCCCACAUGGUGCACUACAUCCAUCACGCUAUCUCAUGAAAAUAUGAAAAUCUCAUAAUUAACUUUGAAUCACAAGCAGGAUGAACACCUUAUAAACCAAGAACCUUCCACUUAACUCAAUCCGGAAGGACAUCACCACACGCAACACACUUUCUAUACCUGCAGAAAACAUCAACUCCGAAUCAUGGCCAUAACCAUCAUGAAUUCUUCGAAACCCGUUAACGCAUAAUCAAGUCAUCAGAACUGAUCCCUCUAACUCAAUAGAGUCAUGUAGACUACCAAAACCAAAAGUAACUCAAUCUGAAAUGCUCGUUCUAAAUGGACCUUUUGCGAAUUCGAAGUCGUUUCUUGCAUCUCUCUAAUACUACCAUGCUGAGUCCAUAUUGAUAUAGAAGUAUAGAAAAUCUAGACGUCAUCCACUACCAAUCUCGAGCUCUAACCAUAUAAAAAUUUGAAAAUCCUCAAAUGCCACAUAUGAAUCUUGAGCUCAUCAGAACCUUUUACGUAGUCAUCCACCUUGCUCUAAUCUCCACUACACAGCCAAUACGUAUCGAAUAACUCACACUUCGUCAGCACCUGAAUAACUAGAAGAAGCAACCAAGUGAUUUCUUUCCCUUGCACACCAUAUCCACAAUGAGUAUCAAACCUAAAUCAUUCGCAAGACCUCUAUAUACCUGUAAAGAAUAUUACAUCAUGCAUCCACCGAUUCCUUGCUCGAAAUAAUCCUCGAGGAAACCUUUCCCAAAUCAUAGCCAAUCCAAAAGCACAUCCUAGUCCAAGAACUAUUAUAACGCAUGACCAUGCAGUCCGAUCAUCGAUAGAAGACUCCCCCACUUAGCUCGAAUCCAUAUAACACAUCAUCGGCAAUCCACAGUAACAUUCCUUCAUAACUGCCCCGGCCUCGCACUAUUAAUAAACUAAAUACUUCAUAAACUCACAUAACACCAGUCAUCAAACACUCCAAAGACUCUCCCGAGUGCAUAAGCAUCCUUGUGAUUGUCAAGCCGAUUUCCUCAAAUGCUCCAAAAUUAUAAUAUAUGCAUUCCACUGAAUUAGAAACAUAAUACGAAACACACGACCUCAAAUCUUCAGGAAGGAGAUAACCCACCGGCUAGACUCAAAUAAACAACUCCCCAUGACCCCACCAUGUUCACAACAACUAGGUAACCGACUAAUACUCUCGAGUCUCCGAUCGUCGACAAGAUAUAAGAAUCUGCUUCAUCCCAUAAAUGAACAACGGGAAGAUCUACAAAUACAUCAACAUCAAAGCCUUGACAAUACAUCGCGAUGGUAAUCAAGCAUUCACAGCCCUUCGCAGCCCAUCCGUAACAUCACAAGUCAUUGGUGCAUAACGAGACUUGGUGCAUAACGAGACUUGGUGCUCAACAACGCAUAUGGACGAAUAGGAAGAAUCAAAGUCGUAGGUUUCAAGCUGAAAUAAGGCCUCACGAUAAGGAAAGAAAUAAGUGAAGUUUCCUAAAUGCCAUGUAGCCUCUCGAAGAUAGGUAUGGAAAUUAUCAUACCAAUCCACAAGACUCUACUAGAAAUUUUCUCAUGACUCGUAGAACCUACACACCUAGUGCUCUAAUACCAACUUGUCACGACCCAAAAACUACUUAGUUGUGAUGGCACCUAACCUUAAUGUAAGGUAAACCAGACAUAAAACAAGGUAACUUAAAUGAUAGAUUAUUAUUAACAAGGAAUAAAAAUGACUGAAUUCUAUACAACCUCCCAAGGACUGGUAGUACUAGUCAUAAGACACUAUGAUAUAGAUUUACAAAAACUGAAAUGAAGUAUAAGUACAAUAUCUGUUUGAAAUUUAUAUAACCAAAAUUGAAGUCCUAAACUACCAUGAACAAGAGGUAGCUUGAAUAUUGAACGUUGGAACGUCUUCGGUGCAAGGAUCAAUUUUCCACAACUAGGCAGCUCCAAGAUCUGCACACAAGGUGCAGAAGUAUAGUAUAAGUACAACCGACCAUCAUAACCUCAUAACCAUUUCUACACAGAGAACAAUAAUCAUGAAAUAUGCACAAUUGUCGCUCCCCAUUUUCUCACGAAAGCGAGUUCCGACGUGUAGCAACUCUUUUGAAUGGGUAUUAAGAGGAAAAGGUUGACAUCUAAUGAUUUUAGGGUGCAUUAGGAUACCUAUUUUGCAAAUAACACUAUUUUAACUAGUUAGUGUCACCAAUGAUUGGGUAAGGGCUCAAAUAACCUCAAAGAGAAGGUGUUAGGCACUCUUCGAGGUCCACAACUGUGGUUCCUGGCCAAAAUUAACGCUAUGUGGGAUUAUUAGAUUAUAAUUAUCCUAUGUGAUCAUAUAAAUUAAAGGAAGAUAGGGAAUUUAAAUAUUUGACUACGAUAUAAAACAAGUGUAAAGAAGAUUACACAUAUGAAGGAAUUAGUCUAUAUAUUAAUAGAUGAUUAGUACAAGACUUUGGAGAUUACAAGGUACAACCUAAUUUACAAGGUACAACCUAAUUUCUUCUAAGUCCGAAGAAAUAAAUGUGCGAGUAAUAGACAUAUGGGGGUCCUAAGUUUUUUAGCCUAAAGGAUCACCCUGCGCAACAUAAAUAAUACUUCGUAAGUCCCUUAAGUUAGGGGUUGCUGAUAUUAUUCAGCGGGCACAAACUAUCAUCUCCUGCUAUCGAAUUAUUAUGUUAAAGUUGUUUACCUAAAGUGCUCUAGUUUAAUUCUAAAAUGUGUCCUAUGUGUGCAUUACACGUCCCAUGCCUAUGGUCCAGGAGGCUUUGGACCUACUAUUUAGGUGGUUCUAGACUUUACUUAGGGUACUUAAAUUAAUAAAACUAGGUGCAUAUCACAACAAAUAGGAUACUGCACAUGAUAGCAAUGAAUGGCUCAAGUUAGCCUCCACACAUAGUAGCAAAAGCACGCAAACAGAUUUCACAUUACGCAGCAAGGUGUCAUAGACAGUUUUUAAAAUUGAGACGCAUUAAAGUCGUUUUAAUCCUAUAGUCAUGGUGUAAUAAAAUCUCAUAGGCAGUAUUACUAGUCAGGUUAUCGAAGUUGCAGAUUAUAAUCGUUAUAAGAACCCUAUAGACAUGAUCAAUUAAGGCCCUAUAGACAUGGUAUCUAGAUGAGCAGGUCUUAAUUACUUAAUGCGAUCCUAUAGGCAUGUCAUCUAUCAAUCACACAACAAUAGCACAAGUUGAGUAAACAAUCAAUGAUGUUUGAAUCCUAUAGGCAUGCUAUCUAAUACUAUAUAGAAGUGAAGCAUGUGAACAAGUGAAACACUUAGAUUCUUAUAAGAAUGUUUCUGAUAGUGUCCGGGCAUUGAGCAGGUGAAGUGUUUAAGUUGCUAUAGGCAUACUUUCUAUUAGCGUAUGGAAGUAGAGCAUGUCAAUCAAGGUAGCAAAUAAAGCAAUUAAACCCAAUCGGCAUGUUUUCUGCCCAUUCAUGCGAGAAUUAAAGUUCCCCCAGUCCCCUUUUUCACAAAUUUCCCCAUCAUUUAGUUUUACAAGUUAUUACAGACCACAUUGAAUAAUUACAAGCUCAAUUACAAAUUUAGAAUAACCCAAUAACACAUUUGGGCCUUCAAAUAGGCUUAGAACUUCACGCAGACAGGGGGCCCAAACUCCUGGUGCGGACAGUGUACUUCAAAACACCAAUACCAAAAGCAGGCCCAAACGAUUGAGGUAAAUAAUCUAAUGGAUGCCAAAUUUAGCCAUACAGGUAACAAACUACUCACAGAAUUAAUUAAACAACUUAAACACUUAGUUCUUACAACUGAAACUAGAUGCAGCUCUAGCCAAGGCAUAUAAAUAGGAUCAUGCUAAAUUAAAAGGCAUCAAAGACACAUAUGGGUAAUUUUAUUAUAAGGCCCCGUAAAUAUUUCACCUAAAACCCGGGGUUUCGUAAUGGAGGGGUAGACUUAUGUGUUGUUGAUUGUAGAACAGUGUGUUGGGGAGUUGAAGAAAUUUUUUAGAAAAAUAAGGCAUUUCUGCGGUCCAUUCAACUGUCGCAGAACUGGUCUGCGGACCGCAUAUCGGCCGCAGACUGAAUCAGAGAACAAGGCAAAAAUUUUGGACCAUUAUGCGGUCCAUUAUAUGGCCGCAUAAUUAUUUUGCAGGCCGCAUAACCCAUCGCAAAUCCAGCAUGAAAAAUUUUCGGAGGGAUGUUCUGCGGCUCAUUAUGCGACCGCAGCUGGUCGGAGAGUGGGGUAGAAUUGCCUAGUUCUGGAGGGCCAUUAUACGGCCUAUUUUGCGGAUCGCAGAAGUAUUAUGCGACCGCAGAUCUGUGAUGGGGCUUCAUUUUUCUAAUUUUAUAACCUGACCCCCAUUUCGUUUAUCUAGCCUAAGUGUUCAUUUUUGGAGGAUCACUUGUCAUUUUAGAGAGAGGAGAGAAUUAUUCUAGAGAGAGGAAAUGGAGGGUUAAGGAUUUCACUACUCCACCUUGAUCGAACCUUGGGAUUUCAUCGAAAGGAACUUGCUAGGGUUUCAAAGAGGUAAGAAUUUCUUUCCCCAAUUCUUCAAUUUCGGGUUUGGGGUUGAUUAUGGGUGAUAAGGGUAGAUUUAUCACAUGCAAGAUCUAAUAGGGCUUAUGGGGAAGUUGUUGAACAAUCUUGGAUGGUUUUGUUGUUGAAUUGGUUGAGGGAAAGGUUGGGUCAUAGUUGUAACAGCCCUUGUCAUACGGAUUUCUCUAAUUGUGCUUGUAAUUCUCCCCUCCUCUAUACAUUGGCAUCGUUAAGAGUGUUGGGACAUUAUAUGUUGCAUUACCAAAAGCUCUUUCGAGGCAUGUUGGCUAAACUCUUCUCUUAGAAUUGAACCCCACAAUACCCUUGUAAGUCCCGUGAUGCUUAUUAUAAAUUGAAUUCUUCCAAAUAAGCCUUGUGUCAAAAUAAAUAUGCGUUCAAUAUGUAUUCCAAAUAUUCUUGUUAUGUUGAGUUACCAUUUGAGAAUGUGGUUUAAGCAUGGGAUGUGUGUUAUUGUGUUAUGAUUUAAAAAUGUGUUUCUAACGAAAGUUACCAUGUCAAAUUGUGUAAGAGAAAUCACCUGUGCCUAAGACCCUAAAUUGCUCAAGUAUGUGUUCAAGUCUUAAUUUGGAAGGCCUUGUUGUUGAUUAUCCAUGAUGAUAUUUGAAAGUGAAAUAGUGAGCAUGAAAUAAGAUGUGCGGCCAACAUGCCAAAAAGAUAUUGCAUCAUGGCCAUUGGUGCCAGCGAAACGAAUGAUAUACAAAAUAUUACGAAAUAAGUGGUAAAUCCUUUUAAUAGUAAAUUUCUUGGGAGUAUCGAUUAGCCACCGAGGAAGGAUAGGUCGAAAUAACCUAACCCCGAAACUACACGUGCCGGUGUAAGAGUGAUUGAGGGGUAAAUCCCUGUGACAAUGUGAUAAGGUUGUUUCCCCUUAUAUGAGAUGAGAUUGAUGUGUUGAGAUGUUUCCCCUUAAAUGGGAUGAGAUUAUUGCUAGCGAGAUAUGAUGUGAUGUGGACCCACACGGCAUUGUGGCGAGACAGCUUAUGUCACACCCCAUCCUCGGGAAGCGUGAUUGGCGCUCAACCGAGUGAACCCGGCCGAGCAAGCCUGUUAGAUAUUGUCUACCCAAUUAACCUAUGAUCAAGAAACGACGUGAUUAUAUUAGUUAUACAGUAGGAAUCUCAUUCAUACAAUCCUAAAUCAUUUCAUUAGUCAUUGCGCCUUUAAGUCUCAAAAUACACAUUUCUUAAAGUUCAAGUGGAACGAGUGAUCAAACACAGCAUGACUUGUUUAACAUUCCCAACACUCACAUACGACCCACAUAGUGUCUACGGAGUCUCUAAAGAUACAAAAGAGAGUAAAGAUGAUGCCGGCAACAAGGCCCCGGCUAUACCUCAAAAAGUGACCAUAAUAUAAACAAAAGGUACAAUACAUGACCCCGGAAUGAAAUGGGGCUCACCAAGUCCGCUGAGAAGAGGAUGCAGCACUAUCUGCGAUCCGCAUUGUCUGCUAUGUAACCACCUGCAUCCAUUUAAAGAUGCAGCGCCCCGGGCAAAAGGGAUGUUAGUACCGUCGAAUAACACUAGUAUGUAUAGCUAAACACCAACUCAAUAGAAUGAAUAAUAACACAAGAGGAAUAGUCAAGAAUUCAAUAAGGGCUUCAAAUAAUAGUAAAACAACAAGUUAAGGAUCAUAUACAUUUUUAAGACAAUUUCCGUAUUAGUAGGUUGGGUGACCUUUAGUACCGAUAUUCCACAAUUCACAAUACCUCCGUACUCUUACACGGAGUCCGAUCUCGGCCGGAUCGGCUAGGCCGCCUCAUCUGAGACAUUACCACAAUUUCGUUAUAACUUUCCAGUACAGUACCACCAUGUGUGCGGCAUAGCAUCCGAUCACGGCCCGAUCGGCUAGGCCAUCUCAUUUGAGACAUUACCACAAUUUCAUUCACAAUACCACUGUGUUCUUACACAGAGUCCGAUCUUAUCCCGAUCUACUAGUCCAUCUCAUUUGAGACAUUACCUUUUUCAGUCAAUAAUCUCACAUCGUACUUCUUUCAUGUACUUUCGAUUCAUUGACACUAGUGAUUACGAUUACAAAUUCAUUCUUGUCACUUGGCCGUAUUUCAUAGUUCCAUACCCAUUUUCCACACUCAAUAUCAUUAUCAAAAUCAAUAAGGCUCCCCAUUCAAGACAGUAAAUUCACAUAUGAGCAAUUUGGGAAUAUUAGGCACAUAAAGGCUUUUCAUACAAUUUGGUAUAACAACUUUUAUUUCAAUCUUGACAUGAAGUAUUAACAUUCCUAACACAUAUUCCACAUUUUGAACAUAUUCUCAAAUGGCAAGAUGACAUGAUGAAGAAUUUAGCAUAAACAUUGAACAAACAUCCUUCUACACAACCACAUUAGGAAAAGCCAAUUCGAUAAUGAUCAAGAACUUACUCCGAUUACAUGAACACUGUGGGAUUCAAUUCUAAGAAGAAGGGGGUUUAGCCAACAUACCUCAAUUGAGCCUCUUAAAACUCUAAGAUGUUCCGGACUAUUAGCAACUUCAAUCUAUUUUAGUAAUAUAACAAAAUUGAACCAAAAUUAGGAAGAUGAACAUGAUUUUAGCUCAUUUUAGCAUACUAUCAAACACUAAGUAUGCAUCAAUGUUUUAAGGCUAUUUUGUGGAAGAUUCCAUCAUUUCCCAACCCACUCUAUACCAUUAUUAGCUCACAAUCUUCCCACAUACUAUAAGGAUACAUGCAUGCAAGNNNNNNNNNNNNNNNNNNNNNNNNNNNNNNNNNNNNNNNNNNNNNNNNNNNNNNNNNNNNNNNNNNNNNNNNNNNNNNNNNNNNNNNNNNNNNNNNNNNNNNNNNNNNNNNNNNNNNNNNNNNNNNNNNNNNNNNNNNNNNNNNNNNNNNNNNNNNNNNNNNNNNNNNNNNNNNNNNNNNNNNNNNNNNNNNNNNNNNNNNNNNNNNNNNNNNNNNNNNNNNNNNNNNNNNNNNNNNNNNNNNNNNNNNNNNNNNNNNNNNNNNNNNNNNNNNNNNNNNNNNNNNNNNNNNNNNNNNNNNNNNNNNNNNNNNNNNNNNNNNNNNNNNNNNNNNNNNNNNNNNNNNNNNNNNNNNNNNNCUAGGUUCCUCUCUUAAUAAUCUUCAAGAUUUAAGUGAGAAUUGAAGAACAAUUUGAUGAAGAUCACUUCUCCCUCUAGGACCUUCUCUCUCACUCUAAAUAUAUCAGAAAAUAUGCUCAAAAUGGUCCAUAGGGUAUGUUUUAACGAAAUAGGGUCGGGUUUAAAAACCCCAAAAAUGAAGCUCCGGAACAAGGUCUGCGAUCGAAUAAACGAUAUGCAGACCGCAUAUCGAUCGCAUAAUCGGUGACCAAACAGCCAAAAAACCUGUCCGUGUCUGCGGUCACUAUACGGCUUGCAGACCUAUUCUGCGGUCGCAUAAUGAACCGCAGAAUAGUUAUGCGGUCGCAUAGUUGACCGCAAAAUCUCAUCCAAACUGGCCCAAUAACUUCCUCGCUCUGCGGCCAUUAUGCAGUCCGCAGAGUGAUUCUGCGAUCGCAUAAUCAACCGCAGAAACGCAUAACACUGCCAAACAUUUUCCUUUACUUUUUGAUACAUUGUUCAACCCAAAAGUCCAAACCGCGGCGAGCUUGUAAAACCAAUUCGGCACCACGAAACAUUAUUAUCAUUAAAAAAAAUUUCCUUUGCAAAAUUUUACGGGGCCUUACAGCUUAGCUGAUCAGGCUGGGAUCGGACGCCAUGCCGCGCACAUGUUGGUAUUGUAAGUGUAUGUCUCGGGGUGAGACGGCUUAUCCGGUCGGGCUAAGAUCGGAAUCCGUGCUAAAACACGGUGGUAUAUCAGUGCUAAAGAUCUCCCAACUUAAAUUACUGAAAUUUACUUUUCCCUAACUUGACACCUUGUUACCAUUUGAUCCUAUCAUUGAUUUCUUGUUUCCUUCUCUGUUUACUGUUAUUCGUUCUAUUGAGAGGGUGCUUAGUUUUACAUACUAGUAUUAUUCCAUAUGUACUAACGUCCCUUUUUGCCGGGGGCGCUGCAUUUUUAAUGGAUUCAGGCGGUUCCAUAGCAGGGGGUAUUGACCAGUGAUAGCAGCACACCCUCUCCUCAGCUGACUUGGUGAGCCCCACUUCAUUUCAGGGUCCUAUAUCUCUUAUCCUUUGUAUAUAGCAUUGAGGUAUAGUCGGGGCCUUGUUGCCGGCACUGUCAUAGCACUUUUGAAUCACUAAAGGGAGAAAUCGAAUUCCAAAUCUUAAUGAGGGUUCAAUGUUUGAAAAUUAGUCUACUGGUGUAAGAAAUCAACAUUUUUUCCGUGUACAUGGACGGGAUAUUGUCCAGUUCUUGGAGAUUAAGAUGAACGGGCCCAAUUCUGAGAGAUGGUACUUGCCAAGUUUAGGCAAGUACUAAGUAACACCAUUGUUGUGUAGAUAAUGACGCGGUAACACAAAUAAGGAAGGUGAAUCACAAGAAGAUUCCAUUGUCUAGCCGAAAUUGGAGAAGGAUUAGAGAUGAGGCGGCUAGGGUUUCUCAGGGGAGAAGAAGGGUUGACAGUGUUUGAGGCAGAAGAAACGGGAAAUGUCUCUAGGGUUUAGUGGGGAAGGAUAUAAGGAGAAGGGUAGGGUUGUUGGGGGCCGUUGAUCAUUUAAGAUCUAAGGCCAGGAUCGAAGGGGAAGCGGGGCGGGUUAUUAACGGGUUGCGACUGGGUUAAGUUAAAGGGGUCGUUUGGUUUGGGUUGCUGAAAGGUAAAAUGAGAUGGGCCAGGUCUUUGGGCCUGAUAUUUGUUCCGGAACUAGCUCAAAAUUGGGCUAUAAUACACGAAAUUCAUAAAAAAUGAAUUAUAAAAAUUAUUAUAAAUAAUAAAAAUAUUAUUUAUUCAUUAAAAUUCUUGAAAAUAAUAGCUUCACAUUAUAAAAAUUAUCAAAUGUUAUUUUAGCAUAAAUAAUAUAAUAAACGCAAUUAUUUAUUGAAUAUAGACUAUUAUUGUAACUUGUGUAGAUAAAAUAGAGAAAAAUACAAAUAUAAUUAUGUAAAAAUUAGAUGUAAUAUUAUAAAAUAAAUGUGGGUAUAAAAUUCUAAAUUUGGAUGAUUAAAUCACCCUAAAAUUAAUUUAAUGGGAUAAUUAAUAAAUAUUUGAACAAAUUAAAUGCAACAAAAUUAAUUUUAAAGAUUUAAAAAUUAUAGAAAAUUAUUGAAAGUACUUAUAUGACCCUUGUAAAUUGGGUAAUAAUGCAAAAUGAUAUUUUGAAAGUAUAUAGAAUACUUUAUAAAAUAUAAGGGCAAAAUUUGGUAUCAACAGUUGCCCCUCUUUAGCCGAGAAUGAUGAAAGAGUUGCCGGGUAAAGAAAAUAAUGACCAAUUUUGUCCGAAUGAGCAAGUAUGAGUUGUUUUUUUAAAAUGGGGGUUGAACCUUGGUUCCUGAGUUCUCUACAUAUCCCUAGUGUUACGGAAAUCAGGCCGUGUGUAGUUCUGGAUCCAACGGUGAACGAAACCGAUGGAGUUGUCAUAAAGAUGGUCAUACGUUUCGAGGAAGGAUCUUUUGGAUAGGAUAGUGUCAUGAGUAACGGAUAAUUUUAGGUAGAGCUAUGAAUGCAAAUUUGAACAUUACGGAUAUUCGAGAUAAAUGUUUGGGUGGUUACGGGAUGGAAACAAUCAUUGCCGGUUGUUGGUUACAUUUGACGUGAUCAAGGGAUAUGAAUGUUGUGAACGAAAAUCGGAGCGAGAAUUGCUCCUAUUUGUAGGAAGGUUACCUCCCGAGUUACAUGCAAAGCUUAAAACAUGAUGCAAAUAUAUAUAGUUAUUGUGGAAAUUUAAAAAUGAAGCAGAUUCCCUUUGGACCAUGAGAGUUGUCUUCGGACGAUGAGGAUGAUAUCCUUAGACCAUGACGUCCUGGGCCAUGAAGCGUAUGAUAAGGGAUUCGCAGGCCAUGAAAUGGUGUCCUCGGGCCAUGAGUAUGGUGCCUAUGGAUGAUGAUGCCUUUGAAUAAUGAUAUGAGGUUUCGAGAGAUCCUCAGGCCAUGGCAUGAUGUCCUCAGGCUAUACGGAUGAUGCCUUCAGACUAUGAUGCCUUCGGACGAUGUGGUAAUAUUUCAGCCCAUUCGAUGCAUGGAUGCAUUGAUAUUGAUUGCUUGAUAGAAGGAACAGGUGAUGCUUUAGACAUAUGCGAGAAUGAGACAAGGCAGUGUUUAGUCCUAUGCAGUGAUGAAAGCAGUGCUUAGCCCUUAUGCCAUAAUGGAGACAAUAGUUAGUCUCAUGUAAAGGAAGGCAGUGAUUAGCCUUGUGCAAUAAUGGAGGAAGUGCUUAGCCUCAUGCAAUGUAAUGGAGACAGUGCUUAGUCUCAUGCAAAGGAAGGUAGUGUUUAGCCUUAUGCAGUAAUUGGGGCAGUGCUUAGCCUCAUGCAAUGUAAAGGAGACAAUGUUUAGUCUCAUGUAGAGAAAGGCAGCAUUUAGCCUUAUGCAGUGAUGGAGGCAAUGCUUAGCCUCAUGCAAUGUAAUGGAGACAAUGUUUAGUCUCAUGCAGAGAAUGACAUCGUUUAGCCUUAUGCAGUAAUGGAGGCAGUGCUUAGCCUCAUAAGGGCAGUGCUUAGCCCUAUGCAAUGAUGAGGGCAGUGCUUGUCCCUAUGCAAUGAUAAGAGCAGUGCUUAGACUUAUGCAUUGAAAUGAGGGCAGUGCUUAGCCCUAUGCAUUGUAAUGAGGGCAGUGCUUAACCCUAUGCAGGAAGAGCAAUGAUUAAAUAUAAGAGAGAAAAGUAGUCCUUAGCUUGAUGUGUUUGUGCUUGGCGAAUCCCGUCGGUGUGAGGAUAGUGGUCUUGCCGUAUAUAUGUUUGUUGUGGACGUGCUUGUUAUGUCCAUUAUGCUUGCAUCCAAAGAGAGAUUGUGAGUUUGGGGGAAAGGUUAUUUCGUGUUCUUGAUUACUCAUUUUGCCUUUGCUCCGGUCUUGACACCUGUUCGAGUCACCCUGUGUAACCUCUGGCUACUACAGAAAAUGUGGUUUUUCGAAAAUAUGCAUUUAUGGUAAAUCAUUUAUAAGUAAUGCCAUUGCUUUAAAAAAUACUUAACAAAAGUAAAUAGUUUGGUCGAAUCAUAGAUUGUGACAUGCUUUGAGACAUUGCGACCUUCUUAACUCAGAAUUUUGAGGACCUCCUCAAAAUUCUACCCUAGUUUAAUGUAUACUUCUGGUGAUACAUUACUUGGCGAUCCUUAACGUAAUGAGACUGACGAAAACUCAAAAUCUUGCUCUGUUUCUUGACCGUAGAGGGGAAUGAAGAUUUUAUUAUGAUGUGACCGAACCCAUAGGGCUGCCUACAUAUCCCCUCUUAAGCGGGAAUCAGGUCAAGCGUGGUUUAUGUUACAUCAAAAGAAAGUGCAAAUACAAUCCCAAAUGUAAUAUCUCUUGACGGCGUCCGAAUUGAUAGGUUUUGGCCAUAUUUAUCCGUCCAUCUCUGCAAGUAUGAUUGUUCCACCUGUCAGUACUCGGUGAACCGUGUAAGGGCCUUACCAGUUAGGUGAGAAUUUUCCUUUUGCCUCGUCUUGGUACGGAAAAUAUGCUUCAAUACCAAUUGCCCCGGUGUGAAUUGCCUUGGUCUAACCUUCUUAUUGAAAGCUCUUGUUAUUCUAUUCUGGUACAGUUGACCAUGACACACCGUGUUCAUCCUCUUACCGUCAAUGAGAGCCAGUUGCUCAUACCGGCUCUGUAUCCAUUCCGCAUCGCUGAGCUCGGCCUCCUGUAUGAUUCUUAGGGAAGGAAUCUCCAUCUCGGCGGGUAUAACAGCUUCAAUACCAUAAACCAGUAGAUAAGGGGUUGCCCCAGUUGAUGUGCGGACUGUGGUGUGGUAUCUUAGCGAAGCAAAUGGUAGCUUAUCAUGCCAUUGCUUGUAGUUAUCCACCAUCUUCCUUAAUAUCUUCUUGAUGUUCUUGUUGGCGGCUUCCACGGCUCUAUUUAUUUGCGGCCUAUAUGCUGUGAGUUCCAGUGCUUGAUUUUGAAUAUUUCACAAAUGGCUUUCAUAAGAUCACUGUUGAGAUUGGCAGAAUUGUCGGUAAUGAUUGACUUAAGUACUCCAAAUCAGCAAAUAAUACGAUCUCGGACGAAGUCUACUAUGACCUUCUUAGUCACAACUUUAUAGGAAGCGGCGUCAACCCACUUUGUGAAGUAAUCUAUGGCCACCAAAAUGAAUCUAUGUCCGUUGGAAGCAGGGUGUUCAAUUAGUCCGAUGACGUCCACGCCCCAGGCAGAGAAAGGCCAGGGUAAACUCGUUGCAUUAAGUUCGUUGGGUGGCACCCAUGUCAUAUCAUCAUGUACUGUCUCCAUAGUCAUCCAGUAUUACCAUUCCCUUAAUAUCUUCUUGGCUAGAACGAACCCCUUCAUGUGAGGUCUGCAGGUUCCGGUGUGUAUCUCUUCGAGUAACCUAGAUGCCUCCUUGGCAUCGACACAUCGCAGCAAUCUCAAGUCAGGAGUCCUUCAAUACAGAAUUCCUCCUCUCCGAAAGAAAUGGUUGGCCAAUCUUCGAAGCGUACGCUUCUGAGUGUGUGUAGCAUUUCCUGGUAUUCUCCUUUCUUCAAAUACUCCUUAAUGUUAUGAAACCAUGGAUUUCCAUCAAACUCUUCUUCAACAUGAGCACAAUAAGUUGGCUACUUUCGAAUCUCUAUCGGGAUAGGAUCAAUAAAAUUCUUGUUUGGAUGUUGUACCAUGGAAGUCAAGGUAGCCAGCGCAUCGGCGAACUCAUUCUGAACUCUUAGAACAUGUUUGAAUUCUACCUUUGUGAAUCUCGUGAUCAAAUCUUGCACACAGUGCAGGUAUGGCAAUAUCUUAGUAUUCUUGGUGGCCCAUUCUCCGAGUACUUGAUGUAUUAGCAUAUCUGAAUCUCCGAUUACCACCAAUUCCUGAAUAAUCAUAUUGACAGCCAACCUGAGUCCUAAGAUCAAGCAUCAUAUUCUGCCAUAUUAUUGGUACACGGGAAUCUGAGCUUGGCGGAUACUGAGUAAUGUUGACCGAUUUCUGAUACCAAAAUAGCUUUGAUACCCACUUCUUUGAAGUUUGAGGCUCCGUUGAAAAACAUCCUCCAACCAUCAUAUUCUUCGGCAAUAUCUUCCCCUAUAAAUGACACUUCCUCAUUAAGAAAAUACAUCUUCAAAGGUUUGUAUUCUCCGUCUGCGGGGUUUUCUGCCAGGUGAUCUGCCAAUGCUUGCCCUUUGACUGCCUUCUGGGUCACAUAGAUAAUUUUGAACUCACUUAGCAAUAUCUGCCCCUUUGCUAGCUUACCCGUAGGCAUGGAUUUCUGAAAGAUGUAUUUCAGCAUAUCCAUCCUCGAUAUGAGAUAUGUGGUGCAUGCGCAGAAGUAAUGUCUCAAUUUUUGGGCUAUCCAUGUUAAGGCACAACAUGUACGUUCCAACAGAGAGUAUCGUGCUUCGUAUGGUGUGAACUUCUUACUCAUAUAGUAUAUUGCUUGCUCCUUUCUUUUGGUUUCGUCAUGUUUCCCCAAUACGCAACCAAAUGAUCCAUCCAACAUGGAUAGGUACAGCAGUAAAGGUCUUUCGGGCUCCGAUAGGACCAACACGGGUGGCUUGGACAAGUACUCCUUGAUUUUAUCAAAAGCCUUUUGACACUCUUCAAUCCAACUCGUCGCAGCAUCUUUCUUCAGCAUUUUGAAGAUUGGUUCACAUAUUACCGUUGACUGCGCUAUAAAACAGCUGAUAUAAUUUAGGCGGCCUAGAAAACGCAUCACAUCCUCCUUGCUCUUCGGCGGUGGCAGGUCCUGAAUAGUUUUGAUCUUUGAUGGGUCUAACUCAAUGUCGUGGUGACUUAUGAUGAAACCCAGUAACUUUCUAGCAAGGACUCUGAAAGCACAUUUCACAGGAUUCAACUAAAGAUUGUACUUUCGUAGUCGGUCGAAAAACUUCCUUAGGUCUGCUAUGUGAUCUGAAGUUCUCUUAGAGUUGAUGAUGAUAUCAUUCACGUACACCUCUAUUUCUUUGUGUAUCAUAUCAUGGAAAAGAGUAGUCAUGGCCCUCAUGUAGGUUGCUCCAGUGUUCUUCAAACCAAAUGGAAUCAUUUUGUAGCAAUACAUUCCCCAUGGAUUGAUAAAGGCUGUCUUUUCGGCGUCCUCUUCACCCAUCCAAAUCUGGUGAUAUCUUGCGAAGCAAUCCACAAAGGAUUGGAGUUCAUGCUUUGUGUAGUUGUCGAUCAGUAUGUGUAUGUUGGGUAACGGUAAAUCAUCCUUAGGACUUGCUCUAUUCAGAUCUCGAUAAUCAACGCACACCCUGACUUUCCCAUCCUUCUUUGGAACCGGUACAAUGUUGGCUAGCCAAGUUGUGUACUUGACCACCCGAAGGACCUUGGCUUUGAUUUGCUUGGUAACCUCUUCUUUUAUCUUUAAACUCAUAUCUAGCUUGAAUUUCUUGAGCUUCUACUUUACCCGCGGACACAUAGGGUUGAUAGGUAGCUUGUGAGCCACUAUGGAUGUGCUUAACCUAGUCAUGUCAUCGUAGGACCAUGCGAAAACAUCCUCAUAUUCCUUUAGAAACCUGAUGUACUCUUCCUUCUCUGAUGGUGAUAGAAGAAUGCUAAUGCGAGUUUCCUUGACUGUUUCAGAAUUCCCUAAGUUAACCGCCUCAGUUUCUUCCAGAUAGGACUUUGGUUUAUUCUCAAAAUUAUCUACUUCUUUGAAAAUUUCCUCAGGUAUUAUAUCAUCUUCCGAAUCACUUUCCUUAUGUUAUGUUAUCUCAUUACAUGUCACAGUUGUAGGUUCAUCAGGAUAUGUAAUAAUUAUGCUGAAAAAGAAUGUAGAAAGAUAAUAAUAUGAAUAAACGAAAAAGCAAUGAUGCAUUAAUUAAAACUAUCAAACAAGUACGACUCGAUAUUUCGAGUAAUUAUUUCAAAACAAAACACUAAAAAUGUCUUAAAUACCAAAAAUAAUUUUAAAAUGAAUCAUGCUAGUUCUGCCAAGGCUACCCAGGUGCUCGGCGAGCCCGGGAUGUUGCAGCAGUCCAGUUCCUGAGAACAGCUCCUUCUCCCACUGUUUGAAUGGUAAGGUCUUCCUCCUCCUCCCCCAAGAUUGCACUGCAGUCCAUAUUUUCCUUGUCCAGAAAUAGCUUCCUCAUACCGUCCAAAACCUCAUCUUCCUUGGAUCCCCAAAUCACAUCAGUCUGGCGGAAUGUCUGGUGCACCGGUGGUAUGGGUUGUUCCAAUGGAUAGUAAACGUCACGCCAUGACAGUAUCCAAUCAUUAUAUUCUUGCACGGUGUAUUCAUAUCUGAGACCAAAGGUUGUGCCAUGAUAUUGUGGUCGUAUUGGUUCUGUGAUCCCUUGAAGCUUUGGACCAAGUCCCUUGCCCGGUUCAAACCCUAACCACAUCAGUAUGCUCUCUAUCUUGUUGCUCCACCAUCGCUCUUUCUCGAUUACGUUUAUCCGCUCAAUGCUGUGAUAUAUUUCUCCUCCCAAUUUCCUCUUAUUCUCGAUAGCUGGCACAUCUUGUUGGUGUAGAUAGGGUUACUUCCAUCUCCAUGAAUAAUCACCUCUUGAUGAUUCCACUCAAACUUCACAGCUUGGUGCAGAGUAGAAGCGAUUUCCCCAGCUGCGUGUAUCCAUGGUCAUCCCAGUAAUAAGUUAUAAGUAGCGGAUAUAUCUAGCACCUGGAAUUCACCGUCGAACCAAGUCGGGCCCAUCUAUAGAUCCAGGUUGAUCUCUCCGAUGGUGGCUCUCUGAGACCCAUCAAAUGCCUUCACGUUCAUACUUCCCAUCCAUAUCUCAUGCAGGCCUAUACCCAGUCUUCUCAAAGUAGUCAGAGGGCAUAUGUUCAGACUUGAACCCCCGUCUAUCAGAACCCUAGCAAUUAACUUGUCUUCAUAUUGCAUAGUAAUGUGCAAUACUUUGUUGUGACUCAAUCCUUCCGGAGGUAGCUCAUCUUCAUGGAAAGUAAUCUUGUGACUCUCCAGUAUCUGCCCCACCAUGUUCGCCACAUCUCCACUAGUGAUACCGGUAGAUACAUAAGCUUUACUUAACACCUUCAUCAAGGCAUUCUUGUGUGCAUCUGAGUUUUGCAACAGUGAUAAGAUGGAUAUUUGGGCAGGAGUCUUGUUUAAGUGAUCGACAACGGAGCAUUCCCUCGCCUGCACCUUCCUCCAAAGAUCAUCAGUGUCUGUCUCCAUAAUAGGUGGUUUCGGUGCGGUCUCUUUACUUGUUCCUCAAAGAAUUUUAGGUCUGUAAACCCUGCCGGGUCUAGUCAUUCCUUGUGCAGAUCCUGUCUCUUCCAUUUUGGCUUUUCCUUUUCUCCUUGCCUCCGCCACAUAAUCCCAUGGGACAGCAUCAGACUUAUAAAACGGUAUUGGAGCUACCAUCACAGUGAAGGGCGUAGCUACCUCGACCCCGAAUGGCACCUAGGUUUGCACCACAAUUGGAAAGAGGGUGACAGGAGAUGUUUUGGGAGUGUCACCCUUUUGGAUAAGCCCGAUGGAUCCUUCCUGAUCCUAUUCUUCAUCAGUUUCUAUCACAUUUAUUCCCUCACCCCUGUGAUCGGGAAGAGGGUUAUGGCGGACAUUUGGCGUGGACUCAUUUGCUUGUAUAACUUUGAUUUCAAUCAGCAUCUAGAUAUUGUCUUUCAAAAUGAGGCAUUCCUAGAUAGCAUUACCCUUCAUGCUUGAGUGAUAGGCACAAGUCUUGUUUGGGGCUAUGGGUUCGGCGAUAGGGGUGUAUUGUCUGGGAACAAAGCUAGGCAAGACACUUACCUCAUUCUGCAACCAAAUCAAUAUUAUACUACAGCUUUUUCUUUAGAACAAGCCUCCAAACCAACCGAAUCUAGCAAAAUAUCAAUCAAAUAAUUCAAAAUAAAAUUUAGAAACUACCCGCGAACGAAAAAAGUUCAAUCUUUAGCUAAAUUGAAAAAACGUCAACAAAAUCCAACCCCAGGCCCGCUUGGUCAAAACCUGGGAUUCGGACUAAAACUCGAUUAUCCAUUCACCCCCGAGCCUGGUUAUGUGAUUUGUUUCAAAAUCCGACCUCAACUUGAGGUCUAAAUCUCAAUUUUAUAAAAUUUCAAAAUUCUAUCCAAAAACCCUAAUUUCUACCAUGACAUUCCUAGAUUUGAUUUUAAAAACUCAUGAAAAGUAAUGAGGAAUAGAUAAAAAAAAAAGUGGAUUAGAGGUUCUUACCAAUGAAUUUGGGAUGAAAAAGUUCUUCAAAAAUUGUCUCUAGAGUGUUUGGGGUUGAGAAAUGGUGUAUAAUGAGCUAAGUCCCAAUUUUUUCCUCUUUUACCCAGCUGCACGUGUCGCAUUUGUGAACACUUGUUCGCAGAUGCAAUACCCGCAAAUGCAGAACAGUGAUCGCAAAUGCGAUCAGUGCCUCAGGUCCUCAGAAGUUGCAAAAGCAACAAAAGUCUCACAAAUGCGAGGAGUCCCCUCAUCGCAAAUGCGAAGCUUAAGCUGCCAUCCCCCAGUACCUAAUCACAAAAGCGACCACCCACUAAAUGCAAAUGCGAAAAUUUUCAUCGCAAUUUGCGAAGACCCAGUCCCCAUCCCAUGCUCGCAAAUGCGAUCUCUUGGCCGCAAAAGCGAGGCUCAUAAAUGCGUGCCAAACCUUACAAAUGCGAGAUCUGCAACUGAACACCAGCAACUGGAAUGCACCAGCAAUUCCAAACACUUUCAAAACUCAUCCAAGCCCCUCGGUCUCCAAGCGGAACUUGCACGCAAAUCAAAAAAGAUCAAAUAGAGCUAGAAAAAGUCUCAAAACAUAGAAAAGAAAGCUAGUACUCAAAACGACCAAUCGGGUCCUUACAAAGAAUAUCGAAAUCACGAACAAUUUACGGCGCUGGAAAGUAAACUAGCGGAUCUUCGACGUAUAUGAAAAUCAGGACCAAAUAAUUCAUAGAUUCACUUAGGUAACUCUCUAAAAUUCGGAUUAGGAAUCUUGAUACAUUACAGCUUCAGAUUUGCGCGCGCUCACCAAAUAGCUUGUAUUUUGAUGUAGGAAGCUCGAAAUCAAGCACUUCUUGAUCCUUUGCAGACUACACUUCAGAGGCUACAUUUACACCAAAUAUUAGGACUUAAAUCACUCUUUGCUAUUUUCUAUGAUAUUUUAAAAGUUAGCUACAGGAUCUGAAUUUUCUGUUUCAAUUUUGGACAUACUUCACGAAUUUUAAUCUUCUUCUUCAAUUCCAUUCGUGCAGCGUAUACAACCUUGACUUCCAACAAACAAGAUGCAAUUUUGUGACCAUAAGAAGUAGCACCCUCAUCUUGAAAUCAUGAGCGACGAGCAAAAUCAGCUCGAUAAAGUUCUUACCUUGGAGGUUCAUCUUCUAGUGAUCGCGCCUUCCCUCUUGUUAGAAAGUUGUCAGUCGCAUCUCUUCAUCUUACAGAAUGGUGGAUAAGGGAGGCCAAAGUUGUUAUGGGCGACUUUUUGGCCAAGGUCACUAACAUGAAGGUCCUUAUUUUGACGUCCACAACACAUCGGGAAGCCGCACCAUCCAAUUUUCUCAUCGUGAUGGAUGUUUCAACUCUUAGAAUGUUCCCCCUUCCGACUUUGGCAAGGUUCGCUACACACCCGGCUAUUGUGAGUGGGUAGAAGAUGUGCUCCCCCACCAUAAAGAUGCUCUGGAACAUGUGAAGGUCUACCAUGCCAUAUACGCUUCAUUUUUUACGGACGACUAUAAUGACAACGUGCCUCAAGCCUUUUGCAAUCUUUGGAGUCCUUCCACCAUCACACUUUCUACCUUCAUCGGACAAUUAUCCAUAUCAUUAUGGGACCUGUGAAUGAUUGGAGGCUUUCCUGUGCAUGGGUCCUUUUAUGACGAAGUAGUUCAUUCGGCGAAGGAGUUAACGAAAAUGGACCAUCAAGCAAAGUCAUUCGUCCCAAAAAGUUGCUUAUACUUGUUUUCAGCAUUCUACAAACUUGCAAAAAGGGCACUUCAUGAGGUCUUCGUCCAUGAUUGGGUUGGGUUCUGAGUUAGAGGACCGAGCAGGUAUGCUAUACCUCCGCAAAAGGCAUCAAAAGGGUGGACCACCAAGACAAGGCAGAAUCAUAAUCCUUCUGGACAUAUAGACAUAAACUUCGAACCAUAAACAAACAAGGAGAAUGUCCCCUUCAUCGAGCUAGGUGUGGAGGAGUCGCUUAGAAACGAGACUAACUUGGCGACUUUCCUUGCAUGCUGGCUCUGCAAGCUUGUGCUUCCAAAUAAGAAUGUUGAACACAUAUGUGCUAGUGUUUUCAAAGUCACAAGCUUAAUGGCUCAUGGAGUAAAAUUCUCCCUGGCAAUCCCGGUCCUCGCGAGCAUAUCCGUGGCUUGAGGGAGGUCUCCACUUCCACAGACCUAGUUGCAAGCGAUGUAAUUUGCCUGAUACACUAUGUGUAUGGAUGGAUGGGAGAGUAUUUUGAGACCAAUCACCGUGUUAAUCACACACACCGAAGUUUACCCUUAUGCAAGAUCUCUAGCGAGAAGAUGGUUAAGUAUUUCAACCUUUCGAAUUCUCGAAGGUUGUUCCAACGUGAUGAUGCCUGUCAACUCCACAAUUUGGAAUUACUACGAGGCAAAGAGUUACAUUUUACAGACAAUGGUGAACUUUCAGACUCGUUCAGCAAAGUUUUUAUAUCUCUUCACUCUAGCUUUCUCACCCUUAGGCAUGAUGCUACUUUUAUAGCCCUCACAAGUUUAAUAGGCAGUUUGGUUUUUGCCAAGACAUCCUUGGAGACCUUAUGAAGCAACCUUAUGAUGGUACGUUGCAAGAAUUAGUGCAACUUUGGUAUUCAUCCACAUGUCUUGGCACCUCCUCAAAAUUCGUUGUACCACUACGUCUAGUAGACGAUGUGCCUUUAAUGACUCGUAAGUAUGCAGACUGGUGGCUAAGGGUGGCAUGUGAGCCGGUUAGGACCGGGCCCGGCCCAGAACCGCAAGCCUAAAUGGGCAGUGGGCCUAAACGGUUCUAACCGGAUAGGACCGGGACCGUGGGAAGGUGGGUUGGGUAGUGGGCCGGUCCCAUAGGCGAGGCCCGCGAGACCGGGACUAGCUGGGAAGUGGGCCGGUUCAAGCGGUCCUAAACGGGCCUAUCUGGGCCCAAGGGCUAUUUUUUAAAAAAUUAAAUCUGCCACAUUAUAGCCUUUAUGGCAUUUAAAAUAUGGCCGUUUUACCUGCCAAAAUAGCCGUUAGCUAUUUAUAAAUAGGCAUUUAACCCCUCCCCCCCUCCAACUUUGUUUUAAACCCAGUUUUUUUAUAAUUACACUUUUUCUUAUAUNNNNNNNNNNNNNNNNNNNNNNNNNNNNNNNNNNNNNNNNNNNNNNNNNNNNNNNNNNNNNNNNNNNNNNNNNNNNNNNNNNNNNNNNNNNNNNNNNNNNNNNNNNNNNNNNNNNNNNNNNNNNNNNNNNNNNNNNNNNNNNNNNNNNNNNNNNNNNNNNNNNNNNNNNNNNNNNNNNNNNNNNNNNNNNNNNNNNNNNNNNNNNNNNNNNNNNNNNNNNNNNNNNNNNNNNNNNNNNNNNNNNNNNNNNNNNNNNNNNNNNNNNNNNNNNNNNNNNNNNNNNNNNNNNNNNNNNNNNNNNNNNNNNNNNNNNNNNNNNNNNNNNNNNNNNNNNNNNNNNNNNNNNNNNNNNNNNNNNNNNNNNNNNNNNNNNNNNNNNNNNNNNNNNNNNNNNNNNNNNNNNNNNNNNNNNNNNNNNNNNNNNNNNNNNNNNNNNNNNNNNNNNNNNNNNNNNNNNNNNNNNNNNNNNNNNNNNNNNNNNNNNNNNNNNNNNNNNNNNNNNNNNNNNNNNNNNNNNNNNNNNNNNNNNNNNNNNNNNNNNNNNNNNNNNNNNNNNNNNNNNNNNNNNNNNNNNNNNNNNNNNNNNNNNNNNNNNNNNNNNNNNNNNNNNNNNNNNNNNNNNNNNNNNNNNNNNNNNNNNNNNNNNNNNNNNNNNNNNNNNNNNNNNNNNNNNNNNNNNNNNNNNNNNNNNNNNNNNNNNNNNNNNNNNNNNNNNNNNNNNNNNNNNNNNNNNNNNNNNNNNNNNNNNNNNNNNNNNNNNNNNNNNNNNNNNNNNNNNNNNNNNNNNNNNNNNNNNNNNNNNNNNNNNNNNNNNNNNNNNNNNNNNNNNNNNNNNNNNNNNNNNNNNNNNNNNNNNNNNNNNNNNNNNNNNNNNNNNNNNNNNNNNNNNNNNNNNNNNNNNNNNNNNNNNNNNNNNNNNNNNNNNNNNNNNNNNNNNNNNNNNNNNNNNNNNNNNNNNNNNNNNNNNNNNNNNNNNNNNNNNNNNNNNNNNNNNNNNNNNNNNNNNNNNNNNNNNNNNNNNNNNNNNNNNNNNNNNNNNNNNNNNNNNNNNNNNNNNNNNNNNNNNNNNNNNNNNNNNNNNNNNNNNNNNNNNNNNNNNNNNNNNNNNNNNNNNNNNNNNNNNNNNNNNNNNNNNNNNNNNNNNNNNNNNNNNNNNNNNNNNNNNNNNNNNNNNNNNNNNNNNNNNNNNNNNNNNNNNNNNNNNNNNNNNNNNNCCCACUUAGGCCCGCUUGGGCCCACUUAACCCGGGACCGGCCCACUUAACCCGGAUAGUUCGUGGUCCCGGUCCCGAGCCGAUUCCAACAAGAAGCCCGCGAAGCCCGGGACCGUUUAGGACCGGACCGCAUAGGACUGGCCCACUUAAGACCGUGCCCGCGAAGCCUACUUAUGACCGGGACCGGCCCACAUGCCACCCUUAAGUGGUGGCCAACCCAUCGACUAGAUCCUUCAAGAAGGAUCCUGCACAUCAUUUUGAAAAGUCCAAGGCAAGAUCAGGUCCCCGUGCGAUCCAAAGGGGUCCCGAGUCGACUGAAAAUAAAGUUAUCUUCUUCUUCAAAAUCCAAGACGAAAUCAAAUGAUCUUUUGCAAGCAGCCCAGACCCUUUCCAAGUUCAAUGUCGUGAAGGAUGUGGAUGCACCCACGAAAAAUAAAGUUAGGCAUCUUUCAUUAGCCUCGAAGGCGGCUACUACUGCCCCCAAGGUAACCAGCAACACUUGCAAAAGGAAGGAGCAUCUAGUUUCGCCGAACAAGGGCAGUAAUAGAGCGCCCAGCCUCGUGCCACUUUGUGAUGAGAAGACUCAUCCUUCCAUUUCGCCAAAUAGUAUUGGAGAUUUUACUAUAGCUUCCAAUCCAGUAGAGCGUGAAUCUAGCGAAGACCGCCAUUGGAACAGUCCGAACAAGAAGGCGAAGGAGUUGGGUGAUGAAUAAUACGGUACUGAUGUCUUAGAUACCAUUCUUAUUGGGGAUGAUUCCUUUGUGGAUGAGGAUACCGGCUUAACAAUGCCAUUUCCUGAAUUACCAGAACAAGUAAAAUUUAUCUUAUUUGUAUUUCUAUUACCUUCUUUUUUUUCCUUUUUCAAUACUAACAUCUUCUUCUUCUUUUUUCAGUCAAAUCUUCAGUAAUUAUGCGGUGAUGAUCUUGUAGAUGACAUUAUUGAGGGUUGAUUUGCAGGCGUAGAUGAUCUUGGUAUGACCGCAAGAGCUCCCAUAACCCUCUUAACGGUUCUAAGGAUCAUGUUAUGGGUGUAGCCUAUUCGGUGGAGUUAACUCCACCAAGGAAGCCAUAUUCCUCUUCUCCAGGUAAUAGAAAGCUCAUCCAACCAGUUGUGACGAAUGAAGUUAUGGAUGCUGCAAUUAAAGUCAUGCGCCCGAAGUCGUUCAGGCCUUCCUCAUGGUUGUUGCAGCCUGGUGCUUCAAGCAAAGAGUCGCAUGGGACUAUUUGUCGUAUCAAACAAACUUUUAUUAUUGUGAUGUGGUGUAGAUUGUGAGAGUGGAUUAAAGAGUUAUUUGUAUAUUCCUCGAAAAACUUUAUGAACUUGAAGGAAAGCAUCAGUUUGACUCUUACGGAAAUACGGAGAGAGAAUAUCAUUGGUACUUCUAUUUUGGAGGAUCUUGUUGAAGCUUUCUUUAAGACGUAUGCAGAGUAUGAUGCUUUAAGAUCAUCCAAGAUGACUAAAUAAUCCCACAAAGUGUCACUCUCUGAUGCACAAAAAUGCUUCAAUGAUGCGAAGCGGGAAUAUGGGAAGGCAAAUGAGUCCGCUGAGAAACUUCAUGUGGCUCUUGUGAAUAUCAAACACAGUUAGUAUCCUUGACCUCUAAAAAUAAGAAGAACAUCGCACUCCUAGAUAAACAACAAGAGAAGUUGUCCAAAAGUAAAAGGAAAAUCACAGUUACCGAAGGCGAGGUUCAUACCAUUGAGGCGAAUGUCCCGUUGUCUGAUGAUGAAGCAGAAAAAUUGUCCCUCCUGAAAGAUGUAGUUAAGACGAGUCUCCAGCAAAUCCUUAGCUCCAAAACUUUUCAAUAGUUAUAGAUUCUCCUUUUUCACUUAGGAUUCCUGUUUAUUUUAAGACGAAUAUCAUGUAUUGAUAUUUCUUUUCUUAGAGCAAUAAAAGUAUUUACUUUUUAUUUGCACUGUCUCAUUAAAUUUUGAGUUCCCUACGAAUUAUCAUAUGGAUGAAUUAUACAAAUAUAUUGAGGUUCAAUUGAGAUAUACUAACUGGUGUAGAAGUUCUGAAGAAGUUCAUUUCUACAAAUGUAUGAUGCUCAGAUUCUUUGCUUGGUCGAUUCUCCCUCUUUACUCUUUUGUAUAAUUCCUGUUUUGGUGUGUUGCUGGUCAGAGAUGCACCUUCAGGUUUGUUCAUUACUGCUUCCUAGUGCUACUAAGAAAGGUGAUUGAACGACCAAAGUUUCUUUUCCAGUUUUUGUUUGACCAGUAACUUGAGACAAGUCAAAAUUAUGUCAUCCUUGAUUUCAAAGCUGCUAUGCUUGAGCUUGAAUGUACGACCUGUUGUUAUUUAACAUCUCUGUUUAAACACAAAUGAAGUGUCGCACUAGAAAGUCAUGAACCAGAUCCAAAGUGGAGAGUGAAAAUUGAUGGACAAGUGCUGAAACUCCAAAAUGCAGCGAAUCUUUGAGAACUAGCUAGGUUGGUUGUAUAGAGAUUAGCUACUAGGCAAAUGGCUACUGCAUUUGAAGUUAUGUAAUACCUUAACUAUGCUUCUGAAAAGAUUCUUCAGUUUUCAUUGCUUUGAAAAGAUGAUUUUCUUUAUUUCUGUUACACCCAUCCACCCAUGGAUCUUUUGAUCGAAUGGCUAUUCGCAAUUGCGAGCUAGGGAGUUUAUCCCAUGAAAACACACUUGUGUAAGGUCAAACUUAAUUAUUAUGCUUGAUGAGCAGAUGUUAGAAUUUAUGUUGUGUUCCUAAGCAUUGCGAGCUUCUGUCAUUGUUCAAAAGGGCCUAAGCAGCGAAGAGUUCGUCAUAUGGUGUAGGAGAGGUAGUAAAGAUGCCUUGAUCAUGUGCGGUGAAGUUACUUUUUUUUUU
rnacentral:lncRNA from 1 species